rnacentral:lncRNA from 1 species
GCAUGGUUGUUGCAACAGAUUGAUCACGACUGGUCACGACAAUCUUGCUUCCCUCUGCUGCGAGGAGUGGAGUUCGUAGAAUAUUCCAAACUUCACGAUCACUAAGCUCCAUAUAACCUUCAUCACGAGGCUUCAAAUUCCAGACGUCAUCAAGAACAAGCAGAAAUUUCUUGUUACGAAGUUGCUCUGUGAGUUGAAGCUGAAGCAAAUUUAGGUUGUCAGCGGAAGUAGGUGGAGAACCAAUUUCCUCAAGAAUUGUUUUGGUGAGUUUGAUAAGGAAAAACUCAGUGGAAACACAGACCCAUGCUUGCAAGUCGAAGUGUUUCUUCACUUCCUCAUUUUUAUAGAGACGCCGAGCAAGCGUGGUCUUGCCGCUGCCGCCCAUGCCCACUAUGGACAUCACCCCCAUUUUGUCGCCUGUUGUAUUGUCAGAACGCAACCACUCCACCAUCUCCUUCUGAAUUCCAUCCCUGCCGACAAAAAUGGAGUCAUGCUCCAAAGAAGUGGUUAUUGGUGAUCUUGGUCUUGGUGACCGUUUCUCGCCCCCACCUUCUGCCAGCCCCAACCCAACUUUUUCUAGUGCGAUUUUUUCCAGUUGAACAAUCAUGCCCCUGACCCUGGACUCCAUGCUUUUGAUAGCAAAUGGGGCCUUCACAGAAGCAGAGAACUUCUUCCAUUUCCACGCCUUAAGAGUUCCGUCGGUAACGAUCUCGUCCAGCAGGUCUUCCGCACCAUACACAGCAUCCUUGACAGGGACGAGCCACUCUUUGACAUUUGGGUUCGAAAAUUGCUUCACCUCCGCAUCAUCGAGCACAUUGUGAACAACCACGAGUUUCCUCUUCAACUCGUUGAGGAGUUCAUCGCUAAGGCUCCGUCGCCGAAUGAAGUUUAUGAGCUCUGGAGAAGCCAACCUUUCGAAUAGAACUUGAAGCGAAGUUGAGAGGAGGGCGUCCGCCAUAUCUGUGUCGACUGUUGCUUUGCAAUAGGAAUUCAGAGGAUUGGUUUCUGUUACCGCGAUACCACCAAACUGCAAAAGACUGGGUUUGGAUUACCACACUGCAGAAUGCUUGAAGGAAUCAUUAUUGGUGGUGGACCCAGCUGCCAGAUAUUGGUGGUGGACCCAGCUACACUGCAGAAUGCUUGAAGUUAUUGGUGGUGACCCAGCUGCCAAUAUUUGUCAAACACCAUAGUGGUGAGAAAAAGAACAGGAAAAGCGAGUGGGAGGUAGAUGCGCUUUCCCCAAGGAAAGCAGAAUCAACAACAGCAUUCGGUAUUUUUCUUUUUCAUCUACGCAUUUCUUCUUUCUUUCUUCUAGUAUUAUUAUUAGUAGACAUAUACACACAAAUAUUUGUUUAUAACAUUUUCAUUCUUAAUAUUAUAAAAUUUAUUAUUAAUAAUAUUUAUACUAAUAUUAUUUUUUAAUAAUUAUAUUAGUAUCAGGAUUUUAUAAUUAGUAUCCUUACUUUUAUUGCUUAUAAUAAUAAUUAUUAUUAUUAUAUUAUGUUAUUAUUAAAAUUUAUUAGUAUUUUCACAUAAACAAUGAUAUAUGCAUAAGACAUAUUAAAAUUUUGAAUAUUAUGGUUAUUAUUAUUUAAUAAUAAUAUUAUUAUUUGAUUCAAAAAAAGUUUAUAAUAUAAUAAUAACAAAAAUAAUUUUUUUAAUAAAAUAAAUUAUAAAAAUAUAAUAAUUUUAUUAUUUAUAAAAUACAUUUAUUUUAAUGCAAUUAAAAAAAUUAAAAUAAUUUUAAAAAAUUUAAAAAUUUUCAAAAAAAAGUUAAAUGGGACGGGAUUAGGAUGGGAUCGAUCCAUCCCAAUGUCGUCCCGUUGUCAUCCCUAACUCAUCUUGUGAUAAUUAAGGCCAUUUUUUAUCAUUGUUUUUUUAAAAUGGUCUUUUAUCCUUAAUAUAUAUAUAUAUAAUAAUUAGAAAUAAAACAUAAUUUUUGUUUUUAAAAAUAAAAAAUAAGGCAUUUUUAGAUCAUAUCCUUUUAGUUACUUUUAUUUGUUUUUAAAAAGUAAUUAUAUAAAUAUAAAAAAUAAAAUAAUUUAAAUAAAAUUUAUUUUUAAAAUAUAGAAAAUUAGUUAAUAACACUUUAUCUUCUCAAGCUCUUGUUUUAUAAAAUAUCAUAAAAUAAUUUUCAAAAACUUUUUUUUUUCACAAUUUUGACAAACAAAACGUGUUGCAAUAAUGCACUUAAAUUCAAUGAACCUAAAAGCCAAAUGUGCAGUGUUGACUUUUCAACAGAGAGUUCACACAUGCCCAUUUUUUUAAUUAAAGCACUAUUGAUAUAAAAUAUAUAUUUAAAUAAAAAUUAGACUUUUAAAAAAAUUAAAAUAUAUUUUUAAAAUUAAAAUAUAUUUUUAAAAUGUUAAAAAAAUAUUUACAAUAUUUCCUUAAAAAAAACAUCUUCCAAAAACAUUUCUUUAAAAAAUACUUCCACCGAUAACAAUUUAGACACACUUGUGAUUUAAUAGUUAAAUAUUCUUUCCAACAGGAAUUCAACUAUCAGUUUGUAUUACCACGAUACCACCAAACUGCAAAAGACUAAUUUUGGAUUACCAAAAUGCAGAAGAGCUGAAGGAAUCAUUGAUGGUGGACGACCCAGAUGUCCACAUUAUUUGUCAGACACCAUAAUUGAGUGAUGAGGAAAUGAAAGAAAAGAAAAUAAAAAACAAAAAAGGUGAUGCCAAACAUGGUCUUAUAAGGUGGGUGGAGCGAAAGCAACAAAGGAAACUAGCAGGAUUUUUCAUUGCUAUUCCAUACCUUAAAGGACAAAUUUUGAAUUACCAAAAUACAAAAGACUUGAAGGAAUCAUUGAUGGUGGUGGACCAGAUGUCCACAUUAUUUGCCAAACACCAUAAUUGAGUGAUGACAAAACAAAAGAAAAAGCAAAAAAGGUGAUGCCAACAUGGUCUUGUAAGGUGGGUGGAGCAAAAGCAACAAAACAAACUAGUAGGAUUUUUUUAUUGCUAUUCCAUAUCUCAAAUGACUAAUUUUGAAUUACCAAAAUAUAGAAGACAUGAAGGAAUCAUUGAUGGUGGUGGACCAAGAUGUUCACAUUAUUUGCCAAACACCAUAAUUGAGUGAUGAGAAAAUGAAAAACAAAAAAGGUGAUGACAAACAUGGUCUUGUAAGGUGGGUGGAGCGAAAGCAACAAAGUAAACUAGCAAGACUUUUCGUUGCUAUUCCAUACUUCAAAGGAUUGAUUUUGAAUCAUCAAAAUACAGAAUACUUGAUGGAAUCAUUGAUGGUGGUGGACCCCGAUGUCCAUAUUAUUUGCCAAACACCAUAAUUGAGUGAUGAGAAAAUGAAAAAAAAAAAAAAGUUAAGAAAAAACAAAGAAGUGAUGCCAAACAUGGUGUCGUGAGGUGGGUGGAGCAAAAACAACAAAACAAACUAGUAGGAUUUUUUGUUGUUAUUCCAUACUGAGAAAAUAAAGGGCUAUUCUAAAUAGAUAAAAACACCCAAGAGAGGAGGUGAAUAGAAGUUAAAAAAUUUCUUUUUAAACACAAUAAAAUUAAGCAUAAGAAGUACAAAUAUAAAGAAGUAAGGUUAUAGAAAGUAAACUCAAAUUUAUAGUGGUUCGACACUUCCUUACUUACAUCCACUCUCCUCAAGCUCCUAAUCGAGUGAGGGUUCCACUUAUACUUGAAGUUUCAACCAAACUUCUAAUCACUUUUUACACUUGGAUUCCAUCUCCAAUGGACUCUUACACAAUCUUUUCAAGUCUUUACUCACUUGAAGGUUUUAACACUCAAUUAACAAGUUUGAAUCUCUCAACCUAGCUCAACAAUGACUCAAAUACAACUCAAGGCUAGGAUGAAUCACUAAGGUGCACUAAAGAAUAUGCAAAUGAAAAUUUAAUGCACUAAUAAAAUAAUGAGAGCUUUUAUGGCAAUAAUAAGUAGGUAAACAAAUAAAUGCAAGUGUUCUCUUACUCAUAAAUGAGGUAGAGCUCUCAAUUUAUAGGUUUCUAACCUCAGGAGCUAAAAAGCCAAAAAACAGUCUCAACUGGUUGAACUGGGGGUUGACUGGUUCAUUAGCCGUUGGAACAUUAAAUGCUUGGCAGGUGACCGUUACCCUCGACCAAACCUUAACUGAGAAGGCAAAUCCAUCAACCAGGAAAGAAAGGCUACUAGAAGAGAGAGAAUGUUUUUCACAUCUCUCAACCGGACCUUGACAUAGAAAGAGUAAUCGGUAGACCGAUACCUUAGCUGAUUGAGCCGAUUGGCCAGUGCCUCGACUAGUUCACCAUUUUUAGUCUGAAAACCUAUCUUUUUCUGGUCUUUUUGCUUCUAGCACUUAGGUAAGGACUUUAGAUAAAAUAAUAUGUCAAUUUUGAAAUGUUUUGCCUAAGGUUCAUUUGAUAGAACUCGGAUUUUGAUGGAAAUGUAACUUUAAUGCAUAAACCGAGUUUUAAAGAUGUAUGAAAUGAUAUGAAUACCCUAAGUACACUCAUGCAUUCAUCUUACGUAUGUUUCCUAUGAUUAAAAGGUCGUUCAAAAGUCUUGAUCUUGCAUUCAUUAGGUCCUUUAAUGAAUUUCCAAAUUAACACCUGAAAUUCUUUAUAAUUCAAAUCAAUUAGUAACUUAACCAUGAUUUGUUAUAAUCAAAACAUGAUUAGGAGAAUCAUUGGGCUAACACAUACCUCAAAGGACUAAUUUUGAAUUACCAAAAUAUAGAAGACUUGAAGGAAUCACUAAUCUUUUUAUAAUUUAGAAAAAUAAGUAAAACGAGUUUGAAGAAAUGUAUAAAAAUAAUUUAUUAAAUUUAAAUUUAUUUCUUAUUUUCCUUCAUUUUUUCUUUUUUUCUACUUUUUCUUUCUAUUUUCUUUCCUUCUCGUUUUCCCUCAAAUUUUCCAAGAGCCAAAUAUAGCUUAAAGGUUUAGAAUCUUAUGCACAAGACUUUCAAUUUUUUUUACAAUAUUAUUUUAUUAGUUAAGAAUUAAAAUUUAAUGUACCAUAUCUAACACUAACAAAAAAAUUUAUAACAACCAAUCUUAUCUUUUAAGAAUAUAUUGUUUAAAUGAGAUUAAAAAUUAAAAAUAAAUUUUAAUUCAUUUAACAACUAAAUUAAAAUGAAAUUUAUAUAUAUAUAUCAUAAAUUUAUACAAUUUUGAAUCAUUUUAUAUGGAGGAUUGAGAAUGGAGAGAUUGAAGAAUUGUUUGGUGACGAGGAGAUUGAUCGAAGAUUUUAUAGUCUUAAGGUUCUAUGGGAUGAAAUUUUUUGUAAAGAGUUUAAAUUUUUGUAAAAAAUAAAAUUAGUUUUAUGUUAUUUGAUUUCAUGGAAAUACAAAGUUUUAAUUCAAAGAUUAUGUUUUAAAAAUAUUAUUUUUAAAAUAUAUUUAGUAAAGAUUUAUAAAAAUUUAAAAUUAAAAUUAGUUAAUCUAUCAACUAAAUUAAAAUAAGAUUUAUAUAUUAUUUUUAUAGAUUUACAUGUGUAAAAUCUUUAAAAUGCCUCAACUUAAAAUAUCCUUACAAAAUUUCAUUAAUCUACUAGCAAUCUGCAUAUUGUCUCUACAUAGAGUCAAUUUGCAUUAGGAUGAAUACCAUCAUAAUAAUAAUUACGCUCCACAUAUGAUGUAUCUUAACAUCCACUUGGAGGUUAAAAAAUAAUUAAAGUAAGGGAAACUAAUAUAUUUAAAAUUUAAAAAUCAUUAUGAAGAUUUGGACAAUAAUUCAAGUAGGCAUCUUUGAAAUUUGGCUUCCAAAUCCCUUUGUCAAUAUACACCACCCUAUGACAAUUAAAUAAAUUAAAAGAAGGAAAAAAAAUGUUAAAGGAAUGACAAAACAUAGGGAACAAUUAUAUUUAAGGAGUGGAUGGAGUUGAUAAUGACUAAAGGGUACAAAUCUUGCAUAAUUGAACUAAAAAGGUAGAAAAGGUUUGUAGAUUGUUGUGGAAGAUAUAAACCCACUUUGUGAGUCAAAAAUGCUCAAAAUACCCUUAAGGGUGUUUUUUAAAAAAGGACAAUUAAGUACUCAUGAUAAUUAAUAUAUUAAGAUUUCAAGAAAAAUUAAUAAUAAAUAAAAUCUUUUUCUAAAUCUAUUUAACAAUCAUAUAGUUUUUAUUUUAUUUUAUUUUUUCAAGUGGCAACUAUUAUCUUAAUUUAUUUUUCAUUUUAAGGUUCAAUUAUUAUUAUUCUUUAUUUUGAAAUUUAAUUAAAUGAAACUGUAUAAGACAUGUUUAUAUUAAUUAGCUAAAAAGGAUAGAUUUUUUAGCAAUAUGAUUAAAAUAAAUAAAAACAAGGAAUUUGAUUUUCUUUAUAAAAUAGAUUAGGAAAAGUAUAUUUCGAUACAUUCGUAUGAAAAAAAAAUUCAUAAAAUAGGAACUCAAGUUUAUAAAAUACAAAUUUUAAGCAUUCAUCUAAAAAUAAUUAUCAUUUCAUGCAUUUUUUUUGUCAAAUAUAUUAUAUUUGAUAAUUUAGGUAUUAUAUUUUAAUAAUAUAAGUAGUACCUUUGACCCCCAUAAAACUUGAAUUAUUUUAAAUAGUUUCUAUUAUAUAAUUAUUUAACCAUUUGAUAUAAAUAUUAAAUAAUAAAAAAUAUAUCAUUUUUUAAAGAAUUUUAAUUAUAUUUGACUUUCUUUUGUAUUUUCUAUGGUGUAAUUCACAUAUGAGAAAAUCAUUUUCUUUAACAUUUUUUUUUCUUUCCUUAAUAAUUUUCGAGAACCAAACAAGGCUUGUAGGUUUGAAUUAUAGGGUAUAGAUGCCAAAAAUACCAGAAUGAGUUUGGGUUUUCAUGCUAAAUGUCUUUAUUAUUAUUUGGUAGCACUUUUCCAAAAUUGUUCCAUUCCCAAAACCACUUAAUUUGCUUAAAUAUUUUUACCUCACGAUAUCAUAACAUUAUAAUGGAAUAGAUUUUGUUGGUGUUCAAAUCAUGUCAACUCAAUUUCCAAACCAUUCGGAUUGUCAUUUGGUGAAAAAUAGAAAGAAAUUUUACUUUAUUGAAAAGCAUUUCAUUUUGAUUUGAAUAUGCUGCAAUGAAAUAGUUACUAAACCAUGGGGUAGCAGAAGAAGUAAUCGAGAAAAUGAAGAAGGAUGUUCAAGAAUUCUUUAUGCUGCCAUUGGAGAAGUUUUCAAGAUUUCUCCUGAGUAGAAAACUUAAUGGUAAGAGUACAAUAAGUCAUAUGAAAUUGGAGAACUGAAAGAGCAUAAGAACCAUGUUUUAUUAAAAGACCUGUGAAAGUUUAAUCAGUCAUGGAACUACUAAGAGGGGAUGAAUUAACAGUUUUCUUAAAUUUUGUCCAAAGUUAUGAAUUUUUAUUUUUUAUAAUUUUUUUUUACUUAAAUUGAAACUUAUUAAUCAAGGUAAGAUUUCAGCCACAUCGAGAAACAAUUUACGUGAAAAGGGACUGAUAAAAUCUUGAGUUUACAGAUGUAAAAACCAUAAGGCCAAAGACUGUAGAACUCCAACCCACUGAAUCAAGAAUAGAAACACAAAUUUAUCUACCAACCUACACUAAUCUCAUAUCUACAAUGCAACACCAUCGUACUCUUAAGUGACUUGAAAGGAUGUGAAUAUUUCUCACAAACUUCAUAAUGAAAUUCAAAUUAGCUCUGAGAGUUUUGGGUUAGGCACAAAGAGUAAUAAUGCAUAGCUUUUGUGUGUGAGUUUUUAAGUGAACUUAAGACUCAAUUUAAAGCAUGUAUUUUACUAAAAAUAAAAAAAUAAAUUUAAGAAACUUCAAGAAUUUUGGAAAGAUAAAUUUUAAAAAAAAUUCAAAGAGAGUCAGAAAAUGUUUCCUUUUUAAAUUCUCAAUUUAAUUUAUUUUCAAAUUUAUUAAGAGUUUAAGAAAUAUUUUCUUUUUAAAUUAUCAAUUUAAAACUCUCUUUUAAAUUAAUUUUAUUAUUAAUUUUCAUGCAAGUCUACUCUAUACAUUUUACAUCGUUAUUCUCAAUUAACUCAACAAUAUUAGAGUGUAACAUCCCCAAUUGAUUUUGCACCAACCUUAAGUCUUCAAAGACAAUGAUUGAGGCAUUUCUUCUCCUAUUUUCUCCGAUGUAGAAAAAAAACUUGAAUAAGGUUAAAGCUGGUCUAUAGCAAAAAGUCUUAAUUUGAGUUAGCCUCUUUUUUUUUUUCCAAAUGAUAUGCAGGUCCAUCUAGCCUUCAACUCAAAUUUUUUAUUCAAAAAUCACAUGUGGAUAUGUGAACAAGUAAAAGUUGAGUUUUACCUAACAAAUCAUUUUGAAAAUUAGGAAAUUUAAAAGGUAUUAGUUUGUUAAACUCACCACCCCUGUCUAUUCUACAAAACAAGAAGAUUAGCAAAGAAAAAGUAUUCAUAUUUGUACUACAAAAUAAAAAGAUUAGCAAAGAGAGAAAUUGUACCCAUGAGUGCAGAGUUUUGGGUUAAAACAACCCUUUUGAUGGGAAAAAUAUUAAAUUUAACCACUUUGUCAAACUAAUGUGUAAAAUGAUCCUUUUAUUAUCACAUAGGAGUCAUAUCACUAAUAUAUAUAUAUAUAUAUAUAUAUAUAUUUAAUUUAAGUUGAAGCCUCAAUUGCCAAUUAAGGCUUCAAUUAUCAAUUAUGACUUUAUUUUUAACCCGAAACCUUACUUGCCAAUUGAGGUUUCAACUAAAAAAAGAAACCUCAAUCGUCAACUAAGACUUAAUUUUUUAAUUGAAGCCUCAAUUGACAAUUGCGGUUUUAUUUUAAAACUGAAAUCUCAAUUGUCAAUUGAGGCUUUACUUUUGUGGAAGGAUUAUGUGACACUCACGUUACUAGAAAAAAGCCAUACUGAAUAUAAGUUUCAAAAGUGGCUUAAAAGGUAUAAAUUUUAUGAUCAAAGAUGCCAUUUUGACCCAAAAUCCCAUGGGUGCAUGAGACUCUAGUUAAUCAUAGAUUUCAUAGAUAAAAAUCAGAGUUAGGAUGAUUCAACCCCUAAGCGUCAAGAAUUCUUUAACAUAAUGUUAGAACAUUUUCCAAUUUAAAUUCGAGAGUUGACUUUAUUUGAAUGUGCUUUUGAUUUUUUUUUUUAAAUAAGCUUCAGUGUUUUUUUUAAAAAGAAAUAAAAAUAAAUAAAAAUAGGAGCUUCUAUAUAGAAAGUAAAAAUUUUAUCCAACAAAUAUAAGGCUCACCUUAUAUCCUUAUAAAAUAAAAAAUUUUAAAUUUUUUAAUACCUCAAAAUUUUUAAUCAAUAUUUAAAUAUCAUUAUAUUUUCAAUAUGAUUCCUUUAAAAGUUAAAAUUACUUAUAUUUUUUAUUUUCAAAAAAAAAAUAUAUAUAUAUAAGUAAUUUUAUGUUUUUUAAUUAUUAAGAUGGAUGAAAUAAUCCCAAAUUUGCAAAAAUAACUUCUUCUAUGUUUGAAUUUGAAAAAUAACUCAUUUCCAACAUAAAUACUCUUCAAUAUUUGGAUUAUUUUAAUAUAAAUUUUAGAAGAAAGUGUUAUUUUGACAGGAAAACAUGAAAGACAUUUUUGUUAAAAAUUGAUCUUUUUUUAAGGCUAAAAUAUAUAUAGGUUUAUAUUUACAAAUUUGAGACUAUUUCGUCCUCUUAAUCAAAUAACUUAAAAAAGAAAAGAGUUAAUUCCACAAGUGGGUUUAAAAUACUCACAAAAUUGCAAUAUAUAUAUAUAUAUAUAUAUAUAUAUAUAUAUAUAUAUAUAUAUAUAUAUAUAUAUAUAUGAAAUUACAAAUUUACCCUCGUGUGUUGAGCACAUGACACUUCCAUUCAUUAAAGCUAACAUUGUUAAAUAACAAAUGUACAUUGCAACUAUUUAAGAAGUAUGAAGGGCACAUUGCUUGAUUUUAGUACAUGGUGAGAAACUUGUUGAACAAGUUAUGUGUAAAGUUUUAUGGUUCAUGUAUGAUAGAAAAUACAGAUCUACUACAACACUGGAUUUGCAAUUUGGGUUAAUAUUUAAAGAAAAGACCAUAGGACAAAAAGAAUUAAACUUUUGGUGGAAAACAAUAAAGAAAGGACUACAUGGAAAAAGGGAAGAGAUCAUUAUAAAGGAAGAUUAUUGAAUAGAAAUAAUUCCAAGAACCUAAGGCAAGACAUAGAGUAUCACUACUACUAUCACAAAAAGGGGUAUAUCAUAAAAUUUAUGAAAUUUUGAAAAAGACCUAAAAAAUGAAGAAAAAAAAAAACAAAUCAAAGAAGCCUACAAGUGUAACUAGUGUUCUUAAAGUUGCGAAAUGAAGGUAAUAAAUCAAAAGUAGAUUUGUUAAUAGUUUUUAAAAUGCUUGAAUUAGGAAUUGUCUACUUGUACCAUACAAGCCCUUGUAGAGACUGGUUUGACAUGUAAAUUGUUUGUAAAAUCAUUUUAAUGGGCAAUAAUGCACCAAGUUGCUCCACGAGAAGGGGAGGGGUUUGUGAAACCAUCACUUGUCAUGACAUACAUCGUCGGGUAAUCACGGAUGAGGGCAUCCACGGGAGGCCAAUGUCUACCCUCGCUCCACACCCCUCUAGUACAAGGCUCUAGGAGGGAGAGAGGCAACAAGUGUGUGACACCAAGGUAAAUAUGCUUGACCUUAUGGCUUUGGGAGCAACUUGCAUUGAAAGACUUGAUGAUUCACAAGAUUCUACAAUUCAUACAAAGUAUUGCAUUUUGCGACGUUCUUCAUCAAUAAGAGAGCCUAGAUAUCCAUUGUCAAGAAUUCUUUAUGUAUGAAAACAAAGGCGCCUAACCGACAUGCCCAAGAUCAAGGCAACUGGAGCGUGUUGCUUCGCCCAAGUUACUUAGCGCGUUUUGUGCCAAAGUUUGUUGUUCGCUCAAGAGGGCUUUUGUGAAUCUUUGUAAUAAAGGGAUAAUACAGAGUGGGCCGUAAUUUAGCAUCUUACACGCUUAGUUUCUUCCAUUGGUGGCAUAUAUUAUUUUGUCUGUCAUUGGUGAUUAUUUAAUAAAACUAUGAGAGUAUUUCAUGAAAUAUAAAUAAGAGGUUUUUAGGAUAUUUAAUCGAUGGUAAACAAAAGUUGAAAACUAAGUAGGGAGGAAGAUAAAAUAUUUUAGAUUUGAUAGUGGACUUGAGCAUUAGAACAAGAAGUUCACAAAGUAUUGCGAGAAUUCUUAUAUUACUUAACAUCACAUGUAAAGAAAUUACAAAGCAAAAUGGAGUGGUUGAAAAGAUGAAUAGAACACCAUUGGAAUGACUAGGUGGCUAAGAUUAACCAUUGGGUUACUUAAGAAUUUAAGGGCUAAAGCUAUCAACAUAACUUAUCAUGUAAUUACUUAGUUGUCAAGUUUUACAAUUAUUUUCAAUAUUCCAAAAGAAGUGUCAAGUAAAUCAAUUGACUUUUCAUCUAUUGAAAUAUUUGAUUGUUGCACUUAUAUUCAUAUAUAGGUGAAAAAAAAAUUCAAUCCAAAAUAAAAAAGGUAUAUAUUCCUUGGGUUUGAAAAAAGGAUUGAUUAAAGACUAUAGACUUUGGGAUCCAACAAUUAAAGAAAAAAAAGUGGUGAGCAGAGAUGAAUUCAAUGAAAAACAUAUGUUAAAGAAAGAUCAAGGACAAAUGAAAUUGGUAUUGAAAAAAAAUUCAACUACAUGACCAAUCAUCGAGAUGAAAUUUGAGAAAAAUGUCAUUAAAUAUGAAAUCCCUCCUAAUUGAUGUCCCUAUUAGAACUUUAUAUGGGCAUCUUUCUCUAUUGCUCUAAAGAAUCAUCGAAUUGGGUAAGGACAUCAAUUUUAAGAUUUUAAUUUUUUUUCAUUAUUUAUUGGAAUAGGAGAUCUUUAAAUUUUUUUGGGGCUCAAUUAGGAAGGAUGAUAGUUAUCAAUGUGUUGGUGCUAUGUCAAAUGAGAAUCCAAUGCACAUGUUGACUAAAGUUGUUCUUAAGGAUAAGUUCAAGCAUUGGUUGAAUGUCAUUAAUUUUUCAUUUUGUAGAACAUGGAAGGUCAAUUUUAUCGAAGAGCCAGGUCAAUCAACUUCUAUUAGGACUUCCAUUGAUUCUUGAUUUGACUAGAGGGACUCCUAGCAGUAAAUUUGUAUGAAGGGGCCCUACGGAGAUGCAAGAGCUGCCAAUCGGAUCGACCAAUAAAUGAUAGGCCCAUGCAGAGAUGUCCCUGAAAUAGGGGAUUGGUUGAUUGGAAAGCUUAGGCAGAGUAUAAAGGAGAACAAUUUAGCAUUUUGGGAAAAGCACAUAUGAAGAUGUUUACAAGUUUGGAAAUUUGAGUUAAAGAAGAGAUGGUCUAAAAAUGUUUCAAAUUUCAAUUUUAUGUUUUUCUAAGUUUGAUAUAUCCUAUUUGGAUAUUUGGGAAGUCUUCUCUUGUUACAUAAGGUAGUCCUAUGAUGAGAUUUGUUAUGAAAAUAGGUUCUUCCUCGUGUGAAAUAUUCCUAUGAAAUUAAGAAGGAAUAUAGGAAGAGUUUUUAUUGAAAUUAUGAAUCUUUUUUUUAUGUAAUUAGAACUAAAAUAUGAGAGUUUUAGAAUUGUAAUUACACCUUUGAAUAUAAAUAAUUGAUAAUAGUGAAUUAAUUUACCUUCUCCCUCUAGAUGUAGGUAAAUGCUAAAUUAUGUUAAAUCUUGUAUUCUCAUAUGAUUUUUUUUUUCAUUUAUUUUUCAUUUUCUUGCCCAUUUCUAACUUGCUACUACAUAAUAACAGGUGGUAUCAGGCUUUUUGUGUUUGCACAACAAAUGGUCUCAGUUUUUCCAGCACCACAAAAAUGAUAUUUUACUUAAUUGCUCCUCAGUGGAAAAGUUGGAAAGAAAAAUUAAAUCAUCGACUACACCUUUUUUUUUUUUUCCAAAACUUUUCUUGUCUUUGUGCAAGAAAAUUAGUAUAUUUUCUCUUUAGUAUUUGUUUCUCAUUUAUAUAUAUAUAUAUAUAUAUAUUCAAAUGGAACCUUAAUCAUCUUUUAUAUGAAGUAUAAAAGAAUUAGAAAAUAUUCAAAUUUUAAAUGAUUUUUAUUAUACUUUGUCCACUUCCUAUUUCAUAUAUCAAAUUACAAUAGAAUUUAAAAUUCUUUUAUAAGUUUUUUCUCCCUUUGCUACCACAUAAACGCAAAGACAGUAUGUGAGUUAAAUACCUUAAAAGAAAAAGAAAUUAAAAUGUGAUACAAAACAAAAGUAACCUCUUUAAAUUCAAGGAAACAAAACACUAAACUUUUUCAUGUAUUUUAUUCCAUUUAUAAAUGCAACAUGACAAAAAUAGACAAAAAUAUAAAUGGAAACCCUUUGGGUCCUUUAUUUUAUAUUUUAUCAACUUCAACCAAUUCUAUUUCUAUAGCACAACCGAUAUUAUAAAGUUCAAUGAGUAUAUAAUAUAUAAAGAUACUAAUCAAUACGAAUUAUUCUUUCUUUCAAAUGGCUACUUGUAUUAAAAAUUAAAUGUAAUUCCUCCUAAACAAUAAAAUAUGUUGACACGAUUUCAAUGAAUAUACAGUACAUAAAGAUAUGACCAAUUAGUACGAAUUAUUCUUUCUUUUAAAUAGCUACUUAUACUAAAAUAUAAGUAAACAUAAUUCCUCCUAGAUAAUAAAAUAUGUUGACACAAGGAGGAAUAUAUUUACUAAUUAUAUCAUUUGCAAUAGCCUCAAUCUCGUGACGUUCUUCGAACCAACCAUAGACUUUAUUGAGAUAGGUUAACCAAGGGAGCUUCCACUCUCAUAACUCGUAUAUGAAAAUUUCAUCUUGUACAACUCAAAUAGAAACCCAUAAAUACCAGUUGAAACCAAAAUGUAAUAAAUAAAUAAAAACAUAUUUCAAUGGAUCCAAUUAGUAUUUUUCUGAUCUCGGAUAAACAAACAAAUUUUUCUUCAUUUUGUUUUUUUUUCCAUUAAUCUUUGUAAGUAAAUUAUAUUUUAAUUUAACAAAGCACUAAACUUUACUUUAAUUUUCAUGCAGGAUCAACUAGCUUAUCAUAAUAAAAUUUAUCAAUAUAGCUGAGCAGAGAUUUGAUGUAAUAAUACCAUACAAAAUUCAAGUAAAAUUAAAUUAAUCAAAUAGGACACUACGGUCAUAUUUGGAUACAUAUUCUAUUUUUUAUUUUUAAAAUUAAAAUUUUGAUAUAAAAUAUGACAACCCUUUGUAUAAAAAAUAAAAAUUUAUCCUAUAAUCUUAAAACUACUUUUCAAUAUUAAAAAAAAAUGAGGACGUGUCCUAAAAUUUUAAACAAAUUUAAAAAUAUUUUUAAAUACCAAGAUAUCCACUUUUUUCUUUUUUAAUAAAAAUUCCUAUAUUUGAUAUAAAACUCUAUUUUAAAAAAUGAAAAAUAAAAAAUGUAUCCAAACAUAAGCAAAAUUGUUAGAUUUCAUUGUGAGAUUUCUUAGAUUCUACAAUUCAUAGUGAAAUGAAGACGAGAGAUAACUGACUGAAUUAUGAAAAAAAAAAUUAACAUUGAUGAGAUUCAAAAAUGCUAGUUAAUGAAAGAGUUUCUCCGCCAGGAUGACUAAGAAAAAUGCUGAAAAAUGUGUCAUGCCCAAAGCAAUGUUACAAUGAAGAAUAGAAUGAGAGCUAACCCGAAACAAAAUCCGACAAUCGCCAUGAAAGCCUGGAUGCAGAGGAAAUGUAACUAGAGACAUGUAAGGAAUCAUUAAGCAAGUGAGAACAAUAUCAAAAUCUCAUGUACGACUUACUUACCUUUCCCUGAGAUUCAAACUUGAAUUUUACUGUAAACCAUGACAAUCCUCUAUCUACAAUAGGUGCAAGUGCAAGGGCCCUGCAUGAGAAGCACCUCUACAAAAAUCACAGAAAACCCAAAGGAAAAAAAAAAAAAAAGAGUAAAUAAAUAGAAACUAGUCUAUCAGAAACCAGGAGGCUGCAACAAAUAAUCUCCAAAUGUCAGAUUUAAUAUUUAUUUACAAAUGCCACUAAAAGGCCUUUUCAUCAGAGAAAUCUAGAAUAAAAAAGGAUAAGGAGCCAUUUGGAUUACAGAGGUCAAAGAUUGGGUUGGAUGGGAGCAAGUUUAACCUCCUCAGUGAAAAUGAAAAUGCAAGGCCCAUCAUCAACGCUAGGUUCAAAAAUUGACACCAUUUCUUGAAGACUUUCUUUUUUCAUUCUUCAAUUGUCAUUUUGAUUCAAAGAAGCAGCAGCAUGAUAGACUAAACAAUCAUCAUAAACCCAGUUGCAAGUUAUAAGGAUAAGAAAGAAAAUGAACAGAAAACAUAUAUGAGAGAACUGAUAGGCCAAAAAAAUCAUUGUUGAAGGAAUCGAGCAUAAAUCUCUGAACAAAAUUUAGCUGAAAUUCACUGAUUUUGGGUUAUUUUGUGAUAAGAGCAUUGCAAUAUCCCAAUAAACUGUUACGCUAACUAAAGAUUUAAAACAGAAUUUAGCUGCUUACCCUCCAGCUCUGACAAGUUUAGUGACCUGGCUGCCUGCCCACACCAUAGCCAUGAUUUUGACAAAUCUGCCAAUUGGAUUCCAUGUCAAGAUAUUUUGAAAAACUUGUGCAAAAAGAAACUUUUUGGAAUAAGUUUUUACCUUUCAACUGCCGCCAAAUAACCCAUCCUUCCUGGUGCUGGAGCAAUAUAAAACCUAGAAGCAGCAUAGUGAAUUCAGAGUUAUACUGGUUAUUUGAAAUCUACUCUGAACACCUAUGAUAGAGACUGCAGGAUGUGGUAAAACACUAAGGCAUAUUUCAAACUACAUUAUAAGGUAUUUGAUUAGAAAAUUAAAUAAAUAAAUAAAUAAAUAAAAUAACAUAACAUAAAAUACAAAAAAGAAAAAAAAAAUUAACAAACUGAAUUUGUCCAUAUGCAACAAUAUGCAAUUGUUAGCCAUGAAUCCCAGUUAUGUCGGUUUCCAGUAUUAAUAAUUAAGCAUGAUGUUUAUGAACUAGACCAGCAUUCUAAUAACUCUAGAUUGAAGGGCAUGGAUGUCACAUUUGUAUUCCAUCAUGUGCAACUAACAUCACAUUGAAAUAAUAUCCACUAAAGCAAGUUAAGACCCAGUAUAUCAGAUUAAAUUUUUUCUACCAUGAACAUAAGCUUGAUAAAAAUGAAGAUGGAAAUGCAAUACUUCUUUAUAUGACAUAAUGAAGGGAACCAAAUACAAGGACUCCCCAUUCCAGAUGCAGAAAGCCAAGUUACAACCUUUGCCAAAUAAAGAGAUCCACCAUAAGUUCAUUUUUAGACAUGCUAUAGUUGAAUAUGCCAUCAGUAAGUGAUCAAAAGCCAAUUCAGAUGGGAAUAACAGCCACAAUGUUGGGAAGGUCAAUAACAAAAGCAUUGACUUGAAUGUUGGCAGUGUCAUUUACACUGGCCAUAAGAACCAGAGGUAAUGCAUACAGUUGGUAAGGUGGGGAGGAGGAGAUGAGAAAUUGAAAAGUCUUGAAUUUAUUUGUUUCAUGCAAUUCCGUUUUCCAAUACUCUAUACGAUAAUAUACAUUGUACAGCACAAGAAUAGGGUUGUUUUAAAAUUUUGAACAAAUAAAAAUUUCAUAUCAAUAUCUAAUAUUUAAUAAAAAAGAAUGAAACAAGAGUAAGUACAUUCUCUUCUCCUUAACAUGGUAUUAAAGCAGUCUCCAAACUCUUAACUCCUAGUUGCAUACUUGAUUUGCACUGGAAGUUGCAGUUUGCUCAUUUUGUUAUUCAAGUAAGUUACUUCAAUCUAUCAUAGUUUAAAUGACUUGGGACGGUAGUUGUCAUGGGCACGAAUUUUCCCACAAAUUUUUCGCAUUCACACAGCGCUUAGAAGCCCUCUAAGCCAACAUACUCAAACCCACAUGAGAUUGCAAUCAAGAAAAACCUCACAAAGACACACAAGGCUAUGGAGCUCAAUCCCUAACUUGUAUUUUAUUUCUUCUCUAAAUAACAAUACCAGACAUAGCUUAACAAGACUUCCACAAUCUCUUUGGUGAGUUCAUGCUCUCUCUCAAGCUAUGUAUAUUCUCUAUGAUCUCCAGAUUGCACGAUAAUUCAAAGGGCACUCCAGUCCUCCUUUUAUAGGUGUGACACCAACCACUCCCUAUUUGAUAAGGAGCAACGAAUCCUAGUUCUACUCAAACUACAAUUAAAAUAAGAAUCUAAACUCCUAUUCAAACUCAAAUUACAAUAACAAUUUGAAUUCAACUCUGAACUUUCAAAUGUCUUCGGCCCAUUCCUCUUUCAUUUGAAACUCCUUGUAUCAGGCCACAUAUCAGCCCUUCAAUUCCCUGGUUUGUGGUGCAAUAUAUCUUCCUUAAGCUUGUCCCAAUGCCAAGACAUCUUUGUUGUGUUCUGCCUGAAGUCUACCCACUCUUGUGCCUUGAGUCAGUCCAUUCAUGCAUUUGAAUCAGCUGAUGCAUCCGAUCAGCUUGCUAUAGCGUCUCUAGGCAGCCUACUACAUGUGUCUCUAUGCAACUAGUGUGCAUGCCAAGCCCUCUCUUAGCCUACAGAUCUAGCAAUUUUCCUUGGUGCCAAUCUUUCCUUUGGCUGUAGCCCCUUGUUGUUCCUUGAGCGUGUCAGUCAUGCUCAUAUGUGUUCCCGCAUCUGGAUCACGUCCAUGCUGAGGCAACCUGCCCAAGUUUGCUCUGCCUAGCUGUUGUUAUGGCAUCAUGCCAUGCCCAAGCCCUCUUCUUGGUGCAGCAACGAGUCAUGGCAUUGCACCCAUGACUCCUCAUCUCUAUGCACAAGGCAUUGUGCCCUUGUGCCACGCCACCUCAUUGCACAAGGCAUUUCCCCCUCAUGCUACCGUUGGGAAGGGAAGACUGCAUAGCACCCCAUGUCGUUGCAACCUUGAGUUGCACACCAUCACAUGUCAUGGAGCCCAUAUAUGGUUGCUAGCAAGGCUUGCCCAUGUGCCUUGCUCAUGUUUGAGGACUUGCACCAAAGCCCCUAAGUGUGGCCAUGCCCAUGCCACCUCGUCUCCCUUGAGUCACCCCCACCCUCACCCCCCUUAAAAGAGCAUUUUAAGCCCUUUUAAUUAAUUCAAGAAAAUCUAGAAAAUUUUGCUUCCACUUGGAGUCUCCCUUUUGAAGGUUCCUAUAAAUCUUUUAUCUCUAAGCGAAUUAACCAAGUCACUUAAUUGUUUUGCAACAUUCCUUCCCUUCCCAUAGUGUAUUUCAAGAUCUCUUAAUGAACAAGACAAUUGGUGGAGGGCAUGAAGUAAGUGGAAUUUAUCACCAUAUUGGCCCACCUUUUACUCCAAUUGCUCUACGUACUUCCAUUUCUUCUAUGUAGUGGCACACCUUUCACUACGCAUCUUUAGCAUAUGGGACUUCUAGUUAUAUUGGACUCCAAGUUAAAGCACCAAGUUUGUGAGUCAAGCAAAUAGCAUCACCAUAGUGUUGUUCUAGUCCUUUUUGUUCUAUAAUCAAUAAGAGGAGUACUAGUCCUUUUCAUCUUGUUCAUUUAGACAUUUACAGUUUAUGUAGUGUUGUUCCUAAUGUUGAACUAAACUUUUUUAUUGCUAUUUUAUUAAUUAGAUCAAUGAAAAUGGUAUGAGCAUAAAGAGGCUGAAUAAUAGGUACUAAUCUCUUAAAAAAAACUAUCUUGUAGAAACAUCAUCAGGUGACUAUGCACAAGUAAAUGGUCUGACAAGGCGUGAGAAAAACAUUCAUUUUUGUGCAACAACCAAGUAUUUGCAUCUUAAUCAACCAAAGAAUAAAUGGCUGAAGACAAUAAAUGACUGAACAAAAAGAAAAUCAUAAGUUUUAGGCCAGACACUUUUUUCAUCAAUUAUAUACAACAACAAUAAAUCAAAUAGUCCUAAAUUUCAAAAGAAUAAUGCUCAGCAGCUAUGCAUACUCACAAGUCACAAAUACCUCAUCCUUGACUAAUUUACAUGAAUGAAUUAUUUACUUACCAUACCAAGAGAAACGUUGUAAGAUAGUAUGCAGUAUUCAGGAGUCCAUAGGAUAAUAUUCCAGAAAUUCCAUAUCUCUUCAGUUUCUUUAGAAGACUGAAAGGUUAAGCAAGAAUGAGCUCUCAAUGUAAGUAGACAUGCAUUUCAGCAUACAAAGGGCAAAAGGAUUGAGGUAUCACUUCUUACAGAUUGUUUGCAUGAAAUUCAGUAGUAGAAGAGAAAUUAAAAUGAUUGGGACAAGAUCACUCAUCCAAACAAUAGUUUAUUUACAGAGAAAAGGUCUAAAGCAUAAUCAUGCAGUAGACAAAAUGAAUCUUUUGUGUCAUGUUCCAAUAAUGUUAACAAACUACAUUAAAUUCAUAAGGUUACAUAGAAAAAGAAAGAAAAGACAUUGUUGCAAUAGUUUGGUUGUUACACUGCUAGCACCCAGACUACGACCAAAUCCUUGCAUUGAAAUUGAAUUUCAAACUCCCAAUGUGAAAAAGGAAGAUACAAAAAAGAAAAGAAAAACAGGAGGAAAAAAAAAAAAACAGAGGGAAAGAAAAGAAACAUGGGAUUUCCAUGUAUAAUACAUACAUAUUAUAUCUAUAGAUAAAUGCAUGUAUGUGCAUAUGUCAUAGAGGCUGGUCAGACACAUUUCAAGAAGUUUCACAACUUGCUUUGGAAUGACAAACACGUGGAUCAAUAAAUGGCUUGUCUCCAUUAUUGAGAAAUUGCAGGUAAAUUUCAUCCACUACAGGCAUGGGGUGGCUGGACAAAGUUAUGCCAUUUGGUGGGAUGUAGUGGACUUAAGACAGAAAAUUCUCAAUCAUUCUUCUGUCCCUUGUGCAGUGUUGAAGCUGACAAUAUUAUUGAGCAUACAAGGAAUGUGAUGUAAAACAUCAUUGAGGACCAUGAGCUGCGAAGGCAGGGAGAAAUUAAGUUAUGAUUAAGUUUUGGUGAGGGAUUUUCAGAUGCAGAUCAUAUGGCAAAUUAACUUCAGAGAAUUGCAUGUUUUUAUUCAUUUCCAUACACAUUGAAUAAUCAUAUUUAAAAUCCCUCAUUCACUUGUUUCGCUUCCAUUAGUGCUCCUUCCACAUGCCUAUUAGCAGCAUAGACCUCAUGAUAGUUUGGUAAAGGUAAGACAAUAAAAUUGAAAAAUACAGCUAAAGCCUAAAAUAUUGGCUCAUAAAGAGAGAAACCAUCCAAGUUCUAUCUUAAAUGACUCUACAAGUUCUAAACAGGGAGACAAGGACUUCAACCUGGUCCAUCAAUGCAUAUAAAUGGGUAAUCAUUCCAACAACCAUUACGUUAGAAGUACACUAAAAGAAAAUUAUUAAACAAUGUUGUUUCCAAAAAUUCCAUGUUAAAGAAUAGAAGAACAUACUGCUAUAAAUGAAAUUCAUUCAAAACAGUUCAAACAGUAAAGUUAAGAAUUGUGACUGCAUAUUUUUUUUUAAAAGAAACAAGAAUUGUGACUGCAUAUCACCACACUUGUUUUAUUUAUAAUCCACACAAUGUAUUCUUCCCUAGCAUGUUAUCCCAUUAAGUAACCUCCAGAUAAAAUUCCCUUUCUGACUCUGUCAAUCAGCCAAAAAAUUUGAUGUAAAAUGUAAAAUACAUGGGUACACAAAAACAACUAUAUAAACUGCCAUCCCAUCAUUAAUAAAUCAUUUGUCUAUAACAUAGACUAAUAGCACUGUAAGGCAAGUAGGAAGUACUCUUUUGAUGUGUGCAGUUCUCCUUCACCAUUUUCGCCCUUUGCACUGGAGUCUAUAAAAAUAUGUAUAAGUAGAUUUUUAGAAAUAUCAAGUUUAUCAAAUGUAAAAUAUGGUAUCACAGAAAGCUACACCAUUUUUCUAGUUAUCAUUUGAAAGAUAUUGAUACCUUCAUGGUUGGCAGAGUAGUCAUGACCAUUUGACAUGCCAGAAGCCUAACCUACAACAAAGGCAAUGUUGAAAAAGCAAUAUUCAAAAUUCAAUGAAAAAAACAGAAGACAAACAAAUGAACAAAUAGCAAAUCAUCACACUCAAUUGUUUUCCAAAAAUGAAAAACCAAAUGAAAGGAACAAGGAAUAUAUUGAGAAAAAAACCUAUGAUCAAUGGAUAUGCAGUUGCAUUCUAGCACAUAUAUAGGAUCAAACAAGUAACUAAUCUAGACAUAGCUGCAGCAAAUUUGUGUAUCUCUGAAUGCGUGUCUGCUUUUUGUGGGGGGAUAUUUAUUAUGACAUGUUCUUAGUGCAGACAAACCAUCUGCAUUUACUUGAGGAUUAGGUAAACAUACUUUCCAUUUAAAAUGAGGCCUUGAACAUCAAGCCCCGGUGAGUUUUCAAAUAAGGAAAACAUAAUAGCUUUACAAUGAGUCCCAUAGCAAGAAGGCAUGCAAUUCCAUUCAUCAGCAUACCAGAAUAUAGAAUAGUGUGGACAUGUGGACACAUGCCAGAAUUAGCAUUGGACACACUAACAUGCCAGUCAUACAUAGAAAGACUUUCCAAAGAUAUUAAAGUAAAACACUGGUAGUAAGCAAAUUAGACCCAGAAAAACAUGCAAGUAUAGGCCAAGAUCAAAUCUUAAUUUUAAUUUCCAGAAAAAAAAUAAAAAAUUAUAUCAACCAAUAGAAAUGGUAUCAUCAGCAAUUAACACCAAAACACACCAACAUAUCGGAAUGCAUAUCACGUGUACCAAUCUCCAAUCAGCAUUACACCUGUACAAGUUAGCCUGUAGCAGGUCAUAAUAGGUUCAGACUAUAAAACCUUCCAAAUCUUCCUUUGCAGGGCUUAGAAACUAUUUUCUAAGUAAUUUGCAAUUUUAAAAGCCUGUGACAAAAUUUUGGAUGAAGAGCUUAAACUAUAUACUCACAAACCCACUCCAAAAUUUCCUUAAGGUAAUACACAUUUUUUGAAGUCCUUUCCAAUGUCUUCUCUUAUUUGAGUUAGAAAAGCCAAUGUUUUUAUGAAUUGACUACUACGGCUGUUGAGGUUUGAGGUGUAUAACUAAUUUCUUAAUAUAUCAUAAUUUACAUCAGUCAUUAGAAAUUAAGGUUCCAUCCUUUUACACUAAGAAAAUCCUGAGAGCAAUUAAAAAAUACCUUCUUUAAUAUUAUUAAAUUUAAGUUUCCUUUAGGUCUUUGAGUCUAAUAGAAAUUAGUAUAAAAGGAAUUUUAAUUUUCUUACACUAAGAAAAUAAAAAUAAUAGGCAAAAUAAUUUUCAAAUUUUGGAACUUUAUAGGUAAUGCUUAUUAAAAUAAAGCAACAAAGUUUGUCAUUUGCCAAUGAAUGAACCAAUUGUGGAAAACUAUGCAAAAAAUUUUAUUAGCAUGGAAUUUUUUUUUUCUGCCAAUAUAUAGAAUUCAAUUUCAAACCUGCCCCUCCCAACCCACCACUUGCUACUUGAGGCAAGCUUAGAGGCAGAAAACUAUUUACAAUUCUACGUAUGGAUAAAAAUUAUUUCUUAGAUUUUAUGCCAAUUCCAUAUUUAUAGGUAUCAAUUUAUUAUUCUACUGUUGUCAGAAGCUUCAAUUUUGGGCGUCCUCAUGGCUAUGCCACCCUUAAAUGAGAACAACUUUGGUCUUCUGUUUUUCUUUUUGAGCUCUUCAAAUUUUUGCAAGUUACUUCUAUCCAGGUUCUAGGAAACACCCAUUUUUUUAAAUCUCCAAUAAUUUAGGGUUCUGUGGCUGAGGGAAUAGACUUAUUUUUGGUUGAAGCACAUAAAAUUCUUGGCUAUUUUUUUAUUUUUUAUUUUGCCAUCAGGUCCUUUUAGGUUGAUUUUUCUACUUAUUUUUCACCCACCAAUUAACAUUGCCCUAACUCUGUUAUCUAUCCGAACAAAUGUUUAUGAACUAGCAAAUCAUACUAAAAUUUCUUACUAGUUGACAUGUGCAUCAUCUCAGCAUGUCAUUCCAACACCAAACUACAACCAUAAUCUCACUAACAUCCUAACUGCCUCAAUGAGUAUGGAUUACAGAAAUGCAAUUAAAAUAUACUUCCCUAUUUAAUUUCAUAAUUUUUAUAAUAAUAUUUCAGCAAUAUUUCCACAUAGUAGCUUAUGUGAGAAAUCCCCAUUUCCGUAUAAAAUCGAAAAACCCUAUAGCUUGCGCAUGUAAAUAGAAAAAAAAAAAAAAAAGACAGAUUUUGCAGAAUUGGGAGAGCAGACUCACACCAGCAUGGCCAUUGAUUGAGCAGAAACGCAGAUGACGAUGAUGGUGGUGGAAUUGGGAGAAAUUGUUGAGUUUGUGGAAUGUGGGAACCCUAGGAAUGCUGGGAUUGAAACCCUGGAUUGAAACAAGAGGAUUGUGAGAGAGAAUUGGAAAUUGAAGAAUCAAACACAAAAAAUAAAUCCAAGAAAUAAAAAAGAAGCGUAAAAAUGAAAUAGAGAAGAGUGUGUAUGACGCACCUGAUGAUGUGAAAGCAGCUUCAGCUGGUGAAGGCAAACUUUCGACGGGAGAGACAUGAGCAUACCGGCCUCCGACAACAAUCCCUCCAAAAUAUUCUUUCUAUACCAUUUAUUAUUAUUAUUAUUAUUAUUAUUAUUAUUUUCAGGUUAUUUGAAGUGCAAUGUCUAGCUAUACCAUUUAUUAUUAUUAUUAUUAUUUUAUUGCUAUUAUUAUUUUCAGGUUAUUGAAGUGUAAUGUCCACCAUACCUUAUAUGCCAUCCAUGAUGAAGGCCUUAGAACUCUCCAUGGAGCCUAAAUCUCGGGAUGCUAAUCACCCUAUAAUAACCAGCAUAGAGUAUAUUCAAAGUAUCAUUAAUGACAAAUUUCGAACUUAGGACCAUAUGUCAUUUACUGAGACCACACUUCUUAAUGUUCAUCCUUAGCGACACACUCAUAUGUACCAAAUCAUCCGAUAACCUGUUUUUCCUAUUUUCUCAUUUUUACAAAAAAAAAGAAAAAAUAAGAAUAACUUCUAUUUUUAAAAUUUUAAUUUUUUUUAUAAGUAAAUUUUUGUUCUCAUUAGGACCUGUGGAACCUCCCACAAGUCCUCCCGAAUCAUUUACCACUUGAGUCAUGCCUUAAUGGCUUGUUUUUUUAAAAAAUAAUAACAACUUUUAUAUAAAAAAAAAUACUUAUAAAAAAUAUAUACAUGUCAUUAAAAGUUUAAAGAAAUUUAAAUUUGAUAAUAAUUUUUUAAAUAAUUUAAUGUGUUAAUUGUUCUUAAAAACCGUAAAUAACCUAAAAAAGAACAGUAUGUUUGUAAAUUGACCAAAUUGUUAUAUGGUUUUAAAUAGUCACCUUAACAAUGUUACAAGUGAGUUGAUUAAUUUAUGGUAGAGAAGAAUUACAAUAGAAUUCAAUUAGUUAUCGCAUUUGAAGUCUUUGAUUAUUUGUUGAAUAAUAUUUGCAGCCAAUUAGCUAGGGUUGGCUAACCCAAGCCAAACCUAGUUACCAAUAUGUCCAACCUAUGCUAAACUCGAUUCAAAGUAAGGUUGGUAGUUACUAAACUCAUUAACAACUAAAGUUUCUAUGGAUUCCCACGAGUUUUCAUGGAUUAUCAAAUAAACCACAUAUAAUGGAAUCUCCUAAUAUAUAAAAGACAUAUUUCAAAUUAUAAAUUAAACCAUAUUAUAAAAUAAAAUUUUAAAAGCUAAGUAUAUAUCAAAGUCAUAAAUUAUAUUACUAUUCACUAAUUUUAAUGGUAACAUGAAACACAAGUGUGAAUAUUUAAAAAUAUUUUAGUAAUUAAACAAAAAUGAUAGACUUAUAGUGUAAUGUAAUAAAACUAGCAAAAGUUAUAGUUAUUUCAUUAUCCCUUUUAUAAAUUUCAUAUUUUAAAUAAACUAAUAAAUAAUAUAAUAGUAAUGAAUUUGCUUAGUCUUCAUCAUGUAGAACCAAUUUGAAGAAUUUUUUUUUAACAGGACUGAUUAAUGACUUAAUUAAGGGUAGGUUACAGCUAAAAUAUUUAGUAGGACUGAUUAGUGACUUAAUUAAGGGUAAACUACAGCUAAAAUUUUCCUAGUAGUCUUCCACUAUGGCAAAUUGUGGGAACUAGUAGUGGCCUGUCCAACCUAUAGAGGAAACAAAUAGGUGAGUGAGUUAUUGAAUAUGUGGCUGAGAGUGACCAACCAUUGAGGCUCACAUGAAGUUGUAGUGGCUGAAAGGAAGGGAUAAGAGACCAAAAACAUGCUCAGAGAGAUUCUUGUUAGGAUCAAAUUGGGGGCAUAGAUAUAUCUCUUUGGUAAGAGUUCCCAUAAUUUAGGUAUUAAUGAAAUAGGUAUAAAAUAAUUAUAUAUCUUGAUAUGAUCAUGUUGUUAAUGAUGAUCUAAUGAGUUGAAAUAUUAUGUUUUCAACUGUGUAUAUCUAAUAAAUACAUCAAGUGCUUAAACUUUAAUAUAGAAAUGGUCCACAAUGGCUUGUAUGACUCAUCGUCUUAUAAACAUAUUAUUUAGAUUAGGCUAAAGUGGUCAAAGUAAGAAGAAAAAUUGAUACUUGAUUUGAAGUAUGAAGAAUUCUUCUUAGACUUUGUGUGUAGUGUUGUUAGCUUAUUGUUGUGUUAAAGUCUAUUUUGAUGUAUUUUGGAAAGAAUGACCAACUAGAACCACAAUAAGAUGUUGCAAAACUUAUUUAAACAAGGGCUUGUGAGCAAGAUUUUUUUUUUUCCCUUUCAUGUACAAAUAGUAUGAUGAAUGAAAAUUUGAUUCUCGAUUGUAAUUAGUGUUUUCUUUAAGUUUUAAAUCAUGCAAUGAAUACUUAAAAUUAGCUUACGAUGUCAAAGAAUGUAAGUAAACAAGGUUUUACAUGUUGGAUAUAUAAUAAAUUCAAAACCUUUACCUUCCACAUUGAAUGAUUACAUUUUUUCUUUAAGUGCCCUUUAAUCAUUCUCAUUUUGUUUAAUCAUUUUCUAUAAUGUCUCGAGCAUAGUAGAUUUCUAUAAAUUUACAUGAGCAUUCCUUAACUCUUCUUGAGUGAUCCUAAACUUAGCAUUGAAACAAUCAUAAUUUAGGCGAAGAUGCUUAUACGUCUUCAUAAUCAUCCUUGGUUGCUAGCCAUUUUUCCUUAAUUACUUUAGGAUGUUUAGUGAAGAUGAUUACAAAUAUUAACUAGUUCACUCAAACAUUUUUGUAUGAGUGUAGAACAAUUUUGCAUUCUUUCCACAUCACUUAUGCAUCUUCGUUCCAAGAAAUAAGAUAUAGAACUCUUAUGUUUUGCCUACACCACUUGGUUCUCCAACCCAUUGUGCUUAUGCAUCCUUUUUAUAUCACAUAUGCGACUUGCUUCUCAUUAAGAUAUUUCACUUACAUGUUCUUGUAUAUGCAUAAUUUAGGAAAAAAUAUUUAAAAAUAGAAAAAUAGAUUUUAAUACAUAUAUUUGGAACAAUUAAACUCAAACUAUGCAAGUGACCUUGUCUACUAUGUAGGUGACUUUGUUUACUACAUAGGCAAAGUAUAUGACAGUGAUAGUCAAGGAAGCUAUGUGGUUGCAUGGUUUAGUGGAGAAUUUAAGAGUAAAGCAAGAUCACAUUGUGAUUUAUUAUGAUAAUGGGAGUGCCCUAAAUUUAUUUAAGAAUAAAAUUCAUCACUCAUUGGUAAGGCAUAUUGAUGUCUAAUUUCAUUUUAUUUAAGAGAUUCUAGAAGAAAGUCAUACCUUAUUUUAGAAAAUUACUGAUGUUAAUGAGGUAGGUCAUAUUUAAAUGUGAUCCAUGUUGAAAGGAUCAAUGUACCUUUAGGUGUGUAGUAGCAAAAUCUUUAAAGAUUGUUUGGUUAGCUUCAUUUAAAUUACUUAGUUAAAUAUUACAUAGUCAAUUAUAUGUUUGACUUUUUGAACUAGAACAUUUAGAUUUUGGUUGUUGUAGUUGUUAUAAUUACUAUUUAGGUUUUUAAAAAGGUAUAAAUUUAUAAUUUUAGUUGGUUUUAUUAGUUUCAUUUAAAAUUCCCAAGAAACUUCAGUGAAGGAAAACAGAGCAAGAGAGUUUUUGAGAAUUGCUUAUAAUUCUUGUAUAUUAUUUUGAUAUCUUUAGUGCAUUCAUCUUAUCAUUACCAUAGAUGAAGGCAUAUUGUCAAACCAUAUAAAUUGUUUAUCUCUUUGUCUAUAUUGAGCUGCCAAGAUCAGUUCCUUGUAAUCCAAUGGCUUAUUUUGAUUCCACGAUGCUACAAUGUAUUGAAUUAAGCAUAGGGAUUAACAAUUCCAAUCAUAAACAAUAAGAGAUCCUCCCCAACAGCAUAAAAAACUUGAGAGACCCGAGGCUCGCAUCUCAGAAUAUGCUCUUGAACUAACACUAAAGAUGCCUAGAUUCACCACCACCCUUUCCACCCCAAUGUUGUUAGAAGUAGAAUCUAAUCAAAUGAAGAGUUCCUGAUAGUUGCGAGUUCUUAUGAUUUUUUUCCAUCAUUUUCUGACUUUUUUUUCAUCCAUUACGUACGUCCUUCUGAGUGGAGUUCUCCUUUCAUGGUAUCAGAAAAUCAUACUCAAUGAAUUCGUUAUAACCAGACCAUAACCAGAACCUCCAUGGCGUGUUUUUCCUGUGUUUUUUCUGAAAAUAUAGCUACAUUUAUACAUAUUUUUAAGAAUAUUAAAGGCAUUAUCAAAGGAAGAAACCGAGAAAACUGAUUGUAUAGAAAUCUAUAAUUGUGCUUACUUUCAGUCCUAGUCACAAAGUUUCAACCAGAUAAAUCAUGUCGAGAGAUGCCCAGCAAGUGGUGGUGGUCCAGGAUGCAUCCAGAGAUGUUAGUUCAAGAGCAAUCCUUAGGAUUCUCCAUGACUUAACACUUAAGCCUGGAGAUGACCUUACACUCCUCGGAGUUCUUCACCAGGUUAAUAAUCCUUGUACGCUUUCUUUCAUGGGAGGUAGGAAAAUACGUAAAAAUUCAUGCCUUUUUUUUCUUUUGAGUACAGAAGAAAAAUCCAAGAAGAAAGAAAUAUUAAACAUAGCACCAGGAAAAUGAUAUAUACCAAAAGGGAAAUUGUGCAGGUUUAUAGAUUGAUGAAUGAUGUGUCAGAUUUCCCAAUACAACUAUUUUAUUCUAAGGUAUACUUUGAUAAUAGAGACAACUAUUUUAUGAUCAAAUGAAAAAAUGAGGUAUAACAAUUAACCCAAGACAAAUCCUUAAGUGAUACUUUAGUUUUUUAUGAAAUAAAUGUUCUUUUUAUAUUAGUAUAAAAGAUUAUUUUUUCUUAGUUUCAUUUAGGGAAAAUUUUGAUUUUUUAAAGUUUUAAAGUUGGUUAAUGUAAAAUUUGUUUUUUAUCUUUUAGAUUUUCUUUUCCAUAUUUACAAAAAUAGAUAAUUAAAUAAACUUAGAUAAAAAUAGAAUUUUCAUGUUCACUUGUUUGCCUUAUGAAUUUAUUUUACUAUUAAAAUAGGUGCUUCUUAUUAUUUAAUUUUAAAAGUGAAGAUGCAUGUUUUAAUAAAUUCUAAGAGAGGACAAUGUUUAAAAUAAAAAAUUGAAAUAUCGUGGAAAUUAAUAUUUUAUUUUAAAUACAGACAAUUUCCAUGUAAUUUUGUUUGUAUAUUAUCACUACAAAUCAACGAUGACUCCAAAUAGCCAUUGGCCUUAAGAGAUGUCAAGCUCACAACAAAAAUAAUGUUCUAAGUUCUCUAAAAAUAUUUUAAUUAAACACAAAGGUAGUCCAUCAUCUAAUCAACAUUUGCAUAUACAAAACCAUUUUAGCAAAAGUUACAUCAUCCGUUAGUAUAAGCAAACAUGAAUAAGUAUUUCCUAAUUAAGAAAAAUAUUAAUUCAAAUAUUUUAAAUUGGCCAACAAAUUAGGAUAUUGAAAUAAUGGUCUCUAUAUCAAAUGAGUUAUAAGAAAAGGUAACAUUAUCUUUCAUCUAAAUUUCUAUGCUUUCACAAUCUUCAAAAUUAAUAAAACAAUAAGUUAUCUUUCAUUUGAUGCCAUUGGCUAUAUUGUAUUUUCUCGUGACAAAGUGAUGAUUAUCUUUUUUUUUUUUUUAUGCACUUGAUUGAUUUGGUUUCCACCAAUGUGACUUUAGUGAUUUAUCCUUCGCCGGUUGUUAGGAUAAUGGUAGUGGUUAAUAUGAUGUCGUCAAUAGAAUAACUACCUACUCUAGGUAGUAUGUUGGAUAUGAUGUUAUAAACCUACUUAUAGAUUAAUAUAGUUCAACAAAUACUAAUUUGAGAGAGAGAGAGAUAGGUCUAUGGUGAGUUGUAGUGAAAGGGAAGGAUUAAGGCUAGGGUUUGUGUGGGUAUGAAAAAGAUAAAAACAUUUUUAUUUUCAUAUCCAUUUUUGGAUUUUAAAAAAUAAAAAUAAAUAGGUGGAUAUAGAAAGAGUUCAAGUGGUUCGUUUGCAAUUUCCCUUCAUAAAACAUCACAGUUGUCAAUGAGAUCUAUGCACUAAGUAAUUUUAACAACCUUUGUUUGUGAAUUGCUUGUUACUGCAUUAAGUUUUGGUAUUCUCCUCCAUGUAGGUGAAACAUAUCAUGUUUAUGUAGAAUCAUUAAUAUAGUGUUUAACAGCUUCCAUGAAAAAGAAAGCGUGAGAGCUUGGGGAUAUACUUCCCAACUUAGAGGACAUCUCAAUAGCAAUGAAUAGAUUUUCAUAUAAAUGGUUAAAUAGUAUAUAAAAUAAUCGAAGAUGUCUUGUUUUAGUUUACCUCCUAGGUAGAUAGCCUAGUUACUUCAAGUAGUUUUGGCAACACCAUUUACUAUCAUCUUCAACGAGUAUAUAUCCUUCAAGGCAAGGCCUCACUUUCUUAGCUCAACAAAAAGUUUAUUAUGAUAAGUUAUCUUGAUAACUAAUGACUAAUCUUGGUGUAUAUAUAUAUAGUUAAGAGGGAUGUGAAUCAAUGAGAAAUAGUUUCCACUUUGUGCUAAUGAUAGGUUUGAGUCAAGGUUCAAAUUUUCAUCCAUGGAAGUAUGAAUGUUGAUCAAUAUGAAAUUCUGGUCCAUCUUGUGAUAACAAAUAGUUUAUCAUAUGUAACUCAAAAUUAUUCUUUCUAUACAUUCAUCUUGUGCACCCACCUUUCUGUUUCUUUAUUGUACGUAUCACUUUCUCUUAUUCCAUAAGGAGAAGCCACUAGACUUGAGAAAUCAAUUAGAGAAUGAUACAAUUCCAACAAGAUCGAGUAUGAAACAUUUCUUAUCAAUCUUUUCAUAGUGACUCAUAGCUUGUAGUAAAUUAAUGGGCUAUUUGUUUUUUAACUUGAGUUUUGAAGCAAGUUGUUUUAAGAUUUAAGAUAAAAGUAAAAAAGAAAUUUACUUUUUCUAUUAACACAAAAUUAUCUUAGAAAAUAUGAUACGUUAAAAAAUAACCAUUUUAAAAAUGACAAAUCUUAUAGAAAAAAAUAAUAUAAAAAAAUAACACUUAACACUAUUAAAUAGUAUUUAGUUUUGAGUUAUAUUAAGGUAUAUAUAUAUAUAGACACACACCACCUAAGGUGAUGUUUUACUUGUUUGUUUGUUUUUUCUAAAAUCUAAAUAGAUUUGAAUUUGGAUUGAAUUUAAAUAGAGCAAAAUGUCAUAAGUGUUUAGACUCUUUGUGCUUUAUUGUAUUUGAAAUAUGUUAAGUGUUAAAUUGUUUAUUUUUACUUAUGUCAAAAUACUAUAAGUAUUAAAUUUAUUUAUUUCACUUGUUAAAAAUGUCUACAAAAUUAAUUAUAGUAUUUGUUAUUAUUUUAGUUUUAAAAAUUUACAAUUUUUAAAAUAUAUAGUAAUUUAAAUAUUUCCAAAAUAUCAAAAUUAUUACGAUAAUAAACAUUUUAUAAUAAUUAAUAUUGUAAUUAUUUAAGCAUAAUUGGAUAAUAACAAGGAUUUCCUAUUAUGCUUGGUUACUAAAAAAAUAUUUUAAAAAAUUUCUAAUUUGACACUUAUUUCUAUAUGGUGUGUCUUCAUAUUUAAAUUUAAAUAUUUUCCAAAAUAUCAAAAUUUAUUACUAUAAUAAAAAUUUUACAAUAACUAAUAUUGUAAUUAGUUAAGAAUAAUUAUAUAAUAAUGAGACUUUCUAAUUAUGCUUGAUUACUAAGAAAAUAUUAAACAAAACUUCUAAGUUAACAAUUAUUUCUAUCUGGUGUAUCUUUGGAUUUAUGGAUUUGUAAUUGAAAAAUGUGUUUUAUUAUUGAGAUUAAUUCAUUAAUUUUUAUAUUUUAGAUUUUCAACAUUAAAUCCUAACAUUUUAUUUUUCAAAAUUAAUUAUUAUUGCUUAUUCUAAUAAUGUGGACCCCGCAUUUCGGCUCAUGCACUUCCACUCGAUGGCGAGCUCGAUUUUUAUUUGAAAAACGAUUUUAUUUAUUAGAAAAUGACUUGGAGUCACCACUUAUUUUUGUUUUAUUUUUAAAGGGUAAACAAAAUACGAAAGAAAACCCUAAGUGUGACUCCUUAUUUUGGAAAAGAUAAUCCACGAAAAACCGGAUCGGGCUCGGGGGUCAGGUUACUUAUCGGGAAGGUAUGGUAAAGACCGUAGCACCCCUCUAAGUCCCUAAAGUCGGGUCUCUACUAAUAAAAUGAAGCUAACGUGGCAAUUGAUGAGGGAAUCAAUGAAUACUUAGUGUAAUCAUGCACAAGUGAGAAUUAAAACAUACAUAUAGAAAGACCAGAAUGGGAGUAGAUGCGUACCUGGGUGAUGAGCCACAAUGCGCUAUCAAGAAAUGGGAUUAGUGCAUAGUAAUGAACAUAAAAUGUGUCAAUCUUAUCACCAAACAAGAGAAAGAACCACCAAUAGCACGCAUGACAUUUCGUUCAAAUUCAUUUUUAUUUUAAAGAAAAUUUAUUUGAUGUUGGGCCCCCACCAUAGCCCAUCUACUUUUGAGUGAAUCGAUUUCGUAAAUUCCAUCAUCAAGAAUUACGAAAAAUAAAUUCACACUUAUUUUGAAACAUUUUGAAAAUCAUGGAAAAUUCAAAAGUGGCUCGCCGGAAAGGAAAUGGUGGCCAAAUUUCAUUGAAAAUGGGAUUUUUAGGUCCUAAAAAUAAACUAAGGAUGAAAACUUAAAAAAAAUGUCAAAAUUAUUUGAAGAAUUUAAAAUUUGAGAAACCAUUUGAAAACUGGAAUAUGAUGGAUUAUUUUAAAAUCAAGGAUGAUGAAAUGAAAAGAGGUGGUACGUGGUCACCAAGACUACAUGUCAAAAGUGACCAUGCAACUCAUGCAAGAGUAGGUCUACGGGUAAGAGUACUGGAAUUGGGUAUAAGAUAACCAAUAGGAAUGGGGUAAAUUAAGAGACCCCAGCGGCAAGCAACUUCAUGAGGCCUUCCUUUGUUGAUGUGUACCAGAACCAACCUUCUUUUUGCCUUUUACAAACUUCUGUAAAGAUCCACCUCUACAAUUCUGAGCUUUUAUGCAUGAUUCAAAGAUAGCAUGAUGUUGUGCUUGGAUGUUCUCUUGGCUAUUACUGCCUUUUCUCCUUGUUGACCGAGAAUUAGUACCAUCAGGCAUCAAGUUAUGCAUUUCUUCCCUCAUCCAAACAAACAAGUUUUCUCUUGCAACUUUAAGAUCCUCUAAUAAGGACUCCAUGAAGAUUUUAAAAUCAUCCAAUGUUGCAGGAUCACAUGCAUUGCUCUUACUCUUCUUCUUAUUAACUUUCUUGAAAGAAUCCCUCUUCGUCUCUUUACUAUAUAAAUUAUUCCUCUUGCUUGAUCCAAUCUGCAUUUUGUUAGCUUUCCCAAUUUUGAAUUGAUCCCCUGAACUACGAUCAGACUUACCUUCUUGUUGAGAUCUAGGAGUACCACUGGUUUCAUCAUUUUCAGGCGAAAUAAGAGAGGAAACCAGUUUGUGCUUCUUGAGAACUGGCUCACCACUGGAACUCGAUUUGGAAUUAUCACUUGAAGAAUCAACGUCACUGUCUCUCCUCCUGAACUCCCACCUCUGCUGAAAUUUCAGGUCUUCACUCAUGUUAGUACUUGGGGAUAUAAUCACAACUGUAUAACUAUGUGCUCAAUCCUCGGGAGAGUCCGACCAUAAACGACUAGACCCACUUAUCAUCAAAGUUUCAACUGCUUGUUUGGAGAAUGAAAUCAGUUUGAUGGAAGGAUUUCCACUGCAACUGCACCUUGAACUCGUUUGAAAGAUUGUACCAGUGAUUCUAGCAGCACCCCUCCUCACAAAUCAAAUUUUGUGAAGAGACACCAUGAUUAAACCGCUCCAUCAUUCUCUUUCAUACACCCAGCACAAGAGCAUCCUCUGUGGAUGAAGCCCAACCAUUGCUCUGCAUCCACUUGGAACAAUCUUCUUAGCCCCAGAUGGGAGCUUGAUCCUGCUGGUGCCAUUAUCAGGGUUGUGGCUGACGACAAUAGCUCACUUGCCGGAUGCCCUGGCGAAGACACCUCGAUCACCAACGUGAUCUUCAACGUUACAGACCUCGGCACCUUCGGGAGUAGAGCGCAGGGGCAGAACGUUAUCGGCAAUGAGGGUGGCUUUCUUACUGCAGCAAACGAACUGGCCCGUGUAUAUGCUCUCAGCCACCACGAUAGGUUCAUCAUGACUGCAACUCCUACUAAACCAUAUCCCUGUCUCAGCAUCAAUAACCAGCUAGGUACUGCAUGUAUCACCAACACCACUAUCGAGGUCCAGGCUAUCACAAGUUCUGUUGCUAGGCAGAGCAGCAGGAAGUUGGUUAUCAAAGACAUGGUAAAUUUUAUCACCACCUAGGCGCACGCCAUCGAGAUGCUCUUUGUAUGUCUGAUCGAAGACACAAGAAAUUUCCAUGAUCAUGUAUAACUUUCUUCCAUUCUUCUUCAGUUGCACCAGUACCAAAUCCAUAUCAGCCAAGGACCCUUCACGCACAAGUAGCCACAGAUCUGUCAGAGAUGCACUUGAUACAAUUUUGCGAGCAACUGUAUGAUGAUUCUGCUUUUGGCCUGGAGGUGGAACUAAACCUUCCACUAAUCUAUAUUUUUCUCAAUAAUAUAUAUCCUCUAACCUUGACAAAAUAAUAACUUAAAUCCCAGUGUUGACUCCUUGCUUCUCGCCACUUAAGCUAACAAUGAUUAUGCCUUGUCACCAGAUGACUUCAAGAGCUAGGUUGUCCAAAAUCCUGUUAAGAAAUUAGUCCACACCAACUGAUAACAAGCUGAUGUGGCCCUCGAAGACAUUGAUUGAACCUAGUCCAUGUUGUAGUCACUUUUUGAAUUUCAUGAUCAAGAAAAUGAAGAGGAAGCCAUUUAGAUGCAUGGUUGAAAAUGGUCAACUGUUAUGCCCCCAUCAUCAUCACCUCUAGUAUUAUGAACACAAACCAGUUGCAACCGCCAUUCACAGACUCCCAUCACAGUUCAUGGGCCUGAAAUGAAUCUCCAACUAAUGGUGUAAGCAACAAGCUGAAUGUUGUUAAAAAUAUGAGAAAUGGGUGGAGAGUUGUGCGUUAAGAAGCAGAGAAUGGAAUAAGGGAAUAUACCCCUUCCCUCAAAGGCACAGAGAUGGAAUCAAGUAAUUGAAGCCGAAGGAAAGCCUUUCGGGUAGCCAAGAAAGCUUGAUUUACAUAUUCUGCAUUACUUUCAGCAACAUUGGCAAUCACAUCCCUGUCUGAGAGGCCAACUGGUUGUCCUUUGUGGUGAGUUCAGUGUCAUUUUAAACUUCUCCAUUGUAUCAAGGGAUAGCCAGCACAAGAAAGAAAUGAUACAAUGAAGCAGACAUGAGGCAUCUUUAGAAAUCCUCUGUGGAUGACAUUUUAAAGGCUCUGUGAUAUUCUGAAGCAUUGCUACUCAACUAUGACCUCCAUCCCUGAUAUAAAACACUAAACCAACCUCAAUCUACUUAACAUGCAUCUCGGGUACUCCAUAGAGAUUAAGCAUCUGUAAUCAUAGCUUCCGCUCCUUGAAUUUGCGUUCUCAGAUGGAGAUGCACCAAUCAAAGCAAACCACAGACAAACACCAAAAACAGAGACGUAUAGAGAAGAAAAUUGAUAAAACAAAACAGGGAUAGGUGAAAUGAGAGUUUGUUAAGCAAAACCUGGUCCCAUAAAUUAUCAACAGGCUUACCAGUUAGUGGGAGGGGAAAUGGGUUUAAGGAGAAAUGAUAGGAGAGAUACAUUCAGACAUCACGCAAUAAAACUGGACAAGAUUCAUACUAUUUCUCUCAACUAAAACCCAUAAACAAUAGAUGGAUAUAUAGUCAUAGCAAAUCCAGUGGAUGCUCAGAGAUCAACAAAAGUAGCCAUAUGAUAUCCACACACAAAUAGCUAAAUAACACCCACUAAUGAACAAAAGAGAAUGAAUAGCAAGAGAAAAAAAUAGAGAUGGAUAAGAAACAUACCUGGAAAUACCCCUCUCCAGUAAAAUCAGCUGAACUGCUAGUCCAUUGCUCUCUCCCCCUUCCUCUGGUUCCCCUCAAGUUAAAACAAUACCCUUCUCAAAUAUCUCCGACCAAAAAACCUUCUCCAAAAACUUCCCUUUCUCCUCUGCCAACCCCCCUCCAAAAAGCAUCUCCCUCUUCUCUACAACUGGCAGAUACGCUCCUCCCAUAACAGAAACGUUCUUCUCUAAACGUCCCUUUGGGAUCUCUUAUCAAACCUCUAAUGACUCUCAAGACUAGGUCACCGAUAUGUAGUGGUAUGGGCUUGACCCGCUUUUUGAAAGCGCGGGCCAUCUUCCUCUAUUAUGCACGAACAUGGUCUGUUGCUCUCAAUCUCAUCUCAUAUAGGAGAUUGAGCUGAUCAAAUCGAGCCUGAGCCCAAUCCGCCUCGGGAAUCUGCUACUUUAGUGCUACUCUCAAUGAACUCAUCUCGAUCUCAACUGGUAGCACUGUCUCCAUACCGUAUACCAAUGAAUAAGGUGUGGCUCCUGUAGAGGUGCGAAAAGAAGUCCGAUAUGCCCACAAUGCGAAAGGGAGCUUCUCUGACCAAUCCCGAGAAGUCUCAACCAUCCUCCGCAAUAUCCUCUUAAUAUUCUUAUUCGCAGCCUCUACUGCCUCAUUCGUCUACGACCUAUACGCAAACGACCUAUGAUGUCGGAUGUCGUAUCUCUGUACUAAGGUAUCAACCUCUGCUCUGAAAUGUACCCCUCUAUCUGAAAUCAACUCAUGAGGGACUCCAUAGCGACAGAUAAUGUGUGAUCUGAUGAAACUAGCAACUCCAGCUGAUGUCAAUCUCUCAUAUGAGGCGGCCUCCACCCACUUGGUGAAGUAAUCGAUGGCGACCAGGAUGAACUCAUGACCACUGGAAGAUUUCGGUGAAAUCUUUUCGAUGAUGUUAAUACCCCAUAUAGAAAAUGGCCAUGGUGAAGUCAAUGCGUGCAACUCAGAGGACGGCACGUGAAUGAGAUCUCCAUGUAUUUGACUCUUGGGACAUCUCUGAACAAACUGACAACAAUCUGUCUCCAUGGUCAACCAAAAAUAGCCAAUCCUCAUGAUUUUACGGGCCAACAUAUGCCCUCCCAUAUGUGGUCCGCAGACUCCCGCAUGAACCUCUCACAUCACUCUAUCGACAGAAGCGUAGUCCAAGCAUAAUAACAGCAUCCCAUCAGGUGAUCGUCUGUAUAGUGUCUUGCCACAAAUCACGAAUCAUGCAGCCAACUGUCUCAAUGUUCUCUUAUCCUUGGCCGUGGCGGCCUUAAGAUAUAUGCCAAGUCUCAAAAAGUGAUAUAUGUCAUGAUACCAUGGCAAACCAUCGUCUAUCUCCGUAUCAUCGAUCAGAAAACAAUAUGUAGGAGCAAAUCUGGACUUAAUCAGUAAAUGACGAAUAGUGGCAUCAGCAGGAAUGUCAAUCAUGGAAGUUAGAGUAGCUAAGGCAUCAGAAAACUAGUUAUGCGCUCUAAGCAGAUGUGUGUAUCUCAAAUCAUCAAAUCUCCCAACCAGUAGCUCCAAAUAUGGCGGUAAGGCCUAAGUUUCACAUCUCUAGUCUUCCACUCGCCCUGAAUCUGUCUCAAAACCAGAUUGAAGUCGCCAAACACCUCUAUCUAUCUAAUCCCGAGCUCAAGGGCCGUCUCUAAUCCCAAGAUACAGACCUCAUACUCAACAAUGUUGUUUGUGGCCGGAUGUCGAUCCAAGAAUGCCAAACAAAUAGAUCGGGGAAUGUGAUCACCAUGAGGGGAUAUCAACAAGACGCCUAUCCCGUAUCCAGAAUGGUUGGCUGCACCAUCAAAGUACAUGUGUCAACCUGAUAAACUAGUCACAACAGCGACAUCCUCGCCUGGGAAGUCAUCAUCAAUGGCUCUACCAUUGGAAACUAGUAAUGAGGCUAAGUGAUCUACAACAAUGCUCCCUCUUAUGGACUUCUGAGUGACAUAAUGGAUGUCAAACUCGGUCAGAAGUACCAGCCAUCUCAUGAGACGACCGAUCAAAGCGGGUCUGUCAAAAAAAUAUCUCAGAAGAUCUAGAUGGGAUAUCAAGUGCACUGAAUACUCGGUCAUGUAAUGUCUUAGUCGGUGAGUGGCCCAAACCAAUGCCAAACAGUAGCGCUCAAUCAUGACAUUCCUUGCCUCAUAGUCUAGCAUCCUCUUACUCAAAUAAUAAAUGGCUUAGUCAUUGCCUGAAUCAUCAAGCUGAGCUAACAUGCACCACAAUGCUACAUCUGAAAUUGACAGAUAUAGGAGUAAGGGACAACCUGGUGUAGGAGGCGCCAAGACUGGAGGUGACAACAAGUACUUUCUGAUCCUCUCAAAUGCACGCUGACACUGAUCAUCCCAAACAGUAGGUUGACUCUUCCUCAAGAGUCGGAAAAUGGGCUCAUAGAUGUCUGUCAAUCUGAUGAUGAAUCUACUGAUAUACUGAAGUCUACCCAAGAAGCCCCUGACCUCUCUCUCUGUCCUCGAUGCAGGCAUGUCAAGGAUGGCUCUGAUCUUAUCCGAGUCUACCUCUAUGCCUCUCUCUCUGACCAUAUACCCCAAGAGUUUCCCAGAAGUCACUCCGAAAGUGCACUUCUUGGGAUUCAGUCUCAAUUUGAACCGUCGGAUCCUCUCAAAGAACCUCUCUAGAGUUGCUAGGUGAUUUGGUCUGUCUUGGGAUUUCACUAUCAUGUUGUCUACAUAAACCUUGACAUCCCGAUGCAUCAUGUCAUGGAAGAGGGUGGUCGUCGUUCUCUAAUGGGUGGUUCCUGCAUUCUUCAAUCCGAAUGGCAUGACUCUAUAGCAAUAAGUACCCUACUCGGUAAUGAAGGACGUCUUCUCCAUGUCCUUUGGAGCCAUCAAGAUCUUAUUGUACCAAGAAAAUCCGUCCAUAAAGGACAACAUCGAAUGACCUGUCAUACUAUCAACCAACAUAUCGAUGUGUGGGAGAGGAAAAUCAUCCUUAGGACUGGCCUUGUUGAGAUCUCGGAAAUCAACACAAACUCUCACCUUGUCGUCCUUUUUGGGAACAAGGACUACAUUGGCCAGCCACUCCGGAUACUCGACCACUGACAAAAAUCCUACACUGAGUUGCUUCUGGAUCUCCUCCUUCACUUGCAAGCUCCAACGAGGGUGCAAUCAUCUCAACUUCUACUUAACCGGUCUAGCAUGGGGCAGAAGUGGCAAACGAUGUUGGACGAUAGAUGGAUCAAGGCCUGGCAUGUCCUCAUAGGACCAUGCGAAAACGUCCAAGUAUGCUCUGAGCAACUGGAUGAGGUUGUCCCUCUCAUCAUCAGAUAAAUCUGAUCUGAUCCUCAACUCCCUAGGCUGAUAUAUUGUGCCGAAAUCAACAAUCUCCAUGUCCUCUAUAGCAGGUGAAACUCUCUGAUCAAAGGGAUCCGAAUCGGAAAUAGAAGAUGAGUCAUCAUCUGAGUCGUGUUGUGCAAUCUCAUCAUCAAUAUCAAAAAUCUGUGAUGUGGGUGAAGAUGGUGCAGAUAAAACAAUAUCGUAAAAGAGAGGCAAAUUUUAAAAAAUGCUCAAAUCCAUAGAUGAAAAGUCAGAAACAUAGUCAUGAUGGGAGACAAAUCCCGAUAAAACAUCAAAUGAAAGAGGUGAGUCUACAAAGUCGAACAUUCCCUCAACUAGGCCAAUAGGGCCAUCAAGAAAAUCAUCAACAGCUAUAAUGUCCUCAGUAAUCUCCGAAGUAGGGGCAGUCUGGAUCUCCUCAGCGAUCUCAAUGAAAGACACCCCGAAGAGAUCAAAUGGUGAAGUGAGCUCAGGCUGGACUAUCUCCUCAAUCUGGCUCAAGCUCAAUGCAAGCAUCUCAUCGACGUACUCGUCACAUGGCAUAGCUCCGUCUACUAUGUCGCUAAUCUCAACAAAUGUCUUGUGAUCAUCGAUCUCAUCCAAUAAGCAAAGCGUCAUAAGGCUCGUGCGAUCUGGAGAGGCAGGAGCGAUCAACGCAGAAGUCGAAGGAUCAAGGGCUCCGUUACUCAAUUGUAACUGCUGGACGAGGCGCUGAAGCUCGGCCUCCUUGGUGGUGUUGAAUCCUCUGAUGAUCCCAUCAGAUGGUGCAUGUGACUCCGAUGCCCUCACAAAGUAAUCUGCCAGGCUCAUGGUGUAUGGGCGAACAGGAUAAUAAAAGAGCGUAUGAGUCAGUCGAGCCCUCACCCUCUCCUUGCUCAAUCGCGCCAUAUAACGAUAAUCGGCCUCAGUGGGGAUGAACCUGAGUCCGAAUGGUACGUCGUGAUCAGGGAUGGCUAUGAACUCACUAGGCCCAUGCUGACACUACCCUAACCCUAUGCCGGGAAAAUAAGGCAUACUCUGCAUCAUAUCGAGCACCACCGUGCUACUAUGCUGGUCAAAGGACAUGGCUACGAAAUCUCGGUAGAAAUCUUCUAUCUCCACGGUUUGUACCUCAUCAAAGGUGAAUCCAGUCAGAAAAAGAUCGUCAUCAGUGUGACUAAUCUCAAGCACAGGCUUGGCAAAAAUGAACAUAUCUCCCACAGACUGCACCACGACGACCUGGCCAUCGUGAAUAAACUUCACCUUUUGAUGAAGGGAAGAAUGAAUGGCCCCAGCUCUGUGGAUUCACGGUCGGCCCAGAAACAGGUUAAAGGAUGUAGGAAUCCUCAAAACCUGAAACACGGUGACAAAAGUGGCCAGAUCAAUUAGUAGUUCAAUCUCUAGUGUGCCCAUGACCUCCCUUCGAGUACUGUCAUACGCGCGAACGGUCUAAGUGGAGGGACAGAAAUCAGAUGGUGCAUAGCCGAGGGCAGUGAUGGUGGCCAGAGGACAAACGUUCAGGGUCGAGCCAUUGUCCAGAAGGACAGAUGGGACUCGACGGCCUGAACAACCAACAGAUAUAUAGAGUAGACGCGUGUGGUCUGAGCCCUCUGGUGGCAAGUCAUCAUCGGAGAAUACAAUGCAUGUGGCUCUACCGACCGUCAUCAUAUGAAUCAAUCCCUCAUGGGAGGUGGUAGUCUUAACUCUAAUCUGGCUCAGGGCUCAAAUCAGAGCAUCAUGGUGAGUGGUCAAGGAUGCCAACAAACUCCAGAUGGAAAUACGAGCCUGAGUGCUCUAUAGCUGCCUCAAAAUCUCGGCGUCCUCUACUCUGACCUCAUCGGGAACAGAUGUACCCUCAACUGGCUUAGCUGCUGCGCGAGGUGGCUAUCGCAACACUCUACCUCCUCAAAGAAUAUACUAAACAUCCAAAGUUUGAGAAUCAUCAACAUGCGGAGCUUGAACCUCCUCAACAUUCGAGAUCAAGAUGAAUGGCGUCUGGACGCUGUAAUAUGGAAAAAUCAAUGGCUCAACAGUGGUAGUCUGUACUAAUGCCACCUGGGGAACUAAUCCGAAUGAAAUGGGCAUCUGAGGCCCCAAAGUCGCUCCGUCCAUCUCAUAAAUCCCAUUUGACAUGAUAGGCUCUGGCUCAAUGUCAUCACAGCUCAACAUAUGGAUAUAGUCAUCAUGAUCAAAGAACUCCAGGAAAUGUAUGCUAUCGACCGGUGGGGGGACCACAUGUGUAGUGUGGGCAAGUAAUGGGUUUGUGGUUACACUCGGCUGACCCAAGUGCACCAAACCCUGGUCGAUCAGAUCCUGGAUGGCAUGCCUCAAAGUGGUGCAGCGAUCGGUCUCGUGUCCAGGCCCUUGAUGGUAUGCACAGUGCAAAUCCAUCCUGAAUUAAGGUGGAAUCGGCUGAGGUGGCAGCCUGGGAGUGAGAACGGUCAAUAACCCGGCCUCUGUAAGCUUCCGAAGAGCCUAGCUCAAUGGCAUGCUUAAUUGCGAGAACUACCUCUGUGUCCUCAAAGCAGAUGGAGCAAAAGUCUGCUGAGCUUUGGGUUGAGGAUAAGGCGUUGUGGGUCUCGCAGUGAAUUGAGCAGCAUAGCAUGGCUGUCCUAUGGCCGUGUAGGAAAUUGGGGGUCUCUCAAUGUCCUGGGUGGCAUAAUAAGGCAAAGCCAAAGUCUGUGGCAUGUAGACUGAUCAUAAGUCGGGUGAGGCGCUCGUGGCCUAUACUGCUGAGGUGGAUAUGAAGAAUGAGCCUCAGGAAGCUAUGGGAUCGGCUGAUGGCGCCUGGGAGGUCUCUAACUGGAAGAACUAAUGGCGCUCACGUCAACUGAUCUUUGUCCUCCAAAGGGCUUCUUCCCCUUAACAUCACUAGGGGAAGAAUCUGUCCACAAUCCUCUAGAGAUGUCGUCCUCGACAUCGUAUAAAGUCAAAACCAAUGAACCAAAAUCUGUGAAUGGUACCCUAACCACGUGUCUGGCGAUCCUGGGCUGUAAACUCCUCAAGACCAUCUAUAUCUGAUCUCUCUCUGAAGGUCUAUCAAUGAUCUCGACAAUCUUCCCACGCCAGCGGGAAAUGAAUGAAGAAACUAACUCAUCUAUUAUCUACCUCAGAGCCUCGAGCUUUCUCCUCGAUACAUCCACGACAGUGUUAAAUGAAAACUGUCGUAAGAACUCCUGGGCCAAGUCGUCCCAUGUUCGGCGUCGUGAGGACUUCAAGGAUGCAAACCAACGUUGGGCCGUCCCACUCAGAGAUAGUGGAAAUAAAGUGAUCAUCUGAGACUCAUCCAAUCCAUGAGCCCUCAUCACUGUGCUAUAGAGUCUGAGGUGGAUGCGUGGACAACUAAUGAUCGUAUAUCUCUUGAUGUCUGGCAUCCUAAACUUAGCCGGCAAACUGGCUAUCGGCAUACCCUCGAAAUCAUCCCAAACAAUUGAUCUAUCUGACACUCUCAUCUGCCUCAUACGCUGUUUAAGACAGUCCAUACGUGCAUGAGCAUCAUCAACGACAGUGGUCUGGACAACAGCGGGUGGAACAAUCUCAGAAUGUCCAUGUAAUAUAUAGGGUGAGGCCUGAGGCACUGAAGGAACGGGUGGUGGUGGUGGAUGUGGAUGUGAGUCAUACGACGUCUCAUCCUGAACUGUUGGUGGUCUACUUUGCUGACCACUGAUCUCCUGCCUGAGGCUAGCCAAAGCCUCCUGGAUAGAAGCCAUGGUAGCCGUAAACUGAUCCAUUGUAACAACCUGCUGAUCCAUACUCGGUCUCUCUGAAUACCGGACUAAUCUCCCCUCUACUCUGACCCAAGAAGGCGUAUCCAGACUGUGAACGAAGAUCCGAUCCUGAUCGAUUCUUCUCCUACUCCUCUCCUCAAGUCUCUCAAAACCAGCAUCCAAAAGCACCUCCUUCGACCUCUCCUAUCUUCACUCCCCUCAAAAGCACCAGAAGUCUCUCAAAAAUCUCUUUUGCCCCUUGCCAAAAAGCCCCCUCCUCUCCAAAAUAUCUCCCCACAAAACGCCCCCUACGCUUGCCAGAAUAUCCUCUCUCUCAUCCGAUCCUCCUAACAGACUGCGGCCUCUCUAGAAUGUUCUUUCCACGUGUUCAACUCUCAUUUGCUCCUCGAUUCCACUACCUAAUUCUCUGUCCACCAACCACGAGGUGAUACGUGGCUCCUUGAGAGCCUUCCACCUGGCAAAAUGAGUUGCAGAAAAUGCAUGAAAGUGAGGCCCCAAAAUGAGGGUCUACAAAUAGGUUUUUAGAUGAGUGUGAAUUGUGUUUUGGAAUUCUAACUAAAAAAAAUUCAUUAGAAUUGAUGAUAGUUUAUUUUAGUCUUGUUCUACUAUAAGAGGUUGAAUUAUAAAAAUUUGUAGUACAUACAUUUCUAAUAAAAAUGUUUAUGAUUUAAGUAUUGUUAAUUUUAUUAUUAAAUGAGGAAUCUACAAAAAUUUAUGAAAUUUAAUUUUGUUGAGAAUUUGAUGAAUUAUGAAGCAGAAACAGUAGCUAAAUGUGGUAGAAUUUUGAUUCAAGUUUUGGAAUUUAUGAAUUUAUUUAGAUUAAUUUGUUACCCAAAUUAAGUUACUUUUAUGUUGUUGGGCUUCUUUUAAUAAAAAAAAAAAAUCAUUAAAAUUUAUAUCUAAAUUUUAUCAAGAAUCAAGAGGAAAAAUGGACAAAAACAAAGCAUAUUUCAAUCAUUUCAUUUUUUUUUCUUGAUGACAACUUUGUUAAUUUAUAAUAUAUUCAUUUUUCUUCCAAAUUACACAAAAUUGAAAUAGUUUAAUUCUUUCUUCAGAUAAAAGUUAUCUAAAGUCAUAAAAAAAAAUGAAAUUGAUUUUAUUUUAUGUGAGGAAUUAGGUCUAAAUAUCAUAACACAGUUAGAGAUCAAAAAAAUAUAAAGAGAAAAAAAAUGACUUUUUCUAUUAAUAUAAAAGUUAAAAUUAAUUCAUUUUUUCCUUAAGUAUAUAUAUAUAUAUAUAUAUAUAUAUAUAUAUAUAUAUAUAUAUAUAUAUAUAUUUUAAAAAAAAAAGUAAUAAGCUGAAAAAUAAAUAGUUCUAAAAUGUAUUCAGUCUUGAAGCAACUUACUUUAACAUUUGAGUAAAAAAACUAAAUAAAAAAUAAAAAUAGAAAAAAUCAAGCCCUAAAGCAUUGGAUGAGCCAAUGAUCGGAUACUUGAUUUUAACUAAGCAGUUACUUGUCAAUAAUUGUGUUCAUGUUCAUCUCUGCCAAGUACCUUAAAAUGAAAAGGAACAAGUUCAUAUAAAAUCCAAUUUGUCUUUCUCACCCAACACAAUUGCAACCAUCCACCACCAAUUCAAUAUCUCGAAAAACCUUCAAUGUCUCUAAUAGAACCAAAAUCAUGUUAUAUUUGGGAACAUUAAAAUCUUGAUGUAAUGCAACAUUUCAAAAGAAUUUUUCACUUUGAUCUAUGCUCAUAUCAACAUUUCUCUUUGAUAUAGGCAUUUUUCAAAAGAAUUCACCUAUCUUUUCUUGCUAAAGCCUUAAAUUUCUCUCUUCUCUCCAUAACAAACCUUGAGCAUGCAACUUACUAAAUAGACAUUACAUAGGAUUCAAAAUUAAUUUUCAACAAUUCUCAAGUAUAGUGCCUAUUGCAUAAGCAAAUAUACUUUUAAAGAUAUUGUUGAUAGCCUUCUCUAUGCUAAUAGCACUUUUAAUGCUUGGGUUGAUCUUUAUGAUUGAUUCCACCAAAGCAAUGCCCCACGAAUCUUCCAAAUCGAGAAGCACAUAGUUGUUCUUGAGCAAAGAUCUAUGGAUGUCAACACAUACUACACUAAGCUCAAGGUCCUCUAGGAUGAGCUCAAAAAUUAUCAACCCAUUCUUGUCUAUCACUAUGGAGGCACAAAGUCUUGGUUAGACACCAACAAUAGGAGUACAUCAUGCAAUUUCUUAUGGGUUUGAUUGAGUCAAAUGCUUAAACUUGAACACAGAUCUUAAUGAUGUCUUUGCACUAGUUGUCCAAGAAGAAUGCCAAUGUACUAUUAAUCAAGGCUCUUUUUUUCCUAUCGAUUCUCUUAUGCCCAACAUUUCAAAUUCCUCUGCUUUUGUUACAACAACAAAUUUUUCUCGAAAUUCAACUUUAAAACCCAAGUGUGAGUGACCCUAAUAUUCCCACUGUGGCUUGCAAGAACAUAUUGUAAAUAAAUGCUAUCAUCCUGGCUAUAAGUCAAAAUCAAAGAAACCUGAAGUAAAAAAUUCAAGCCACCUAGGCCAAUGCAACUAUUAAUGAGACUAUUAACUCUGGUUCACCCCUUGGAUCUCUUACUUUAGCUCAGUGUCAUCAAUUGUUUGCAUUCUUGAGCUCUCAACUUCAUAACAACUUUCUUGUUAUGCUAGAAUCUCAAUAGCUAGAACCCUUUGUUUCCCAGUUCAAUGGUAUACUAUCUUUUUCUUCUGUCUCAUAAUUUUCCAAUUUCUUUUUCCACCUGGAUUUUGGACAUAGAAGUCGCACAUCAUGUUUGUUGUUCAUUAAGCACAUUUACACAAUCUACUCCAGCACAAAAUUCUUUUGUAACUUUGCCUAAUGGUCAAUCUGUUGUUAUUAAUCGUAUUGGUUAUGUGUUUUUGUCUCCUGAUCUCAUCCUUAAUAAUGUCAUGUUUGUUUCUAAUUUCCAUUUCAAUCUCCUCUUUAUCUGUUCGCUCACUCAAAGUUAUAAAUCUUCUAUUAAUUUUAUGGUUGAUUCUUGUACUAUUCAAGGCCAUACACGGACCAAAAUGAUUGGGAUGAGUAGAAGACAUGGUAGCCUAUACUUCUUAAAUAUAGUCAAUUUUCAUUCCACUACACCACAAAUUUUCAGUCCUUGUAAUAAUGUUUCGUUGUCUCAAAAUGAAAUUUGGUUUUACCAUUUAGGUCAUCCUUCUUAUGUAACAUUACAAACAUUCAAAAAUGAAAUAGAAGUUAAACCAAAUUCUGGUGAUUCAAGUCAUUGUUUAGUUUUCCAUUUAGUCAAAAGAUGCAAAUUACAUUUUAUUUCUCACAAUUAUUUGUCUGUUUUGCCUUUUCAACUCAUACAUUGUGAUGUUUAAGGUCUCCUUCACACAUUUACCAUUGAAGGUUAUAGAUAUUUUUUUUACUAUUGUUAAUGAUUGUACUCAUUUUAUUUGGGUGUAUCUUUUGCGUGCUGAGCCUGAUGUUACUGAAGUUAUUCCUAUUUUUUUUUCUCAUUGAUUCAAACUCAAUUUGGAACACAAAUAAAAUUUGUUCACUCAGAUAAUCCUCCUGAAUUGGCAUUUUUUGACUUCUUUCAUGCAAAAUGAGUCAUCUCAUUUCAUUCUUGUGUUGAUUAGCCUCAACAAAAUUCAAUAGCAGAAAGAAAGCAUCAACAUAUCUUAAAUGUUGUAUGGUCUUUAUGUUUCCAAUCACAUAUUCCAUUGGUUUAUUGGGGGGAUUGCAUUCUUAUUAUUGUACACUUAAGAAAUAAAACUGCAUUCCCACUUUUGUCCAAUAAAACAACCUUUGAACUUCUUUGGAAAAAGAAGCUUGCAUAUUCACAUCUUUGUAAUUUUGGUUGCCUAUGUUAUGCAUCUACUUUAGAUCGUCAUAGGACAAAUUUCUCACCUCAUGUCAUUCCUUUUGUCUUUCUUAGGUACCCAUCUGGUUAUAAAGAAUACAAAUUAUUGAAUCUAGUCACUAAUUCUGUGUUUAUCUCCCAUAAUGUGGUAUUUCAUGAGUCUAUAUUUUCUUUCAAAACUAUUCAAACUUAUUCUCCUCUUCCAAAUAUUUUCUCUGAUACUGUUUUACUAUUUCCUUCUUUUUCUUCCAUUCUUGAAUCUACAUCUUUGCCAAUAUCAACAAUUCCUACUGUUUUCAUACCUUCUACGUCUCAUUGUCAUCCUAAUCGUGUUCGUAGGCCUCCUUUUUAUCUAGCAUAUUACUACUGCUAUUCUUGUUCCCACAGCACAUCUUCUACCUCACAUCCUCUCACACAUGUCCUUGAUUACACAAAAUUGUCAAAUUCAUAAAAAUAAAAAAAUGAAUAAAAGUUUGUGUUAUUUCCUAUAAUUUUGAACCCACCACAUACUUCAAGGCUGCUACUAUUCUAGAUUGGCAAGAUGCAAUGUCUGCUGAGUUAGGAGCUCUUGAACAAAAUGACACUUGGUCUUUAACUACUUUGCCACAAGGAAAACAUGCUAUUAGGUGCAAAUGGGUGUACAAAAAUAAGUAUAGAGUUGAUGGAACUAUUGAACAAUACAAAGCUCACCUUGUAGCUAAAGGCUGCACACAACAAGAGGGCAUAGACUAUCUAGGUACCUUCUCUCAUGUUUUCAAAUUGGUUACUGUUAAGGUUUUGCUUGCUUUGGCUACCAUUAAUGGUUGGAGCCUUCCUUAGAUGGAUGUCAAUAAUGUGUUCUUACAUGGUGAUCUUUUUAAGGAAGUUUAUAUGACUCUCCUAGUUAUCACCUGAAGGAAAAUCAUUAUCCUCACACUCUGUUUACAAAAUUCAAAAGUCUUUAUAUGGCUUGAAACAAGCAUACGACAAUGGUUUUCCAAACUCUCCAAUUUCUUACUUGUUGAAGGUUUUUAAACAUUCUAAUGCAAAUCACUCUCUUUUUGUCAAAGUUGUCAGUACUCACUUCAUUGCUCUGUUAGUUUAUAUGGAUGACAUUGUCAUUGUUAGUAAUAGUGAUGAGCGAGUUGAGAAAUUAAAAGUUCUAUUUAGGAAAGCUUAAAUACUUCUAAGGCCUUGAGGUGGUGAGGUCUAAUAAGGAAAUUUCCCUUAGUUAGCACCAUUAUGCCUUACAAUUACUAUCAGAUAUAGGCUAUGUUGGUUGUAAAUCAAGGAAAACACUUAUAAAUCCAAAUGUGAAGCUCACACAAGACAAAGGUGAUCUAUUAAAAGAUCUUUUAUUUUACAGAAGAAUGAUAGGCAAAUUGCUUUAUCUAACCGUAGCAAAUCCAGAUUUAUCAUUUUCAGUACAUAAAUUCAAUCAAUUUCUUGCAAAGCCCAGAGUUCUUCAUAUGUGGGCAAUACAACAUGUGCUUCAGUACUUGAAAGCAUGGUUUGAAAUAUUGGUAAACACGGAUAUAUCGAUACUUGGAUUUUAUGAAUAUGUUGGAAAUAUUGGUAAAAUAUCGGUAAAUAUUGGUAAAAUAUCGGUGGAUAUUUUGGCAAAAAUAUUGGUGAAACAAAAAUUAUUCAAAAUUCAUGGAAAUGUUUGGAAAACUCUAAAAAAAAUGAUAAAAUAAGCAAGAAUACAUAUGUUAAAGUUAUUGUAAGUGGAAUUGACAUAAAUAUGGUCAAUGAGAAAAAUAUGGAGGGAUAUAUCAAACUUAAUAAUUUAUUAUUUAUCUUAUCAAAUUAAUUUUAAUUUAUAAAAUAUUAGAACUUCAUUAUUUUUUUUAUUUUAGUAAUGUUUUGAAUACAUUUAUAUUUUUAAUAUUUGUAAAAUAAAAACAUUCAAAAUUAAAUAAAAUUAAAAGGAUAAACAUAAAAAAAGUGAACUGAUAGCAAUUUUUAAAAAUAAGAUUAAUGAGAUAAAUGAUGAUACAUUUAAUAUUAAAACUAUAAUUUAUUUAAUUCAAAUACAUUCAACAAUGUAAAAUAAAUUAUGAUGCAUAUAUAAUUUUUUUGAUAUUUAUAUUUUUUUUAUAUAAUUGUCAUAUAAAUGAUAUAAAAAAUAAAAUAAAAUAAAAGACUUGUUAAGAAAAUUAUAAUGAUGGUUUUAUACUUUUAUUAAAUAAUUAAAUAAAAUUUUAAAUAAAAUAAUUAGAAUUAAUUUAUUUAUUCUUUUAAUGAUGAAUUUUACCAUAUUUAUUGUGAACAUAUAUUUACAAAUGUGGACUUGGCCCAAUAGUAGUCAGGCUUCACCCAAGCCUUUUGGCCUAGGUUUGAAUCCCCUUGGAUGCAAUAGAAAAAAAUUUGAAGGAAUUUACCCGAAUAUCGACAUCUUUUCGAUGAAGUUGAUUGACUUUCGGUGUACAAUAUCAUGUCGACUCUCCCUGAUAUUUUGACGAUCAACUUUUAGUGUGGAAUAUUGUGUUAGCUCUCCCUGAUAAGCAAAAUAUCGACAAUAUUUCAUCAAAAUUUUGCAACAUUUUAGUGUGGAAUAUCAUGUCGACUCUCCCCAAUAUUUCAACAAUCGACUUUCAGUGUGGAAUAUCGUGUUAGCUCUCCCUGAUAAGCAAAAUAUCGACAAUAUUUCGCCAAAAUUUUGCAACAUUUCAAACCAUGCUUGAAAGUUAUGCAGGACAAGGUUUUUUUUUUUUUUUUUUCAUUAAUAGAGUUGAAAAGGUUUGUUGAUUCAAAUUGGGCAACUUGUGUGGUCUGUUAAUGAGUUUUGCUUUUUUUUAUUUAUUUAUUGUUGAUUCCUUAAUUUCCCAGAAAUAAAAAAGGCAGCAUACAGUUUCAAGAUCUUUUGUUGAAGUUGAGGACAAAUUUAUGGCAAAUGCAACAUGUGAAUUGAUGUGGUUACUUUCUUUAUUUAGAGAUUUGCAUGUAUCUCGUCCUAAGCCUGCCUUGCUAUUUUGCAACAAUCAAGCAACUCUUUAUAUUGUAGCUAAUCCAAUUUUUCACAAGCACACUAAGCACAUUAAGAUCGAUUAUCACUUGGUUAGAAAGAAACUGCAAAAUGGAAGCUUGAAGACACUACAUAUUUCAUCUAAACAUCAAGUGAGAGACUUGUUGACCAAACCUUUUUCUUCACCUCAAUUUCUUUUUCUUCUUAGUAAAAUCGAAAUUCACAAUAUUCAUUCUCCAUUUUGAGGGGGAGUAUUAGAAUAUUUGGGUAUCUUGCAGUAUGGUUACAAGUUAAGUAAAGAAUUGUUAGUUUGUUAAAUAAUUGUUAGCUUUUUUUUUUUUUUUUUUUUUGCAACUAGAUGUGUCUAUUCAAUAACUUCAUAUGGUUAUAGUUAAUUAAAGAAUCCUUUACGUAUUAACUGUUAAAAUAAUUUGUUUCCAACUUUCCUAUUAAAUUUUCUUCUGCUCAAGAUUUCAAAAAUUAUAGUUCAAGAAAGCUCUUUCGAUUUCUAUGUUGCACUGUAUCUUCUUAUAUGUUAGUACAAAUCAUACUCCUCUUUUUACCUCUUCAAUGAAUCCUUUUAGGAGUAAGACCACCAAGUGAGCACCCUUAUAUUGAUCCACAAGCUUUUUAUUACAUAUUUUUUGUUUGUGCACACCACCUCAAAUUUAAGUGGCCCAUAAAUUUUAUACUUUGGAUACCUUACCAUCCAAUCAUAAGCAUAAACUAAAUUUGAAAGGAUAAGAUUAGUUUAUUUUAGAGAAAUUGAGCUCCAAGUCCCCUAGCCAAACAUGAAGUUUUGAAGCAUGAAAUUUUUGUGAUGGGACAUAAUUGCAAUCCUUAUUAAAUUGAUCAAUUGUGUUAUGCCAAGAAUGCAAAUUAUGCAUGGCAAAGUGGUUAGAAAGUGUACAAAUGCACCAUCUUUUUACUUGUUUGUUUACUCAAAUUUCUCGGUCAAUUUUUUUUUUUCAUUCUUAUCCCUCUUGAUUGAGGCAAACAUGUUUUGGCUAGUGCUCUCAAAUUCCUUAAAUAUAUUCUUUUCAAUAUUGUAAACAUUUGGCUUGGUCAUUGUUAUAGUUAUCAAUUGUGUCAACUUUUACUUUCUCUCAUCCCCAAUUACAUAUGCACUUUGUAGCUUUAAUUUUUUUUUAGUGAUUAAUCUUAGUUUUUAUCUAAUUGUUUGCCUUAUAGUCUUUGACAUAACUAUAAGUGUAACAUGUACCUCUCACAAACCAAAAGACAUCACUUGUCUUCUUUAAUUUAAACAUUUUUGCAUCUGUGUAAGAUCUGAAACUAGAAUUUCACAACAUCGCGUAGUCAUUUUCUCUAGUUGUUUCUCAAAGCUCUCUUCAAGAUUUAGUUCAUGUUCAAUUACCAACUUUGAGUUUUCACUUUUUUUUUUUCCCAUGAGUCAUGAGGAAAUGAAUUUCAACUGUGUUUCAUCUAUCCAUCUCUCUUAAAUUGUUUUAUUCGAUAGUUACCAAUUGUAGAAUUGUUUUUAUAUAUUCUUUUCAUAGAUAUUGUUAAUAAAUUAUGCUAAAUGAGUAGCUUCCUGAUGUGGUGAGAGCUAAUUUUGUUAUUGCUAGGAUAAUAUCUUUUUAACUUUCUUAACUUUUUCCGAAUUAUAAACCACUCAUGCUUUGACCAAUCUCCAUGUGUUUUUCAUUUGUUUGGAUUUAUGGGCUUUUGAUUCUAUUUGGUGAAUAGAUAAUAAGGAAUUAAGGAUCUGAGAUUGACAUUACUUUAAGGAUGUUUGAAGAUGACAUAGUGAAGCAUAGAAUAUUUUUUUGGGUUGUAUCUCCUCAUUUCCCAUACUUAUGGUGGACAUUGAUGAGUUGGAUUAUUUGAAUGAAAUGAGCUUUGGAAAAAUACUAGUAAUUACAUGAAUUGUUGCAAUAUAUUUGAGUGAAAAUAUUAUGUUAGUGUCUCUCCAUGUCACUAAUUCAAACCUGUUACUUUCCAUUGUAAGUGGUAGAAAUAUAUUUUUUAUUUUCUAGAAAACAUUACUCUAACUUGUGAAAAAGGUUCUUAUGCCUCCAUAUUAAAUGUUAUAUGAUGGAAAAAAAACUUGAAUCUCUCUGUUUCCUCAGUCUGGAUCAGGUUAGGAAUAUGCAUAACUAUCCUAGGCUUUUUCUAAAUUCUAUGCACAACAAAAAAAUUAAUUUUUUUUAUACUUUAUAAGGAUCUAGAAAGUGCUAACGAAAACUAUACCUCAAAUUCGGAUGCUCCCGAGUCUUCCGCUCGAUGACUCAAACCUUGAUCUUGGCACACUUCUAAUGGGGAGGAAAUGAGGGUGGAGGCUAUAGUUUUCUCUCUCUCUGGAUGGUGGACGAUAAAAGCUAUGGAACCCCUAACCUCUAGGGGGUAUUUAUAGGGUUCCUAAGUGGGCUUAAGUGACUUGAGCCCAUACAGGCUUGGGUCACUUAAUCUAACCCAAAAUGAGUUCUAACUGAUUAAUUAACCCAAUAAGGCUUACUAAUUAAUCAAUUAGCCCAAUCAAGAGACCUUGUUCACUUACCCCUAUACAACCUUGCGUAAUUAUCAAAAUGCCCUUAUGCACAGAAGUGAACUUAGAGUCAAUUCAACCCUCAUAACCCAUGCCAACAAGGUAUAUGAGUUCAAAGUGGGGACCAUUGGGACCCAUAGAAAUACUGACUCCCUCAAAAUCAAAUUCUAAAGUUGAUUCAAUAUCACACUAUAGAGAAUCAACUAAACUCCAAUAUCUUAUGUAAAUAACAACGAGACACUAAGUGAUCGGGUCUGUGACUUGCUAUCCAUUGUGUUCAGUCUCCCCAUGAACUAAUGUCCGUAGUUUAAUAAGGUGAAAGCUAUUAGUCUUUCAAGACUACCUCUACCUUCUAUUUUGUGUUCAAUUGACAUAUCUUAGCUCUCAAAGAGCCUAUGUCAAGUUCCAUUUAAUGAACUACAUGACCAUAGUUUCCAUGAACACACCUCCUUAAGAUCACCCAAGGGGACACACUAUCUCAAUCCUAAGAGAUAUCAUAGUGCCUCUAUUGAAAAUACCUAUUACUACCAGCUUCUAUCAACAAUGACCCAAUCCAUACGGAAUAUAUGAUCAGCUUACGAUUUCACCUGUAGGUCAAAGUCAUUGCCAACUUUAGCACAAGCUUAAUAUUCUCUCAAGGUUGAGAGACAACACAAUGAAACAGCUUGGUGAGGUCAUGACUCAAUAAUAGCCUUAAGUCAUGACUCACCAUAAGUCUUGUCCAAUGUGUAACCAUACAUACUAGUGCACUCACCAUGGGAAACCCAUCCUGAUAACCAAGACCAGUGAUCCCUCCAAUUAGGAGGUGGUGCACUACAACCUUUAAUGGGUUGCCUAGACCCAUGAACCAAUUGUAAACAAGUCAUCUAUUUGCAAGGAACCCAUGACUUAGAUCUUCUGUGCAACUCCUAAUGCACCUAAGUCACGUACAAUACAAAAAAUGCAGACAAGAAUGCUCAUAAAGUAUAAUAUAUGGAAUAAGAAUAGAUAAAAGUGAAACUGGAACAUCAUUAAAUAAAUAAUGAAUUCCAAAUUUAUUACAUCAUGUCAUGAUUUUAAGUGCUUUAUCCUAACAUUAUAUAUUUGAGAUAAACAUGAUAUAAUGAGAUUUAUGUUUCUUUGUUAUAAUAUUUCAAUAAGUAAUUGUGUUUUAAUUUUAAUAAACUAUGCAUGCAUGAAACAAUUCAAGUAUCAUUAGCAUCAUUGGUAUCAUUGUGAGACAAAAGUUUCUCUUAUUACAUACUAAAGAGAUUUAAGUUAUCAAAAAGUGAAAACGGUUUUAUCUAGGCUAGUUUCAAGUUGACAACUUUUAAAUUGUUUAUCAUGUGAUAAAGAACUUUUCCCUACAAAUGAUACUUGAAUUGUAUAAUUAGACAGUGUAGGAAAACAUAAUAUCUAUGAAGUUAACUGUUUAUUCUUAAUUCAAUUUUUAGAAAUUUUGGUAGUCUUUCCUCUUAUUCUCUGGGUGCAUAUUUGGAUAAAGUUGCAUAGUAUGCCUUGUCCAUUUUACAUACUUAGAGAACUAUAAGGAAAUUCUACUAAAACUUCUUUAAAAUGAAAUUGACCACAUUGGUCAUUGACACAUAGAGAUUAUGUAUUUCUAUAUGGGAUAGGAACUACUACCGAAUUUAGGAUGUUGGAGAUGUUAGAAUGCAUAAAACAUGCAUCAAAAUUUGACAUACUCAAAUGAUUUUCUUUAUUUAGUAAAUUAGUAUAGAUAAUGUUUGAUGCAAAGGUCAUGGACAAACCCAAUAUAAUAAUAUUAAUAUGCACUAGUUUUAUUGAGGUUAUACAUCCCUUUUAAUGCAAGUAUUCAUGGUCAACAACAUUUAUAACUUAUUAGUCACUACUACAAAUAAGAUAUACCAUGACCUUGUUUUUUCCUUGGCACUUUUAAAAAUGUUAAUAAUUAGCGUGAUAUUUCAAAAGUGUAGAUCUAUGUUCAUAGAUCAAAAUGGUUAGAACAAUGCUUACUUUUUUUCUUUUAAAUUUGGCAUCUUAAAGAAAUGUUGAACUACACUUUCUUGAUUAUUAUUUGAACAAAAAAAAAAGGUUGUUAAACGAAUAGCAUAGAAAAUGUUGCUAUUUUCUUCAAUUUGAAGUUUGAUCACUAUUGAAAGUUUGUUCUUAAAAAAUGGAUCAUUUGUGGAUUUCAAAGGAUAGAGGACUAAAGGAGUAUGGGGAUGGGGUAGAACAUUUUUAUCACAUUUGCAAUAUAAAAUUCUGCAUAUAAAAACUCCAUUAAAUGUCCAUGCUUGUAGAGUGGUAAUAUGAUAUUUCAUACUCCUCAAAGAUUUCCUCAAAGAUUUCCUCAAAAUAUUAGAGAGCAUAUGUUUUUCUAUAGAAUUAAUCAGAAUUACCAUAUAUGUUAUUGGCAUGGGGAAGCAACUCCAAGUGAACCACCAACUAGAAGGGUAGAACAUUAUAAUAUGGUUCAAUUUAAUGAUGUAGAUAGUACAAUAGAAAUGGUUGAAGUUGUACAAGUUGAAUGUCAAAAUGACCUAAAAUUGCUUGAAAGAUUACUUCAAAUUGUUGAAAAACCUUUUAUAUCCUAGUUGUAGAAAAUUCACACAAUUGUUUGCAUUGGUUAAAUUAUACAACUUGAAAACACACUAUGAGUGGUCUGAUAAAAGCUUUUCAGAGCUUUUAAAAAUGCUUAGAUAUAUGUUGCCUCUAAAUAAUGAGUUACCCUUGUCUAUGUAUGAGACAAAAAUGGCAUUGAAUACAUUAGGAAUGGAAUAAGAAAAAAUACACGCAUGCCCCAUGAUUGUAUACUUUACAGGAAUAAGUUGAAAGAUGCAUUUCAUGUCCUAUCUAUGGAACUUCAAGGUGAAAGGUAGAUAAUAUAGGAACUAAAAAAAUGACAGGAACUCCUGGGAAAGUAAUGUGGUAUUUUCCUCCAAUUCCAAGAUUUAGAAGAAGGUUUCAAUCAUAAAAAAUCGUAAAAGACCUCAUAUGGCAUACCUAAGGAAGAGAUUUAGAUGACAAAAUGUGUUAUCCAGCUGACUCUCUAUCAUAGCUAAUUGAUCAUAAAUGGCCCAACUUUGUUUCAAAACCUAGAAACUUGAGACUUCCCAUUUUAGCAGAUGGUAUAAAAUCCUCACAAUUCAUUGAUUAGCAAAUAUAGUUGUUUGUCCUAAAGAGCUCGAAGCAGCAACUAUGGACAAUGUUUUUUUUAUCAUAAAGAGUAAGUUAUGGGCAACACUAUGGCUGUAAAUAGAGGUAAAACCUUUAACUUGUUUUUAGUUUGAUUUUUCUUUUCUUUCAUAAUGGAAAUAGAAAAUCAUCUAAACAAAUAGGACCUUAAUAAUUUUUUUUUUCUACAAUUUAUUUUUGAAUAAAAUAAUUUAAAAGAUUCCAUUCUUAUAUUUGUUAGACUUUUUUUUAAUGAAGAAAAAAAUAGUCUCCCUUUUAGCAUAUAUAUUAUAUAUGAUUAACAAUGGGUAUAAUAAAAUUUAUUUAAUAAAUAAUUGAUGUGACAUUCUAAAUUGAAAGUCAUAAAUUAGCUCAUUAGUUUGAUGUUGGCCCUAAAACUACAAGACUUGAUUACAUACUUAGAUUUUAUUCUUGAAAUUUAAGAGAUAAUUGAUGUGACAUCUUGAAUUGAAAGUCAUAAAUUAGCUUAUUAGUUUUAUGUUGGCACUAAAACUACAAAACCCAAUUACAUAAAUUUUGUUCUUGAGAAAUGUCAUUAUGGUUCAUAGUAAGGCUUAGUUUGGUGUGUUAGACCAUGCAUGCAUGAUAUCUCUUCACAUUCUCUUGUUUUUUGACAAACAUGCUACCAUACUUAAGGUGUUUGUCAAGGCUCAUCUUGGACUACUCAAAACUUUGGGGUCCUUUCUUUGAGUUCACAAGCUUCUUUCCCCUAGUGUCAACCCCAACUCCCAAAAUCCACUCCUUAGUAGUGCACUGACGAAAUCUACAAAUGCACUAUAAAGUGAGAAUGGCAUCAUGAAAAUGUAUUAAUGCAUCGUAGAUGUGGGAACUUAAAAAUAUAUAUAUAUAUAUAUAUAUAUAUCUAGAGUUUAGACUUGUUUCUAUUAAUUAGAAAUUACUAAGCAAUGAAUCUUGCUAGUGUGGAAAGUACCAAUAGAUUGACCAAGGAAGGUAUAUGUAAAAAAGAUUGACAUUGUCAAUUGGAAAAAUUCCUUUACAAACGUCAACCCUAUCUUCCUAACCAUCAUGGAUGUUGAGAAGUAGAUAUCGAUGACUAUGAUGAGGAUCACAAAGGAUUAUCAUACCAAGGAGUUAGACAUUUGUUGGGUUAUCAACAAUUUUAAUGAGGGUGGUAUUAACUAUUUGGUUGUUGAUAGUGUAUUGCGUAGUUCCACCAAGCCAAUCUGCUCCUGCAUUGAGAUCAAUCUCGAUGAAAAGGUAGCAUAUAUUUUUCAUUUCCUAAUUCUAUCAAUUGCUUCAUGGUGCCUUUGUCUAAUAAGCUUAACAGGUUCUUCUACAUUUUCACCAUUUAAUUCUCUAACGUUCAUCAUGAUAGGGUUGAAAUUUCAUCAUCAAAUCAAAACAUAUCCUCCUAUAAGAGGCCUUUGAAUUCUGAAAUAAUCAAUUCACUUUAUUCUCAUAUUGGCAAAGACAAGCUUACACUAUUGGAAAGACUACCCCUAACCUUUGCCCUCCCAAAUAGCAAAGAUGAGAGAGAACCUUUCACAAAAUCACAAGAAUUAUUCAAGUUUGGAAUUCAUAGGCAUUGUUAUUGAAUUUCAUUUGUAUAAAAUUGGUGUGUUGUGUUUAUUUUGUUGGUAUUAAAAUUGAAUUUUUUUUAAUUGCAAAUUGAUGAUUUUUUUUCUCUCUCACAUUUAUACCCAUUAGAGUUUCUUAUUAGGGUUUGUGUUUGAAAUUUGGAGAAAGUAUGGUGCAAUUGUUCAUCGGUGUGGUGUACCAUUUUGUUUGUUGUAUCUAAUAUUUGGGUAUUUGAUUUAAUUUUAUUGUUGUUGAAAUUGAAAGUUGAAAUCCAAGUUAAUUGUUUAACUAGCUAUUUGUAGUUGACUUGUUUUGCACCAAUCUUGAUUACCCAUUUCAUGGGAAUAAUCGAUUCCAAUUUUCCUUCAUGGUUACUAAAAAUAUAUUGUAGGUGAAGGACUAUUAUGGAGUAUAUUAAUUCACAAGAAAAAUGUUCCUUUAGUUAGUAAAAACUUCAUUCAUGUGGUCAUUUAUGAGCAUCAUAAUAAUCCAUAUUAAAAAUAUUUAAAAACAUUAAUGCACUAAAACAUUGAUUUCAUCAACAAAAAUACACUCAUUCUUUUGACUUAUAGCAUUCAAAGAUGUUUAAAAAUAUAUAUGUACAAUAAAACAUCAUCGAAUUUAUUAACAAUUAAACUUUUAACCCCAAAACAAUCCGUUACUUUAGUAGAUAAGACACUAUUGGAAUAACAUUAUUUUUAGCUCAAGUUAGAAGUUAAAAUGAUAAGGUUAAAAGAACAAAACCAACAAAAAAAAAAAGUUAUUUUUUGUCAAACUUGACACUAGUACAAUUUAAAUAAUGUAGCUCAAUGCCCUAUUGAAUUGAGUCAUAUAACUAGACUCCCUAAUUAUAUAUUAUGAUACACACACAACCUUUGGUCUAGUAUACAUGAUUAAAUUAAAUGCCAACCUAGUUUGCAAAGCUAAACUGGAAUCCCAAAUCUAGUUCAUUAUAAAUACUCUUCAACCAACUUGCUACAACAUUCAAAUAAGACAAUGACAAUGAUAGAAAACCAAAAAAAUACCUAAUAUAUCAUUGAAAACUCCUUCCUAAAGGAGGUAAAAAAAAUCAUGAAGUAACUUUCUUCUAUUAAUAAAAAUGGGAAUACAAUGAUCUAUAUAGUGUUUUAACUCGAAACUGAUGGUAUUACAAAUAUUAAAGAAGAAAUUUAAAACACACACACACACACACACAACAAGCAUGUUGUCAAGCUUAUAAGAGUUGGAGAAAUUUCUCCAUAUAAAUCUUCAAAACAUGAUGGAGAGUAACCUUGACAUUUAAGUCAAUAAUAUACAAGGAAAGACAACCCAAAAAGAUACAACUUUGAGAACAAACUCUCCUUUUUGCUUUUUUACAUAACCUUUUUUUUUUUUUUUUCCUUUUUGAAAACUUCUCUCCUUUCCUCUAAUUGUUACACCAUACAACAAUCCUAAAAAAACAGAGUUUAAAGGCUUGUUUGAUAACUGUUUUUAAAAAUAAUUUUGAAAAAUAGUUUUUGAAAAUUAUUCUCUAAUGUUUAAUUUGUAGAACAAAAGUUUGUUUGGAAACCCAAAAUAUUUUUAACAUGUUUUUAAUGUUGUUAAAUAUGUUUUAAAAAUAAUUUUUAUGUUUAGUAUUUUAUUUUUAAUCAUUUUAUAUGUUUAUAUAAUUAUUUUUUAAGGCAAACCUUAAAAAAUAAGUGAAAAUAACAUAAAACACUUAAAAGAUAUUAUCUGAAAACACCUUAUUUUAUUGUAACAGAAAAUAAAAAGCGGUUUUUGGUUGUCAAACAUGUUUUCUUAAUUUUUUAUUUUGAAGAAUAGAAAUUUGUUCUUGAAAAUAUCUAGUUAUCACAUUAGUUAUUGCCCAUUUUAUGAUUUUAAUUAUUGCUUAAAAACUAGUUUUUCAGCUAAAAAAGAAGGUCCACUACUUAUGGGUCAAACCUUCAACUUUCAAACCCGAACACAAAGUUAUAGUCAAGACUAAUAUUCACAUAUUAGUAUUAAUAUAGUUCAUUAAAUAUGAAUUUCUAUUGAAGCCAAAAUCGAGUUUUUAGGGGAAGUAACAUUCACUUUCAAUUAAGCAAUUUUUAACUCAUAAGUUAGUACUUGUAACAAAAUUUCUUAAUAGAGACUUUAAUUGAGUUUUAAGAAGAAUUUUUUGUUUGUUAAAAACCAAUUCAAACAAAAUCUAAAACUAAUAUUAUUAUCUAAAAGACAUAAUGAACAACAUAAACCAUAAACCAAAGUGGUAGUGACAACCAAUAUGUAGCGUCAAUGAAUAAUUGAAAAUAACCUCAUUUUCUAAUGACCUCGAACCUAGAAGCUCUAAAAUUCUUGCCUAAUUCCUUGUGAUGACUUUGGUUCAACCUUAAUGGCGAGGGCAAAAUUCUAAAUAAUUUUUGUCACAACUCAUAAAUUUAGAAGAAAAAAAUGAGAAUAAAUGGAAUCCCUAAUGAGAAAUUGUUAUUUUUCCCCUUUAUGACAAAAAUAGUAACCUACUAGUAUUAUUAAAUAACAUGGAAAUUAUUAUUUCAACUUUAAUACCAUGUAUGACAUAACUUUAACAACCUUAAUUUAUAAGAUUAUUUAAUUUAAAAGGAUAAAACAAUUACAUAUUCAUAAGAAUCGCUUCUAUUUUUUAAAAACAAUAAAUUCCAUUUUUUGGACAAAAAUACCCUCCAUUGUUUUUAUCAACAUUUCACAAUCAAACACUUAUUGGAAAAAAAAAAGUAUAAGGGUAGCUAUAUUAAAAUGAGGUUAUAAUUAUAAUACUCAAUAAGUGGAGAUUUUUUUUCCAAAUAUUGGGAUCAUCUUCUCCAUUUGACACAAAUAUUUAUAAUUUAUAUUAUAAUUACUCUUAUAGUAAGAGAGAAAGAGUAAUUUCACAUGAAAUGGACCCAUAAACAUAGAUUUAUUAUGAGGCAUGAUACUAUAAUAAUAAUAGGAAAUAAGACGAGACGUGAUACCAUAAUAAUAGAAAAUAAGAUAAGUAAUUCAAUACUUAAUGAAGGUCUGAAAUAAUUAUGUUUCUCAUUAAAUGAUAUUAAAGACGAAAAAAAACUUAUUAAUUUUUAUUUUAAGUAUUAAGAUUAUUUAAUAAAAUUAACUUAAAAUUUAUUUUAAAUUAUCAAAUUGAUAUAUUUAUUUUCAUAGAUUAUAACUAAGGUAAAUGAAAUCAAGUAAUAAUGGAUGUCAUGUAGUGAAAGAGAUCCUAGAGGCAACGGGACAAAUUGUGGUAAAAAAUGUCAAAUAAAAAUACGAACUUAAGAACAAAUUAAUUGUUUGUACUUAUUACUUAAAGUUGUUAUUUAUUUUAUAUUAUUAAAUUAUUUUACUAAAUAUGCUUAAUUUAUUUAAUGACUUAAAUUAAUUUAUUAGUCACUUUAGGCUAUUAAAUCGGGUUUACCAAUCAUAUCGAAUACAUUUGGCUAGUAGGCCAAGACUCAAGAAUAUUGCUAUCAUAUGUUUUAUGUAUUAAGGUGCCAAGAAUAAUUCACCACAAAAUAUAUGAUGAGUUGAUAAGUAUAGGAUACAAUCUAAAAUAUGCACUUGAUUUCAUCAUCUAAAUAAAUGCUCUCGGCAAAUGGAUCAUCCUAGCUGAUACCAGAGCACAAGCCGCCAUGGACAGGAGGCAACGGAGAAACCCUUCUGCUUCUUCUUCUGCCUUUUCAUCUCCAGCUUCAUCCUCAUCGCGUUUCCGCUCAGAGAAAUUCUCCUCGAAUCCCCCAAAAACUAGUAACUCCCUGGAGGAUGCUCACCAAUUGAAAAGCAAAUGUGGGAAGCCACAAAGACCAAAGCAAGAGGAGGAAGGAGAGCAAGAUCCGAACAAUCUUCUCUCCUUAGUUGGAACUUGCCCAUUCAUGUGCCCUGGUAAAAAUGCGUGCUUAUUUUUCCAUUUUUUUAAAAUUCUAUUUUCCUGUUAUUCUGUGUUUGGUUUCCGAGAAAUUGGAGGAAAACAGUAGAAAAGAGAAGUGAAUCUGGAGUUUCUGUGUCAUUUUUGUGGCUUUUACAUAAAUUUUACAAAUAAAAUUGAUAUUUCUCCCCCUUUAUUAGAUACCAAUCUGCAGAAGAUGUAGGAAUCCCAAAAAAAAAUUCGCUUUUGCCUUUACUUCCCCCAAAUCUUUCAUAAUGGAAAAUGGACUUACCACCUCUUUUAUCACUUUUCCUUUACCAUGUCAGGUUUACAUGUAAUCAAACACUGUAUUUGGAGUAGGGCACUUAUUCUAAUGUCAAAUGGUGUUGAAAACUUGAAUUACUGGAUCUUAAGACUCCAGAAGAAAUUUGAUUGUUUAUGAUUAUUGCUCCAUGAGAAGGGAAAGGGAUUUCUUUUGUUUUUGCUCACAUAUAUGGCCAAAUUGAUUUAUCUCCUUCUCAUACGAACAAAAUAAGGACAUUUCUUGUCUUGCUGCCUUUUAUGCCACCGGUUCCACAUGCUGAUGUGACAACCCUUUUGCUAUUCUGUACAAAUGGUAGGAAAAUUCUGGUAAGACUGGUGGCCAGCCUAUCAUGUUCAGGGAAUAAAUUCAUUGUAUAUCUGGAAUUCACUCUAUAUCAGCAUAGGGUGUUGAUACUGAUUAUAAAUGACAAAUUCAAUUUAUUAUCCUUACAUUAGGGAGUGCUAAAAGGAUGCAAAUUGUUCAUGUUAUACCCAAAGACAUACAAGUGAUGCUAGAGAUUUUCACAAUGUGGAUAAUCAUAGAGUAGAGAUGAACACUAUGGAGUCUUUUGGCAUGUGUUCAUUCCAUGUACGGGAACAUGCAUUGGAAGAUUAUGUUUCCUCCUCCCUUCCCCUCCCCAAAGUUAAUACUAUGUUGUCAUGGCAAGAACUUUGGUGACAUGCUUCUGAGUGGAAUAGCCUCCUAGAAGUCCAUUUAUGUGGCAGUUGGCAAGUUCUUCCGGUCAAUGAGAACUUUGUGACUGUCUGAUUGUUGUACUAAUCAUCAUCAGAUUUUUUUUUAAGUUCAAGUUGUAAAUAGCCUUUCACAGUUGAAGGUAGCGAUGAAGAGGCCUGUUGACAUAAUUAUUUCUUCUGCUUGAAUGGAUUAAAAUCAGAUACCACACCUUCAGCCUAGAAAACUAUGGACUUUCCUAUGUACCUGCAAUUGGCUGAAUACUGGUGUGGCACUGACUAAAGGCUCUCUGAUGCUGUUAUUAAUUUCCUGAGCAAAUUAGAGAAAACAGAGAGGUCAUAAUGUGAAUCAGUUACCUCUUGAGUAGGGAUGAAGGCUUUUUAUAACUUUUUACUUUCUGGUUAGGCCUUGGAAGCACUUCUGUGAACCAUGAUUUUGUACUGUAAAAUUAGAUGGGAUGGAUAGGUCACCUUAACUCUACUUUUGGAAGUGAUUGGGGAGCGCAUGACUGUAUGAAUAUUGAUGUGUUCUCCCCAUACAGAGCCCAACUUCUUUUUGAACUAGGAAGCAUGAAGGGUGGGUGGAUGUGGGCUGAGGAAGGAAGAUUUGACUUGUGUGCCGCAGGCCUGCGGUACCAAUUUGUUCCAGAACUUGAUAAGGCCCAUAAACUGGUAGGCAAGUUUCAUUAUUUGGUCACCACUGAAUUUUGGCAGUAUGGCCACAAGGAAGGUAGGAAGGAGAGGGAGAAGAGAAAACCCCAAUUGCCAAUUGCAAGCUUCCGGUUGGCACAGUGCUCAUUGCUGACAUUUUCAUUUGAUUUUGACCUUGCAACAGAUACAGCUUAACAUGAUGGACCAGUUUUUCACAAUCUUGUGAUUCAUUACCCAACUUCUAGUAACAGUUUCUCAGCAGAUGACUCACCUAUGACAGGCUGAUGAUGUCUGCACACAACUUGAAAGGUAUUCAUGCCAAGGUGUGAAAGGUAAUAUUGUGACACCAUUUUGCCUAUUCCAGAAAAUGUAACAAAUGUAUGGCUGGUUCUUGACCUAAAAAUGCUGGCAUUGGUCACCAAGUGCUAGGGUGAUUCUUGACAAAAAAUGUUCGUAUUGUUCAGAACAAUGAUUUACAACUUCAGAUUGGCCAUCCAGUUAACGAUGAUAAUCACUUGUUUUACAAAGUUCAGUGUCAUAAAAGCAAAAUAAUUUUGUCAACAAAUAUGCGGAUAACUUUAUCAUAAUUACUACUUAUGGAAGUUAAGGAUAAGUUGGGUAAUGUGAGAAAGUUUUGGUCAGAGGAUAUGAGGAUAAAUUUGUUGCAAUUGCUAAGCUUCACCUCCUAGGACUACUAGGAGAAACGUAUGAGCAAUAGAACAAAUUUACAGUCCAUCCCCAUUAGCUGCAUGGAGAGGUUGGGCUUAUUGCUGCUAUGGUGGAGGUCACCUUCUUGUAGACUUUGAAAUCUGCGAAUGAAGAGGCAGAUUUCUUAGAGGAAUUGGUAGGACUCCAAGCCCCCCAAAUGACAGGGGGGUGGGGAGGAUGGGGGUGGUGGGGGGCCAUUUCUAAUUUCAUGUCUUCUCAAUGUGGAUUUGAGGUUUAACGAGAUUUUUGGGAAAUCAUUAAGGUUAAAAGUAAUUGAAAGAGUGUGUCUGUGGAGAGCAAGAGGGGGAAAUGUUUGGUUCCCAACUGGGGUUGCUUCAUCUGACCGUUAAUCUCACAGCAAACACCGACGGAGCGUUGUUGUUGGAGGCUUCCAGGUUCUCUGAUCAAUUCUCUUGUUCUUUGUUUUCUUUGGGGAAGCGGGAAACCUCUCUUUCUUCUAUUCCUUCUGGGCGGGAUGGGGAAGGUGUUGCCAUUGCCAGGGUUUCCGAUCAGGGCAGUGGUUUAGAAGCCGUAGGGGGAGCUGUUAUGGGCCCGUUAAGGAUGAUAUUGGCGGAUGGGAGGGAGGCCGAGGUCUCAAAUUUGGCGGGUAGGGAGUUUGGGACUUUCGAGGAGGCGUCAGAGGGGGUUUCGAAAAGGGUCUCCCAAGAGGAUGAAGAAGAGAGGGACAAAGAGGGGGAACUGUGUUGGCAUUCUAGUAGCUUGGCUAAGUUCAGCCGCUAUCUUGGAAUGCCGAUGGAGGGCUUCGAAGGGGAAAUUUUGUUUUUGCUUAAAAGAAUGAAAGAGAAGAAACUUCAAAAAGGAAAGUUGAAUGGCAGAAAAAGGAAAAAAUUGGAGUCAUCAAAAUUCGAAAUAGAAUUGAGAAAGUUGGAAUGGACAGUGAAUUAUCUUGGAGGAGGAGGAGGAGAGGGGGGGGAAGUACGAGCAGGUCUAAAUGAAGCUCCGACUGCUCACUUGGAAUGUAAGAGUGACCAAUAAUUGUGAUAAGAGGAAGGUGAUCAAAGCGUUGAUAAAGAAGAAUAGGGUGGAUCUGGUUUGCCUAUAGGAAACCAAGAUUUAGGAAAUGUCAAUGGGCAUUAUCCGUAGCUAAGGAGUGGGAAGAUUCCUUGAAUGGGGAGCUGUAGAUUCAAGGGCACAGCUGGAGGUAUAGUGGUGUUUUGGGAUAACAGGGUGUUGGAUUUGGUUGACCUUCAAAAAGGAUUGUUCUCUAUUUCUUGCACUUUUAAGAGUUGCGAGGACGGUUUCAUAUGGACGUUUACAAGGGUUUAUGGCCCAACAUUGAGGAGGAAUAGGGAGAGUUUUUGGGAGGAGUUGGGGGCCAUUAAGGGGCUUUGGAAUGGGCCGUGGUGUGUUGUAGGGGAUUUUAAUGCCAUUCUAAGUCCGGAAGAGCGCAACAGAGGAGGGAGCUUGAAUUCAAACAUGAGAAGGUUCUCAGAAGUUAUAGAAGAUCCAGAGUUAAAGGAUCUGCCUAUGGUUGGGGGUCCUUUUACUUGGAUUGGAGGGGUGAAUAACCAGUCUUUUUCAAGGCUGGAUCGUUUUUUGGUUAAUGAGGGGUGGGACAGUCAUUUUGGUGAUGCGAGGCAGUUUGUUCUACCAAGACCUGUGUCCGAUCACUUUCCGGUUCUUCUGGACGGAGGGGGCCUGAGAAGAGGCCCUUCCCCAUUUAGAUUUGAGAAUAUGUGGCUGAAACUGGAAGGUGUUAAGGACCUUUUGAAGCAUUGGUGGGAGGAAGGUAGCUUCAGUGGAUCCCCAAGUUUUAUCUUGGCCGAAAAACUAAAAUUUAUGAAGGCUAAGCUGAAGAAGUGGAACAGAAACACAUUUGGUAGGGUUGAAUAUAGAAAGAAUUUGGCUUUGGAGCAGGUGGAGUUUUGGGAUACCAAGGAGAAAAUUAGCAGACUGUUGUUGGAAGAGCUGGAAGCUAGAAAAGAAGCGAGGGAAGAUUAUAAAAAAUGGGUCUUACUUGAAGAAAUCACGUGGAGGCAAAAAUCUAGGGAAGUGUGGCUGAAAGAAGGGGAUAGAAAUACCGGUUUUUUCCACAAGAUGGCCAAUGCUCACAGGAGGAGGAAUAAUGUGGACAGAAUUAAGAUUAAUGGAGCCUAGCUUACAUAGGAGAAUGGAAUUAGGGAAGGGAUUGCCAAUGCUUUUAGGUUGUUGUUGUCCAAUCCGGGGGAAUGGCGCCCUUCUAUUUUCGAGCUGCAGUUUGAGACUUUGGAGCCUUUGGACGCUAGUGCCUUGGAGAUUCAUUUUUCGGAAGAGGAGGUCUUCGAUGCACUAUUGGGCUGUAAUGGGGAUAAAGCCCCGGGGCCAGAUGGAUUCUCUAUGACCUUUUGGCAAUUUGCUUGGGAUUUCGUGAAGGCUGAUGUGAUGUGUUUCUUCAAGGAGUUCAAUGAAAAUGGCAAAUUUGUUAAAAGCCUAAAUGCAACUUUUAUGGUCCUAAUCCCAAAAAAAGCAGGGGUUGAAGCCUUAGGGGAUUUUAGGCCUAUAAGCUUGGUGGGAAGCUUGUACAAGUGGCUGGCCAAGGUCUUAGCUAAUAGGCUAAAAAAGGUGGUUGGAAAGGUGGUCUCCAAGGCUCAAGGGGCGUUUGUGGAAGGUAGACAAAUCCUAGAUGCAGUGUUGAUAGCUAAUGAAGCCAUUGAUUUGGUUCUCAAGAAUAAUGAGAAUGGCAUUCUGUGCAAACUGGAUAUAGAGAAGGCGUAUGAUAACAUGGACUGGACUUUUAUUCUCACAGUUAUGCAGAAAAUGGGUUUUGGGGAAAAAUGGAUCAGGUGGAUUAAGUGGUGUAUAUCCACUGCAGGUUUCUCCGUGUUGGUCAAUGAAACCCCUACGGGUUUCUUCCAAAGCUCCAAGGGUUUGAGACAGGGUGAUCCCCUUUCCCCUUAUCUCUUUGUGAUAGUUAUGGAGGUCUUUAGUGCUUUUCUUAAAAGGGCUGUAGAGGGAGGUUUCUUAUCGGGUUGUAGGGUGAAGGGUAGGAGUGAAGAAGGGGUCCUAAUUUCCCACUUGUUGUUUGCUGAUGAUACACUGGUGUUCUGUAAACCUUCACAAGAUCAAUUGACUUAUCUCAGUUGGUUACUUAUGUGGUUUGAGGCCGUUUCGGGAUUGAGAAUAAAUUUGAAAAAAAGUGAACUCAUUCUAGUAGGGAGGGUAGAGAAUAUGGAUGAUCUUGCUUGGGAAUUUGGUUGUAGACUGGGUAGCCUUCCAACCACCUAUUUGGGGAUGCCCUUGGGUGCUCUUUUUAAGUCAGUUACAGUUUGGGAUGGUGUGGAAGAGCGCUUCUGAAGAAGGUUAGCCAUGUGGAAGAGACAAUAUUUAUCCAAGGGAGGAGGGCGACUCUUAUUCGAAGCAUGUUAUCGAAUUUACCCAUCUAUCUCAUGUCAUUGUUGUGCUUACCAAGCUCAAUUAGACGGAGAUUAGAGAAAAUCCAAAGGGACUUCCUUUGGGGUGCAAUUUGGAGCGAAAGCCUCAUUUAGUAAGAUGGGAGUUGGUGUGUUUAAGUAAGAAGAAAGGAGGUUUGGGGGUCAAAUGCCUUUCCAUUCUCAACAAGGCUCUUCUUGCUAAAUGGAAUUGGCGUUUUGCAAAUGAGAGAGAAGCUUUGUGGAAUCAAGUGAUUAGGGGGAAGUAUGGAGAAGAUAGAGGGGGUUGGUGCUCUCGGGAAGUGAGAGAGGCUCAUGGUAUGGGGUUGUGGAAAGGAAUAAGGAUGGAUUGAGAGUUGGUGAGCGAUAGGAUGGUUUUCAUUGUUAGUAAUGGGAGGAGGGUGAGAUUUUGAAGGGAUAGAUGGUGCGGGGAUUCUCCUUUGUGUAUGUCUUUUUCUUCUCUUUUUGAUUUGACUGUUGAAAAGAAAGCGUGGGUGGCAGAUUUUGGGACCCUUUGGCUAAGGGGGGUUUGGGGGGGGGGGGGGGGGUGGGAACCCCGUUUUUUAAAACUUUUCAAGAUUUGGGGGGAGAGGGAGGGGAAAAAUUUUUUGCGAAGGUUUCUGGUUAAAAAAUUUUUUGGGNNNNNNNNNNNNNNNNNNNNNNNNNNNNNNNNNNNNNNNNNNNNNNNNNNNNNNNNNNNNNNNNNNNNNNNNNNNNNNNNNNNNNNNNNNNNNNNNNNNNAAAAAAAGGGUGGGGGGGCAAUUUUUGGGCCCUUUUGGUUAAGGGGGUUUGGGGGGGGGGGGGGGGGUUGGAACCCCUGUUUUUAAGAGCUUUCAAUGAUUGGGAGGUAGAGGAGGCGGAAAGAUUUUUGCAGAGGCUUCAUGGUAAGAGAGUUAUUGAGGAUGUGGAGGAUAUGGUGUCUUGGACUGAAACUAAGAGUGGUAAAUUCUCGGUCAAGUCUCUUUAUGUUGCCCUUGAAGCGGGUUGUUCAUCUCUGUUUCCUUUAAGCUAUAUUUGGAAUGUGAAUGUGCAGCCCAAGAUUAGUUUCUUUACAUGGGAGGCUACGUGGGGCAAAGCCUUAACCUUGGAUAUGGUCCAGAAAAGAGGACGGGCAUUGGCAAAUAGAUGCUUUAUGUGUCUUGAGAAAGAGGAGACCAUAAACCAUCUGCUCCUUCAUUGUUCAAGAACAAGGGUGUUAUGGGAUCUACUUUUUACUUUAUUUGGGGUGUCUUGGGUAUUGCCUUCUUCAGUUAGAGAGACCCUUCUAAGCUGGAAUGGUUUUUUCGUGGGCAAAAAAUGCAAAAAGGCGUGGAGAGUUGCUCCUCUUUACAUUUUCUGGACGGUUUGGAAGGCGAGGAAUAGAUUGGCUUUCAAGGAUGAUAUGUUGUCAAUUUAGCAACUGAAACACUCUUUUAUCCUUUCUUUUUGGUCCGAGAUUAAGUUGUUUAUAGAUGAUUGCCCUCUAACUAUAGCUAAUUUUAUUGAUUGGUUGGGCUCUAAGUAGGAUUGGGUUGUUGGGCUAUCUUUGUUUUUUAGCCUUGUUGGAGGCGGGUGUAUAGGUAUUGUAUACCUUGAGUCACUUUUUUAGCGUUUCUUUUAUAUAUGAAAUCUUAUUUACUUAUCAAAAAAAAAAAAAAUGUAAUCGAAGACUUUCACAUUAAUGAGGUAAUGAAUAACCACUGAUACUUCUUCACCCCAAAGUUCCUUCACAAAAAUUUGGUAAGUGAAGAACCAUUUCUGAGUUGUGAAGCACCAAUUCCACCUUCAUUAUCUUGAUCUUUAGAAAGAGGGAUCCAACUUGAUUUGGGAUUUUAUACCUGUCAACCCAGUCACUAAUUUUUAGGAGAAUACUUCCAAUUUACCCUUGGGUUGCUUUAGAAAGUUUCUUAAUAGUGCCAUCUCUCUAGCUUAAGGGGCUUUUGUUAAUGGAAGGCAAAUACUAGAUGUGGUUAUCAUUAGUAAUGAAAUCCUAGACAAAUACUAGAUGUGGUUGUCAUUAGUAAUGAAAUCCUAGAUGAAAAAUUCUGUUCUAAGGACGAAGGGAUGGUUUUUAAAAUAGGUUUUGAGGAAGUUUAUGAUCACAUAGAUUGGGGUUUCAUGUAUGAUACAUACUUUGAAUAGGGAAGGCCUUGAACCUGGAUGGCACAAAGGGACUGGAUAUUUUGAGGUUGUUUUUCAAACUGCAGGCUCUUUAAUGGUGUUAUUGAAGCUGAGUGUUUAGCACUCGAGGAAGAUUCGGAUAUGGUUGUUUGCCUGGAUGUAAUGAACCUCCAUAUUGAAGGGGAUUCCUUUGUUAUUGUCUCAAAACCUUCUUUGAAGGCAAAGGUCCUUAGUGGAUUGCUCAUCAGAUGGGGUGGCUUCAUAAUCAUGCUAGAGACAUUGCUUGUUCUUCUCUAUUGAGGCCCAGAUCAGCUAGCCAGGUGCAUGGCUAUAUUUUUCUUAUAGGGAUGCUAAUAUCUGAAAAUUUUUAUUGAGAACACUUACUGCUCUUUGAUUGGUUUGAGGCAUGGAGUGGCUUUUCUGUUCUCUUCUUGCCAUACAUGCAUAUCAUCCCUCUUUUUUAUCUUGUUUAACUCAAUAAAUUCUCAUUUGUUAUAAGGAAAAAAAGAGAUAUUAUGUUACAUGAUGGAAGGACUUUAUUCUGUUAUGGAAUAGGCAAAACCUAGAUCUAUUGGCUAGAGCUAUACAGUAGGUUGUUGGGCUGUUCAGCAUUGUCUUUUUUUUGGAUAGGUUUGGCCAAUGCCCCUUGAUGUUACUUUUUGGUAAUGUAAUUUUCUUUGAUUUUUCUUGAAAAUUCCUCAUUUUUCAAGCUUGCUUGUAUAUCUUUCCUUCUUCCAUUAAUGAUUGUUUGAUUCCUUACUAAAAUAAAUAACAAAUUAUGAUGCAAAAGGAUUACGUUUAUGGAAAAUUUUGAGAUUUUCACCAUAUUAGAGUCUCUGAAGUUGGUACUUGUCUUGACACAGAUAAUAGGAAUCAUUUUCCCCCCAAACUACAUAAGACAUGUCUGCUACUUGGUAAUGUUCCAUUGGCAGUUAUAAACUCUCCUGUCAAAAGUGAAUCUGUUGUAGCAUUCCAAAUGGUGUAGUGUCGUACAUAGAUUGGUAAUUGAGGACUUUAUUAUGGAUUUUGUCCUGUUGUGGUUGUGCCAACAAGUUCUAUCCUGUUCUUUGUCUUGCUGAUUUGGGUGGUUGUGCAUCAUGUUCCUACAGCUGUAUAAUUAUGCUUCAGGAGCAUAGUUAUUCUGGUUUUACCAUCCAGAUGAUGGUAUUAAAGUAUUUGUAUUCUAGAUUGCGCAACUCCUUAUAUGGGAUAUUUUUGCACCAAAUGCUUAGUGAUCAAGAGAACUCUCAUAUUAAACACAGUCAUCUUCUAUUAAACUAAAUUCCUUAAGUAUGCAGUCUCACAACUACAUCAUACCAUUCUUUUCCUUUUUUAUUCCUUUCUUGCUAUUACAGGUUGGUUGCCACUAAUAUAGUAGAAAGCAAAUUACACGACCCUGCUUCCAUAAGACCUUUCUUAUUCCAUAGGUUGAAAUAGAAAAAACACUCGAUGGGACUAAUGUUUCUCUUUGCAACCAAGCAAAUUAAAAUGUUUUGAAACCCAUGCUGCCAUGAUCUUAGCUAAUUUGCAUUUUAUAUCUCUACCCCUUUCUAUUUACCAUAAUGAUGCAUGCAUCUAGUCAAAUUGUGUAUUUCUUAUGCUUAUAUUUAUUUCCUGAUGAGUUUAUUCUGACUCUUUGAUCAGGAUUUCUGCAAUCACAUUGCUUGCUAUUGAAUUUUCAAUGGCUUAAUAUGAAUUAUUAAUAAAGAUGUUGUUUAAUUAUUUCAGCAGCUUAUACUUGGUAAUUUCUUUUAACAACUCUUAUCUCUGAUGUUCAUUUGUAAUAUAUAGCUGGAGAAAGGGCCCAACGUGAACGCCUUCGGGACUUGGCUGUGUUUGAGAGGUUACAUGGAAAUCCUGGGAAAACAUCUCCAAGCCUUGCUGUCAAAAAGGUAAACCCUACAUCUCAUUCCUCUAUACCGCAUCUUAGCUUCUCAUCUUGCAUCGGACAAUGAUACUCUUAUUGAAUCAUCUUUACCAUAUCAGCCAUCAACAUGUGCACUUAUUGAGCGCUAAUUCAGGCACUGAUACUUGUGCUUUUGUUUUGUUUUGUUUUAUCUUGUCUUGUUUUGUUUUGGAGGUGAUUGUGUUGGAUGACCUAUAUCUGUGUUAGACACCAAAGCCUAUCUUAAUGCUACUGUAAAGUAAGACUAUGCUAAUAAGCUAUUGAUCUGUUACAGGGUUUAUGCCAAACUGAUUUUUUAGUUUCUCUAGUAGAAAACUUGUUUUUUCCCCUGUUAUAUCGGUGCUAUUGUUGGAUUUGUGUUUGUUGUUGAUCAAGCAUUUGCUGAAACCUUUUUUUUUUUCCUUUGCUUCUUGAUGUGCAAAGCAUUAUUGUUUGAAUUUUAAUGAUCCCAUUUGAUUCACUAUUCAAUAUUUUUAUUUGAUAUUACAUCUAUCUCAUUUGUUUUCUUUUCUUAGUUUGUUUGUUUGUUUUUUUUUUUUUUUUUUUUUUGAAUUUGUGACAUUUGAAUUUGAUGGAGCCACCAUUAAUUUAUUUUUCCUUAUUAUUGUGGGGUGUGCUUUAUUUUGUUCAAUUGUUGUUGCACUAUUAUUGUCAUGUAACUUUUCUUUUUUGUUUUGUUUCUAUUGUUCCUAUGAGCAUUAAAUGCUUCUAAAAUGUAUGGAACAGGCUAAACCUUUCUAUAGUUUUUUUAAAAAAAAAACUCAUUUAUUAUCUAUUUUCUUGUGCUCAAAAAAUUAUAUUUUUUUAGUAAAAUUGAAAAUUUAGGGAGCGCUUAGGCCUCAGCGGCUCAACCCCUUGAGGGUUUAGGCCUGUCAUAGCAAGAUGUAAACCCCCUUGCCUCUUAUGCUUUUACCUUAUGAAACUAUACCAAGAAACAAACACCACAACUCCCUGCUGCCAUCAAAGGAUACUUCAAAGUUUGCUUCAAAUCAAUCUUAAGGCCAAUUAUCAUAGGCUUGUCAUCAUGUCACUAAAAUUGGUAUUGUAACCAAAGUCCUAUUGCGAAAUCUUCAAGUUGCAGCUCCUCCUUUUCUGUUGGCUCUUGUAUUGUUAGGUGGCCGCAACCUGUUGCUUUUCUUAUGCUUUAUGAACUACUCCAGUUAAAAUAAUGCUUCAAGUAGAUGCUUUCUGGAUCUUGAUUCUAGCAAGAGGCUUAUAUUGCAAAUUUUUUUGUGGAGUCCUAGAUAGGUUAACUAGGAAGACAAUAGCUUGCUUAAGAGGAUUGCCACCUCUCCUUUUGGGUUUGUAAAAAUUUUGGUUCUCCCUUGACCUUGGGAGUCCUAUGGUUUCAAUUUUGGAUGUGCUCUAGGUUGUAGCCUGUGUUAUGCUUUCUAAAUGGUAAUCUUCUUCUUGUUUUAGCUGGGAUGCUUUUGUUUAUUUUGCUCGUUUGUUUUCUUUGUUUCUUUAUUGUGGCUGUAGGAUCACCAAUCAACUUUUUAUUCUCUGCAAAAACUGUUUAUGUUUCAUAACGAAAAAGGAAAAAACAAAGGCAAGUUAGCCUAGAAUAGGUUUUAUCUUGUUUCUUCUUUUACCAUUAGUGUGGAUUCAAACUCAGGAAGAGGCCUUCAAACAAGUGGCAUUUGUGUUUUUUAAACAUAUAUCUUUAUUCAAUCAUUGUUAAGUGUUUGUUGUCUUGUCUGUUCUUUUGGUUGUUUUUGUCUUUGUCAAAGUGUAUAAUUAUAAUAUCCCACAUUGUAUAGAGGAAAAAGUUUCUAACGCUAUAUAUGUAUGAACUUUUUUUAAUCUUGUUGAUUCGUUUUUAAGCCGCGAGGGUCGUUUAGGCUCAAAGCAAAUAAUAUCCACACAACUGGGAGUAGGUUGUUACAAAUGGUAUCAAAGUCAAUCCUCGACCUUGGUAGGAGAGUUUGCUUGGCCUAAAAUGGGUGUCCGUUUAUUUGACCUUACAAUCCUAUGGGACACAAUAAGGACGUUGUGUCUGCAUGAGAGGGUGAUUGUAAUAUCCUACAUUACAUAGGGGAAAAAGUUCCUAACGUUAUAUAUCAUAGUUUUAAAAGGCUCAAGGCGCACCAAGGCGCAAAGUAGUCCUGGAGCCUGAGGCGCAAGGCGCAUCUAAGGCGCGGGCUUUAGUGAAGUGAGGCGCACCCUAAUUUACAUAUAUAUUUUUAUAUAAUAUAAUCAAAUUUAACAAUCAUUUAUUUGUCCUAAACACAUAAAUCAUCAAAUAUCAUCCAAAACUUCAAUUUAAUAAACAAAAAACAUAAAAAUAAAGAACUCCAAGCAUAAAAACAAAUCCAAAUCCAUAUUGCUAAUUGCCUAAUACAUAUCCAAAUCCAAAGUUUCCAAACCUAAAGGUCCAAAACAUGAAAUUUGUCCACAAUUCAAAAACAUCAUUAAAAAACACUUAAAUCACAAAUUUGUCCACAACAAGCAAUCAUCACUCCUCCUCUAAAUCAACAAAAUCAUCAUCAUCAUCAUUUCCAUCACCACAUUUGUAGCCUUCCCCAUCUUCUUCAUCUGCUGAAUUAACCAUGUCUCCAUCUUCAUCUUCAUCUAUUAGUGAAUAAGAAGGCAAAGUUCUAGAACUUGAAGCUAUCCCCCUUGUUGGUGGUAUUAUGCUUGAGCUUGCUCUAGCUCUAGCUCUAGUAUCAAACCUGGCCUCCUCAUCUCCAGCAGCUCUAGCAACAUCACCCCAUGUCAAAUUGUCAUCAUCAAAUACAAAAUCAUCUUGUGCACCUCCAUGAGAAUCCUCAUCUUCCAUUCUCCCUAUCAACCAUUCAUUGCUAUCAUCUAUAUCUUUCAAGGAAAUUGGGUCAAUGGUGUUACGUUCAUUGUAUCUUCUCUUCAAGGCUCGAUUAUACUUGAUGUACACCAAAUCAUUCAAGCGUUGAUGAUCUAACCUAUUUCUCCUCUUGCUAUGAAUCUGCAAAAAUUCAUAAGCUCAUAAAUAUAUUUUAAAAUUUUAACUUUUAAGUUACAUUCAAGACUCUAUUAGACUAUUACUUGUAAUUAUUUUGGAUUUGGUCACUCACAUUCUCAAAGAUGCUCCAAUUCCGUUCACAACCCGAUGCACUGCAUGUUAAGUUGAGGACUUUCAUUGCAAACUUUUGCAAAUUUGGAGCUGAAGCUCCAUAUGCAGCCCACCAUUCAGCUGUAGUAUAGAUAUUAACAAUUUAGUGAAACAAUUCACCUAUUUUAGCAAAAAUACAAUCUAAUCAUUUAAAUAAACAAAACUAAAUAACUAACCUGGUGCUCUAGUCUUUCUUGUCCUAACAGCUAACUCAUUCCCGAAUAGUCCUUGGGCAUUUGUGAACAAACUCACUUCGGCCACAACUUUUUCUUGCUUAGCAGGGUCUCUUGUUAGCCUUAAGAUGCAUUUAUACAAAUCACUCAUAAUCUCGGCAUCAUGCUCUAUUUCUGGCUUAUCAUAGAAGAAUUCCGGGUUCAAAAAGUACCCUGCUGCAUGCAAAGGCCGAUGAAGCUGAAUCUCCCACCUCUUAUCAAUGAUGUUGAAGAUUUCUUUGUACUUCUCUUCAUUUCCAUUAAAACUUCUCACAAUUGCAUCCUUAGCUCUAUUCAUGGCCUCAUAGAUGUAUCCCAUAGGAGCUUUUUUUUCACCAUCAACCAAACGAAGCACACGAACUAGGGGACCCGAAACCUUUAAGCAAAACACAAUAGUGUUCCAAAAUGAAGGCAUUAGAACUAUGUUGGCUAUAGUUUUCCCCUUCUACUCUUUUGCCCAUUUACUAUCUAACCAAUCUGAGCUUGUAAACAUCUUCCUCAAAUUGUUUUUUUGUUCAUGCAAUCGCGAUAAUGUGAUGAAAGCAGUUGCAAACCGAGUCUUAGCAGGCCUAAGCAAUUCCCUUUGUCCAGUAAACCGCCUCAUCAUGUUGAGUAGCCCUGAGCGAUUAUAAAUAUACCGAUUUAGUGAUAUAGCCCUCUCCAAUGUCCUCUUGAUGUUUGGUAGCUUUCCAAUAUCUUCCAACAUCAAGUCAAGGCAAUGUGCAGCACAUGGUGUCCACUACAAAUGUGGACGCUUUAAUUCUAACAACCUCCCUAUAUGAAAUUGUAGAUAAUAAAUUUACAUAAGUUCUCAAGAUAAAUAAUUCAAAUUUUAAAAGUAAAUAAAAAUUCAAGAAAUAGUAUUUAUUACUUGCUAUCACAUAACUUGAGUGAUUAUCUGUUAUAACUUGAAUAACAUUCUCUUCACCAACUUGCUCUACCCAUUUGUCAAGUAAUUCAAACAUCUUUUCUCCCGUCUUAAUCAUUGAAGAAGCAUCAAUGGAUUGCAUGAACAUGGUUCCCUUUGAACAAUUAACCAAAAAGUUCACCAAAGUUCUCUCUUUCCUAUCGGUCCAUCCAUCCGACAUAAUUGAACAUCCAUUUUUCCCCCAUUCCACCAUAUGAUCUUUCAUCAAAUCUUUUGUGAGAGCCAAUUCUUUCUUAAGGUUAGUAACUCUUACCUCAUGAAAAGUUGGUCCCUUCAUACCCACACCAUAUUGGCCAAUAGUCUCAAUCAUUGGUUGGAAACUCGGAUAUGUGACUGCAUUAAAUGGAAUAGCAGCCUCAUACAUCCAUCUUGUGAUAAGCGUGCAAGCUCUUUCUCUUGCUUCCUUUUUGUAGGCAUCAUUGAUGGUAGUUUGAUUCAUCUUUCCACUCCUUUGAUUUUGAACAACCAUCUCUGCAUUAGGAGUGAAAAAAUGAUCCAUAGGACCUUUUUGUCUUGGUUUUUUUGAAGAAAACGUCCUACCACUACUUCCUCCUCGGUUACUACCUCCACUAGAAAUGUUGGUGACAUUCGUUCUACUAUUAAUCUCCUCACCAAUAUCUUCAUCUUCCAAACCAAACAAAUCUUCAUUAACAUAUUCGCUCCCCAUAUUCAUUUGCUCUUUUUGAUUUUUCUUGGAACUCAUAUACUCUUCCAUUUCUUCUCUAACAUGUUCCGGACAUUUUCUAAACUUUUUAGCAUUUCUAUAUCCACCAACAAGAUGUUGUUUGUGUCUAUAGAUGCCUCCUUUGGUUACUUUCUCACAAAAAAUGCAUAUGAUGGUGUUCAAAUCUUUUUCAUUAACCAAACGACCAUAUUUCCACCCCGGAUCUCUUCUUCCACUUGCACUAGAGUCCACUUGAGUUUCACUCUCAUUAUCCAUCUUGCAAACAAAUUAUCUAUACUCCACAAUAAAAUAAUUAUAAUUAAAUUAAGAAAAAAAAUUGAAAAAAAAAUGCAUAUCACAUUAUCAAAUAUCACAUUAACAACAAAUAUGCAUGAGUGCUUUUUAUUUAUUUAUUUUUAUUUUGUAAAAUUUUCAUGUCAAAAACUCAAAAUAUAAUAUUUAUUUUUAAAAAAAAAAAAUUACCAAUGAGAGUUAUGAGGUAAGAAUGGAAAAAAAUGCAGAAAAGUGAAGAAAAAAGAAAAAUACCGAGGUUCGGAAGGUACGUGACUAUUUCCCCUAUUUUUCUUCUUCUUUUUCUUCUUCUUCUUCACUUCUCCAGCACAGAAGAGGCUAAGGCAAAAAAUGGCAGUGGUCUCGGGUUGAGAAAGACCAGAAAAGGGGGCUGGAUGGAAGGAACAAGUCAAAACGGCGUCGUUUUGGUCCCUGUUCACUUAAAUGAACAGGCUCCAAAACGACGUCGUUUUGGGCCCAAAAAAAAAAAAAAAAAAAAAGCUAGGGCUGCGGGGCGUCUCUGCAACCCGACUGGAGGAGGAAGAAGAAGAAGAAGAAGAACAAGGAGAAGGAGAAGGAGGAGUGCGUACCUGGUCGGACCGUCGGAGGCGACUCGGGCGAUCGCCUCGCGCCUUGCUGGAGGCGAGCGCCUUGCGCGCCUAAGCGGCGCCUUCGUGAAGGGGCGUCGCCUCUCUUCAGGCGAGGCGCCGAGGGUGGCGUCGGGCCGCCCCGAGCCUAGGCGCGCCUUUCAGAACUAUGUUAUAUAUAUAUAUAUAUAUAUAUAUAUAUAUAUAUAUAUAUAUAUAUAUAUAUAUAUAUACUCCUCUUAACCUUGUACACGUAUUUUAAAGUCAUGAAGACCACUUGAGCAUAGGAUGGAUAAUAUCUAUACGGUUGGAUGCAGGUUGUUACAAUAAUUACUUUUGAUUUUCCUUUCAUAUGUUUAAUUGCAUAACAUUAUUAUAGCAAAAUAUUAAUCUAUCAUAAUGCAACGUCUUGUAAAGCUUAUGUUGGGUGUCAUGAUUUGAUCUCUUGUCAUUUUUAUUAUUCUGAUUCAACAUCAUCUUAGCUUAUAAUCAUUUAUACACUUGAUGCAUGAGAAAUGAAGAUGCUAUAAAUUGUAGGAUCUUUUUCUCCAAUUUGUUCCUUGAUAUUUUAUAAUGCCAUGAAAUGUCUAUAUUUUGAUGCAGAAAGCCGUUCACACUCCAUCUCUCUCACUAGUUUUGCAGAACCAUUGCCACUAAGCACAUGCAGGCGUCAGAUGUGCGGCCACUUCCAGUGUUGGAAGAGACUUUGAACUACCUAUUAAACCUGUUGGAUGCCACAGAACAUCCUUUUGAAGUGGUUCAUGAUUUCGUCUUUGAUAGGACAAGAUCAAUAAGACAAGAUCUUAGCAUGCAGAAUAUCAUUAAUGAUCAAACAAUUCAUAUGUUUGAAGAAAUGGUAUGAAUUUCUUGAAACAUAAUCUCAAUUACCUUUUUUUCUGAGCAUUCAUCUCCUCAACAUACAAUAAGUUAGCCAACCCAUUGCUAAACACUCUCCUAGUUGGAGAAAAUAAUCAAAGUAUACAAGAGAUAAAAUGUUGAAUAAUUGAGUCAUUAUCCUCUCUUUUUGCUUUAUUGAAUAAGAUAAUUUAUUCGAUGGAGUCCAAAUGAGGUGAAACUGUGAUCACACAACUUGAAGCCUACUUUACAAUGGAUAAAUGAAUGGUCUGAUUUUGAAUCUUUCUUGGCACAUUAGUUAUUAUCCAAUCCAUUCUAAUUAAAUUAUCCACUAUUAAGUGUCUAUUUCCAGUCACCCUCUAAGUUAUGAAAGACCCAUAGAACCAAAGCAACUCACACCACCUGUGAUAGGAAUUGGUGCUCUCUUCCAUAAUGUCAAGUUUUCCAGUACACUUGCUGACUUUGUAGAAUAUGCCUACAAAAAGGGCUGCCACCUCCUAAUUCCCAAUCAUAGAAGUUUCUUAACCAUAUUUCAAAAGUUGUAUUUCCUGUUCCCUCUCUUAAAGUUUUUUAAACCUAUAUAUCUUUAUCCUAGUAAUUCGGAAAAAUGAGGAAAUUAUUUAACAAGAACUCCAUCAAUUUGUUCCUCAAAAUUUUAUAUAGUUUCUCUCUCUCACUUUUGAUUCAAAUUCUUGAAGCAAAGGAACAAAUUCAUGGCCAGUAACAUUUUUAGCCAAGCAAUAGAAUGCACGACAAGCAUGUAUAUGAAUGAAUUGUGUUUUUUAAUGAUAAUAGAUCAGAUAUUUUAAUCUCAUCCUAAAACCUUUGAGUUAACUAAAAGCCGCAUCUUAUGUUCUGACUUGUGGUUUGUUUCAUAAUAUAGGUGAAAUUUCAUAUUAUAUCCCACCACAAGCUUCACAGUUGUAGCAGCAAGCCAAGUUUUUCUUCAGUUCAUUACCUCAAUAUGGAGCAGCUGAAAAAGUGUCUAAUAUCUCUAUAUGCUCUAUACAAAGAAAAUCGAAAUUCAAAUUCUAUUUACAAGAAUGAACCUGAGUUCUACUCAUUUCACGUUCUUCUUCAUCUUGGCUCUAACAACCAACCAUUGGUGGAUACUUGCUUCCGUUGUUUGUUUGAGUUCAUCUUUUUCAGUAUCUCUUGCUGCCUUGUACUGGUUUCUGAAUAUGUUACUAUUUCUGUUUUGAAGGGAGAGUCACUCUCUUUGUGGUUGGGUCGUGUACCUUCUCUCAUUUUAAAGUCAAAGGAAAUGUGUUUUGCUCGGAGACUUUUAAGGUGACCGUAAAGCUAUUAUAGAUUCGACUUGCAUUUAAAUUGUUUAUAUUCAUUUUACAUUUAACUCAAUGUAGAGUGGUUCUGUUUUCCAAUCGAUUUUUUUCUCUUCUUUUAGUACCCAAUGUUAAAAAUUUUGUUUUCAUGAACUGAAAGAUCUGUCUUUUCUUGUAACAGAUUAUUUCGGAUGGGCAAUUAUAAGCGUUUCCUUUGUACUACAGCAACUGAGGCAUCUUAUUUACAGUACUACAUAAUUGAACCUUACAUCAAUGAGGUUGCUUAAAUAUGUUGAUUUUGCUAGAUUUUUCAGUUUGAAAAAUAUAUGCUUCUUUGUUCAUUUAUUGUUUUCCAAUUUCAUUUAUGAGAAUAUAUCUAAAAUCUAGACUCGAGUACUUGUGCUUUUGGGUUUUAUUUUUCUUUCAUUUUUGUUAGUAGUUGUACUUCAUUAUUCUUAAAUUUCUCACAGUUGUUUCUUUAUGUGGUUUAUUGCUCCUCACUUUCUUCAUUCAUCUGAAGUGUUCAAAUUCAAUUUGCUUGUUUCAUAAACCAGGUCUUAUUUAGAAGUUCUUCUCAAUUGCCUUUUUUAGUGCUUUUAAAGGACAUGCCUGAUUUAUAUAUAUUUUUGUUGGUUUUCUUUUGACCGUAAAAGGUUCGAGCAUUGGCAUUGUCAUGUGUAAAUUAUUGUGGCUACAAACUUCAUCCGUAUCCAAUUGCACACUUGUCCAAACUCUUGAUGAUGAAGGUAUGAUUGCAUUUACUAGCAUUAAAUUGCUAAAAUUUGUCAUCCAAAGUUCCAAUAUCUUUUGAACCUUGAAGGCUUCAUUUGCAUUUUUGUAGGAAUUAGAUGUGGAAUCAUUUUGCAAUGCUUGUGGUCUUGAGACCAGCACUGAUGAACGGGGAAAUAAGUUCUUAUCAACCAAGCAAACAAACUUCCAUUAUCCCAAGGAAGUCUUUCCAAGCUAUUGCCUUCUGGGUUUGGAACACUUUUAGAGGUAACAAUCAAUUGGAACUAGUUACUCUUUCAAACUUCUUAUUGUACAAAUAUAACCUGCAUGUGCAACCAUUUCUGAUCCCAUAAUUUCAAGAAUUUAUGACACCUUCUAGUGGUUAGUUUUUCUGGGAAUAGAGUAAAGCAAUCUAUUCACUCCCAGAAACUAUCGUCAAAGGAACAGUAGAUAACCCCGCAAGACCAAAUUUAUGUGUGUGCAUGGAGAUGCAUGUUUUCUGCAUCCCAAUCAUGCAGUGUUGUGCCAAAUGGAAUAAUAGCAGCUGAUGAUAAGUGGUAUUUCUAAAAUCUUCUAAGAGUAUUCCAUCUAUUGUAAUAUUGUUUUCUCAAAAUUGUCUUUGAGUCUUAUAUGUAAAUAUUAGACUUGACCUCUUGUAAGCUAUCAACUGAUGUUGUAACUUAACUUGAAAGGGAAAUUCUAUAAAUUUAGCCUUGGUUUGGCUGUUGGAAAGCAAAGAAAAAUUAGGUUAAUAGUGAGUUGAUUUCUUCCCUUCCCAUGGAUGUAAGCACAUUCUUGAAUCAUGUUAAUUACUUUUUGGUUUAUUUUGUUGUUUUGUUGUUUUGUUGUUUAUUGUUCAAUUGUCUCCGCAUAACAAGUGGUAUCAGAGUUGUUUCCAACACAACAGAUGAUUCCUGUGCUAACACAAAGUUUGAGGCUAAACGUAAGAUGGUAAAAGUUUCUAGAAUAUUUCCCUAUGACAACUGCCAAUAAAGGAUGUACUUAACAGAAAGUUCAUAAGGUGUUACAUGGCAAGUUGAACAAAACCAAUAGCUAGAGAUAUCUGAAAUAUUUGGGGCCACUGAUCCAACAAUAGCAGAGAAUAACACAAGAAGAGACCCUCUAAUCACCAUUUUUUCUUUGAUUCUUCUCUACAAAGCAUCAUCUUCUUUAUACAAAAAGACAACCCAUUGCUGAGCCCACAUUAUUCUCUACAUAUCCCAAAAAAGCCCUCUAAAUUUUAGGGCAUGGUGCUCUUUUUAGGGGUAUUUUGGUACUAAAUUUGUGGUAGUCUCUCAAAUACCUAAACUACCCUCCAGAUUUUAAGGCAUGGCCCACUCUUUGAGGUGGUAUUUUGGGUACUAAUUUUUGUUAGGAGAGGUUUUGGUGUGGAAACUGGAGGGCUUUACACACGUUGCAUGUAUUUUCUUUUGCAUGCAUUACACAUAGAUUGGAGUUUAUGCAGUUACUCACUUUUUGUUCGUCCAACAAUACUAUAGUGCCACGUCACCAUAUGAUGGGCUCUUUAGUCUUUUCAAACCCAAAAAAAAACACUAAAAAAAAAAAAAACUAAUACUAAAAGGAUUGCUAACUAGCUAUGUGAAGAUGAACCUCUAUAGCUAGCUUCUUAGAGGGACCAUAAUCGCUUAGGCCAGGGAAGUUUGAGGUGAUAAUAUGUCUGUGAUGCCCUUAGAUGUUUUAGGCACAUGUGCGUUACAUUAAUGUAUUCAAUGAGUCUAUAACCUUGAUUGACAGGUCCGAGUAAUCUUUGAAAUUUCAUUGUGGUGGGAAGGUUCCAUGUGAACAACACUUGCACAUGGGUUAGUUAAUCUUAAGAGACGGGGGAAGCUCAUCUAACAGCACACAAUGUGCGAGCUUUGAAAGGCAAUCGGGUUAACAUUUCUGAAUUGGGACAUGACAGCGGACAACAACAUUAGGUAGUCCAAAGAUGUCGUCAUAUUAAUUGUUAUCAAUAUUUUUAUUUAUUCAAUAGAGAUUGAGGAUUAAAAAAAUACCACAAAAAUUAGAAAAAACAAAAUUAAUUACAUGGCUUACAUUUCAAAUAUUUAAUAAAAUAUUGUAUGAAAGUUGAAUAUCAUACACUAUUAAAUGGUUGGAUUCUCUUCUUUAAUUUUUUUAAUUGUCUCAUCCUAUUAAAUUACUCAUCUAAUAUUAAUUUAUUUUAAAGGUGAAAUUAAUUAUAUUGUAAAAAACUUUUAACUGACCAGAGUUUGUGCACAACAUCUAAUAUAUACUUAAAUAUAAUCCUCCAACUAAGAAAUGAAAUCAAAACUUAAAAAUCAUUUAUAUAUAUAGAUAUAUGUUAUCAAGUUUAGGUAGUGAAGCAAUUAAUGUGGAUAUAAAAUUAAUGCCAAAACUUUUGAUUGUUCCUUCACAUUCUCCACAACCAAACAAAGGAUAUAAGAAAAAUAAAGAAAGAAAUUUAGGGUAGUUUGAUUUUUGUUCUCAUCUUGUUGUGAAGUUAAUAGAGGAAUGCUUGGGUUGGUGCUCAAUAGUUAAGUGACAGCAGGGUAUAAUGAUUCUUCCAAUCGUGUAAAUAUUAUUUGUUUUAAUUUCAAUGGAUCAUCGUCACUUUAAAUUGCAUCCACAUGGUUAAGAGCAACUCAUAUGUAUAUAAUAUCAUGAAUUUCUUCUUAUUCGAUACGGAAUAUCAAAUUAGGUAUCUUUCAAUUUUAGGUAUUGUGUAAGUGUUUCAACUCAAAUGACUUGGCUUAAUGUAUACUCAAAGCCUUGACAAAGGAGCGUAUAUGUAAUAAAGUGAAAAUUAAACCUUGUCGCCCUUCUAUCUCUAGUACUCCAUUAUCCCUUAAACAUGUGCAAAAAAAGAUAUACACCUUUGAUACAUUAAUUAAAAUAAACGAUAGAAAAAGAGAUUUUAUAUAUCCAUGUACAUAAUUUGAUUAGAUUUGUUAUAUAUGAGAGAGAGAGAAAAAAAAAAAAACUGUUUAGAUUAAGGAUCUCAUUAAUUAAUACCUAGAAAAUAUAAAAGAAUAAAAAAAGAUUAGAAGGUGUGAAUCAGAAGAUAAGACUACAUUUUUUAAUUAGAUUCAUCGAAAGAUGGCAUAUUGUAUGAACAUUUUUACUCUACAUAUAAAAACUUAUAUUAUGGUUGAGAUGUAUUAAUUUGUCAUAUUUUUGGACAUUUAAAGUAAUGAGUAAUUACACUAAAUUAAAUUAUUGACCUUAUUAAUCAAUACCUCAAAAGUAUAAAAUAGUAAUAAAUGAAUAAGACAAACUUCAUCGAAAUAUUUUUAUGGGCACAUUACGUAAAUAUUCUUAUUUAAUAAAAGUUUAUAUGUCAUUAAAUGAAUAGAGAAUUUUAACAUUAAUUGCAGUGCUAAGUAGAGGAGAUCUCAUAUUUAAGCUGUUGAUUAAGGCUUAUUACUUAAUAAUUUAAGUUGACUUUAAGUUAGAUUAUAUUUAAGUUAUUUACGUAAAAUUUAUUAUUUAUUAUUUAAUAUUUACUUUAAGUAUUAAAGUUAUUUGAUAAAGUUAAUUUAAAAAUCAUUUUAAAUUAUCAAAUUGUCAUAUUUACCUUCAUUAAUUUGAUAACUAGAUGCAGAUAAAUGAAACAAAAAAAAAAUUGAGAUUAAGAAUAAGUUAAUUAAUUUGAUUUAACACUUAAAAGUAACUUUAAGAUAUAAUAUUAAGUUAUUUUAUCAAAUAUAUUUAAUCUAUUUAAUAAUUAAAUUAAGUUAUUAAGUUAAUGAAUGAUUACCAAACACCUUAUAAGACCCAAAAAAUCGAAUGAGUUUUAAUAGUUUCCAGGAUGGGCAUGACUAGGUGGUGGUUCAAUGCUGAUUAAUCAUAAUUCAAUCAAGGCAAAAUAUGUAACAAAUACAUGUCAAACUGCACCAUCCAAAUGGGCGCCAAGAACGUUACAUUUGACAAAUGCCAUUAAACCUCGACAGCUACCAAUUACUUGAAGCUCAUUAACUUCAUCUUAAUUUGAUCCAAAUUGCAGAAACAUGUGAAACUCCAUGAAUCUAUGGUGCUAUGGUGGCCUACAUUCAUAUAACUGGGGACACUUUGGUUUACACUACAAUGACCCCAAACAGGGUUUGUAGAGACUUUAUCAAGAUCACUAGCUUCAAAAGACUAAGGAAAGAAAGAUGUUCUCAAAACUUGGAGUCAAAUUGCAGAUAAAGACCUAAAACUCCCACUUAACGUGUUUGAGGAAUUGUUGUUUCAUGGGGAUAAGCUGUUUGGUUUGUACAUGUCUCCUUGGUGAUACUUAGAGUUCGGCGAAGUAUACGUAUCCUUUGUGAUCUGGUUUGUAUAUGGGCAGAUGAAUGUUGAUGCCAGGUUCAUAUAUGUUUCUGAUAUAUAUCACCCUGGAAGGAUCUAGAUCAAGGGGAUGAGUUUCAAAAGCUUGAGUAGGUUUAAGAUGUUCCGAGAAUUGGUGAGCAUGAUAUAUAUCAAUAUGAUAUUGCAGAAGACAACAGAGCUUCUGAAAUUAAUAUGUCAGGUUCAAUAGUGGGAAAUCUUAUCAGCUGUCACUUACUGUAAUCGUAUGCUCUCAAUAUUCAUUUGUUGAAGAAGAAAAAAAAAAUUGCUUUCACACUAUUCAAUUACAAGAGAAUGUUCAAUUAUAGAAGAAAAUAAUAUUCGCUAGUCUCUUUCAACUUAAUCAACAUGCAGAGAAAAGCAGUGAAUAAUAACUUACAUACAUUGUCUCUCUACCCCUACUUGUUACUCAUCAGCCAAGCUUAUGGUAAUAUAAGCUUGGGUUCAUCUCUCUAUGCCACUGAUGAAAACUCCACAUGGGCUUUGCCUUUCUGGUGAUUUUGCAUUUGGAUUCCGACCCUCUCCAAGUGAAGAGGACCUAUUCCUUCUUGCUAUCUGGACUGCAAAUGGAAGUUAACUGGUGCCAAGAGGAUCAAAAGUUUGGGCUUACCACCAAUGGACAGCUUGUUCUCUAGAGGCUAAGAUAUAUGGAAGACAAAGACUGGUAAUGUGAGCAGCGAACCAGUGCAUGGUGCCAUGCUUGGAGAUGGAAAUUGUAUACCAGUAUAUGGGAGAGCUUCAAGCACCCAACUAAUACCAUAUUGCCAAUCCAGGGAUUGGUGUUGGAGCCUACUGUGCAGUUGCUAUUUUUGAGGACCUGAGGUUUGCAAAUGGAACUGGAAGCUGUUGGAGGAAAAGACUACCUCUUUCAAAUGGGAGGUUGGAUCAAACUGCUGUUUCCAGAAGUGCUCUAAUCAAGAUAUUGAAGUCCAGUGAACUAACUUCAGGCAGAUGCAAGCAAAAUAAAGCAAUUCUAAUACUCUCAGUCCUCUUAGGCCCCUCUGCGUUCUUCUUCUUCGUUUCUCUAGCUGCAAUUUCACUAGUUUUCUACUGCUUGAACCUCAAAAAUCUGCAGCUUUAUCACAGAAUCCUGAGUACAAGCGAUGGUAGAAGCCUUUGGCACUGUCUAUAAAGGGAUAUUACCAUCAGGUUCUGGAAAUUCUGUUGCUGAAAAGUUGGAGAAGGUGGUGGGAGAAGAUGAGAAAGAAUUCAAAGCAGAAGUGAAUGUGAUGGGCCAAACUCACCAUAAGAAUCAAGGACACUUGCUGCGUUACUGUUGUGAGGGUGAACACUGACUACUGGUGUUUUUUUUUUAUGCACAAUGGCUCUUUAUCAAGCUUCCUUUCUGGAGGCGCCCGAAAGCCCUCAGAACACAACUCUUGGAUGAUUCUUUUACAGCCAAAGUUGCAAACUUGGACUGGGAAAGCUUCUGAUAAGCAACCAGACUAGAACACUCACAGGCAUCAGAGGGACUAUGGGGUAUAUUCAGACAACUCGGGCAGCCUAUGUCUCUUAUAAUAACACGUUAUGAAGCAUCAGCUCAAUGCUGGGGUUCAAUCUGCAAAGCAAGGGAUUCAUCAAUGUUUCCUUCAAACUAAAUAAUAAGGAACAGAAAUGGAUCAUUCUGCAUUUUCAGUGGUGUUUGUUAUAGCAUUUAUACAAGAACUCUAGGGGUUUCUAUGUAUAACUUCAUUCCCAUUUUGUAUAAUCCAAAUCUCUUCAAUCGAUUAAAUGUAUAAAUGAAUCCUAUUCAUUGUUUGGAGUAACAACAAAAUUCUGGAAGACUGGGAAAGUUUCAACACUGGAGAGAAAACAAAAUGACAAGACCAUAAAUUCUGGAAGAGGGCUUUGCUUUCUAACCAUUACCAUAAUUUUAGAGCUCAACCCGGAUGAGUAAAUUAUAUUUCAGAAUGUUCAGGAGAUAAUUCUAAAGUGAUGAACCUUCUACUCACAGUUUCUUGUUCUUCUUGAACAGAGCAAUGAACAUCAAUAGUUCAGCACCCAGGAAUCUCCCCUCUCCAAUUCCUCCACUGGGAAAAGUCACCUUUCCAGUUAAGAAAAUCUUCAGGAUUAAUUUGAGCAAAACAUCAGAGUAUACAUCAAGAAAGCCUUGAUCAAAAUCAAAAUACAUCAAGAGCUGCCAUUUUCUUCUAUUUCCUCUUCCUUGAAUGGAAUGCCUUUUGGACUGAGGUGAUCAAUGGUAACAGUCUAACACACUCCUUAAGCUUUGAUUGAGGUCAACGGGGAUUGGCACAUUUAAUGACUUUGAAAUCAUAGCUGUGUGAAGGGAGGCAAACAUGAAUCUCAGGAUAAUCAACAAGUCAACAACUAUCAAUCAGUAAGGAAAAGGAAAAGGAAAUACCUUUGGAUAUUUACAAAUAAAAAAUUUGAGAGAGUCCAGCUGCUCUGUACAGAAAGGCUUGAGCUUAUUCCAUGGCCAGGCUUUAGAUGGUUCUGAAUUACGGAUGAGAGGAUUGAGUUUUCUUUCAUUCUGCAAUAAGAUUAAAAACAUCAAUGAAACACUAAAAGUUUAUAUAUAGAAGCCCUUUAAAGAUGAGAAUUGGUAAGAGAGCUCACCCAUGGUCUAGUAAAACAACAUCUGUUAGAUAAGUAACCACCAUUCGAUUGUCCAGCUAAUGCAUUUAGACAGUCCAAAAUAGCUAAAGACAGUCCAAAAACUCAUUUGACUAAUAAUUUUCUAAAAGCAGUAACAUAAAACCUGGAUGAAGAAUCCACCCCUCUACCUGACACCACUUCAAUACCAAAUAAAAUGUUACGAUGACCAUUUAUAGUCUUAAGAGACAGUGGGUGUUGUUUGGGCUCAAGACCAUCAAAAUUGGCACAGAAACAAGUACAACAACUAUCUAAUAAAGAGAUUUAUGCAUGUAACAAAUGCAAAUGAAAUAUGAUACAAGAAGUUCAUAGAUUAAACAAAAAUAGAUGGCAAAAUAGAAGGAUAAGGUCACAGACAGGACAAUAUUAAAAGAAAUUAUUAUUUUUCCGACCUGAAAAUCGAGGCAUUUAGAACAGUACAAGUUUGUAAGUAGUCCAUGGAAACCAGGGAACUUAUGCAGAUGUUGUAUUCUAUUGCAUAAGGCAAACACUCAAUACUUACAAGCAUAAUCAUGCCCAGAAAGCCAUGAAUCCCUUUUUGUUUUGCUUUUUUACCUAUUCUCAUCUCUUAUUGCCAGAAGUGCCCAGGAUGAUACAACCUCACCAAAUAAGUUAGAAACCAGCCCAUUCAGCAGGUUGAGUAGCCAGCUUGCCCUCAAUCUUCUUUGAGUCAACAAACAGUUGGGCAUUAUUGCCUCCAAUGGAGGGUCUGGAAAUAUUAGAGCCGGCAGCAGGGGUGGCUGUAAAACUCUCUGUUCCAAAACCCCAAGUUUCAGGGCCAGAAGUUCCUUCUUUGGCUGGUUUGUUGUGAUGGCCAUUUCGGGUCCUACCAGACUUGCUAUUGUUGUCUGGGCACCUGCCUCAGAGAAAGCCUGCCAAAGAUUAGAGUCUGGGCCAGGGGAAACGGAUUUUCUUUGCUGGAGUUCCCAGUCUGUUGCUUCAAUCUUUUCUCUGUGCUGUUACGAGAAGAAAACCUAUCAGACACAUGAAUGGGUACAAAAAGGUAAACUUCAGGUUUUGGUUGUAUUGAAAAGCACAGGAAACUUCACAAGAGGCAAAUUAUACCCCAGACUUAUUGAAGAAAAAUGAAGUACAAUUGACUUACCCAAAUGUCUACUUCCUCAUUUAUAGAUUUCCUCCUAAACAAAUCCCCACAUCUAGGACAGGAAAAGGAAGAAGCUGGGAGUCAACAUUUUUUCAACCAAAUGUCAGCACUAACUUAUCAAAAAACAUAGUUUUCCAUUCAACCUCGGGAGCUGUACUUUCUGAUAUUGUCUUCUUAAAGUGCUUAUGAUUGGUGGAGGUGCUUCCAAAAUCACACAACUUCCAUGAUGCAUUAGGGCCCAAUAGAAGAUUCUCAGCAUUUAUAUAAGAACUUCAGGGCUUAUACGUAUGAUCAUGUUACAGUAUAAAUCAUAGUGAACUGGUGGAAUUUGAUUAUUAGCCAACCUCAUCAAAAACUGUUUCACAGUUGAGGGGAUUGUUAACCUUGCCAUGGGCCAAGCAGCAAUUUCUGGAGAAGCUGGGUGACAAAGAGUACCAUCAUUUGGACUAGUUUCAAUGGAAAUUCCUCUGUUUUUAUACAUGAUAUCUUCAGCUUCAGCUUUUCCUUUUGCUUUUGACAUGGCUGAAACUGAUCCUGAAAUAAAAAAUCCCACGCAAGUAGAUAUUUAACAGAAGAGGAUCCGAAUCUCUUCAAUUGAUUAAUGUAUAAAUGAAAUAAUCAAAAUUUUUAGAUAAUUAUAGGGAGAUGAACCUUGUACCUCUGAGUUUCUUAGUCUUCUUGAACAGAGCAAUGAGCAUCAAGUGUUGAGCACCCAGGAAUCUCCCUUCCUAUACAGGGAAAAUCUGAACAAUCUAUCUUUCUUCAUAUUCCACUUCCUUGCAAAAGUCAAAACAUGAAGAAAAUAUCAUCAAAAUUGAGACAAAAAUAAGUGCAUCAACUGUCUCAAGAAGAGAUUUAUGCCUAUUGCUUACCUUUUGCAGAAGUCCACUUGGUUAGAGCACAUUUUACAUGGACGCCCAAUCACUGCAAGCUGCUGAACCAAAGGAGAGUUCAAACAUCUAAAAAAUUUGACUAACUCAAGUAUCAUAAAAUACUUCACAUGAAUUCUAAAUGAUCUCAUAUCUAAAAAACAUUGGCAUAAAAUUAUUGUUGUUUACCUUACAUAUUUCUUCCAUGGUCAUAAUCGAAACUUUGUUUAUCAUAACAAAUCUUCUAUGCUCAUCCUGAUUACUAACAAUGAAAAUUGAAAUGAAAAGAAAAAAAAAACACAAAAAAUGAUGAUUAGUUUGGUUUGAUAAAUUUAGCACACACAAUUCCCUUUUUCUUGCCCGAAAAAGGAAAGAGUAAAAAAAAAAAAAAAAAAUUAAUAAUUUUUCAAAACUAGCAAUUAUAAAUCUAGUUUGGUUCUCAUAAAAUUUAUGGGAAAGCAGGGAAAAAAAAGUGUAAACUUUUUCUCUUGUUUGAUUGUUUAUGGGAAAAUUGAGGGAAAAACAAAUAUUUAUGAGGAAUCUAUUUAACACUUUUGAGGAACCAAAAAUGUUUUAGAUGUUGUCAAAUCGAUAAUUUAAAUGUAUUUAAUUCCAAUUAAAUGAGUUUAAUCAAACACAUGAAAUCGUGAAUAAAAUUAUUUAAAAGCAUUGAAAUUCAAGUCAUUAAAGUUGUCCAUAAAAUUUGGUAUAUUGAAGCAAGAAAAAAACAAAGCAAUUUGAAUGACUUGCUAAUAAAGCAGCUAACUAGAAUAUGCCCUAGAGUUGUUCUGUGCCUUGUAUAUAAGAAAUAAACAAAGAACACAAUAAAAAUAAAAAUAAAAACCAGAAAAUAAAAUACAAACAAACGAAAUAUCCAUGGUUCUUCGUUAUUUUUUUCUUAAUUUUUCAAUGGUUAUUUUUGCAAACCACCAAAUCAAAACAGAGCAUGAAAAUGUGUUCAAUAUUUAUUUCAGGCUUGAAGCUUCAAGAAAAAGAAAAUCUUAAAUCAAAUAAACAAGACUAGCGAAUGAAUUGGAACUUGAAAGAAAAGUUCAUGCGCAAAAGAAUUACCUGACUCUAUAUUGGCGGAGUGGCACUUUGAUUAAUAUAGCACACCAUUGAUCACUAUUUUUGGAACGUGAGCUAUAUAACGCCAUUCUUCCCCUUUCUCAAAUUGACACCGUUUUUCCAGUAAAGGACACCCAUCGAUGACCAGAAAAGAGAGAGAGUCUGGAAGUCUUUCUUUUGUCAAGUAUUUGAGCUUACGACAGUUCAUGAUCACCAAUGUUUUAAGAGAGGUGAGGUGUUGAAGACCCACUUUUGUCAAGGAUUGGAGCAUUCGGCAGUAUACGAUCUCCAAAUUUUCAAGAGAGGUGAGGUGUUGAAGACCCCCUUCUGUCAAGGAUUGGAGCAUUGGGCAGUGUUUGAUCUCCAAAUUUUCAAGAGAGGUGAGGUGUUGAAGAACCGAUCCUAUCAAGGAUUGGAGCCUUGGGCAGUAUAGGAUCCUCAAUAUUUGAAGAGAGGUGAGGUGUUGAAGAUCCGUUUCUGUCAAUGAUUGGAGCCUCAAGCAUCCAUAAAUUCCUAAUUCUUUUAGAGAGAUAAGGUGUUGAAGAACCGAUCCUGUCGGGAACUGGAGCUCUGGGCAGUUUCUGAUCUCUAAUUUUAGAAGAGAGGUGAGUUGUUGAAGACCCCUGCUGUCAAGAGACUUGAGAUCGGGAAAUGAUUCAAUUUGAAGAGAAGUCAGAGAAGAGGGCAGCAAACACUCCUUGGGAAAUAAUUCAAUGUCUUCACAUCCACCUUGGAUUCUUAAACGAGUAAGAGAGGUCAGCCUUUGCAAACCCCACUCCACCUGGGGCGUGAGUUGGUUGCACUUCUUAAUUUCAAGUAUACGUAGGUUGGAAGGCAAACCCUCUCUCUGAAACAACAAUUCUGGACAAUCACAUAAAUACAACUCCUGUACAGAUGACUGUGUGUGUGCCAACGACCUAAGGUUGAAGCACCUAUCAAUCAAACAAGACUCUAAGUUGAGAGCGUGCAAUUCGAUAGAUUCAAGAUCAGAGCAACCAAUUAGACGCAGGGAACAUAAAGAUGUGGGAUCACCCUCUGAAACCAAAAUGGAGAGCUUCUCAAGCCCCUUAAGACCAUCGAUUGUGAAAUCAGUCAACUUGGGGAAGAUGCCUAAUGAGAAGGAUAACGUGAGAGAAUCAUCGAUAACACCACCUUUGAUUUCUAGACUUUCAAGGACUGGGAGAUGGCAUCUGAACAACUCAGGUACGAGAAUCUCUAAUUUCGAGCACUCAGAGAUGAAUAGUGAUUUCAGUGUAGUGGGUAAACCAACUUUGUGCAGGGAUCUAGAAAAACUGCAAUCAUAGAUUUUCAGAUCAUGUAUGUUGGUUUGCGAGAUUUCCUCCUCUAGCAGAGACUCCGCAUUAUCACAUUCUCUAAUUGAGAGCUGGUGUGGUGCCAUUGGAAGUUGACUCCACUGAGACACAUCUAAAAUUUCAAUUUCUGAAGUUUGAAGAGCUGUGAAGUCACAACCUGCCAUUUGCAACUGCAGUUUACCGAAAUCCACCAUCCUCAACUGACGAAUUACAGGAACUGUGAGUGAAGCCAUAAGCAGUUGCGGACAUUCAUGAAUUUGAAGUUCCACCAAUGAAAGAAGCUGUUCUGGUAAUUUCCCAGUGAGUUUGGGACACCUUCGUAUAAAAAGCUUUUGGAGACGAGGGAAUUCUCCACAACAUAACCAUUUCUCCCAGUUCUGCAUAUCCUCAAAUGAUAGUGUUUCUAGGAAUUGAAAGGAAGCAUUCCCAUAGAACUCAUCACCCACACACUCUACUCCAUUCAUCCUUGAGAUUUGCAGAUAUUUAAGCUGGGUUAGCUGUCCAAGUGGUGGCAAUGUUGAGCAAUUGCCACAACCCCGAAGCUCAAGGGACACGAGAUUCAACACUGAAGGAUCUCCAAGCCAAUUUGGAAAUCCUUCACCAGGAUAGUUUGUGAUGGAGAGUUGUUUUAAAUUUGGGUGAGGUUGUAACUUGUUGAGUAUAUCAUGCGUUGUUGCACCACUUUGUGUAACACCAUUGGUACACUCGUCACCCCAAUCAAAGAUUAACUCAUCAAGAUAACUUUUAUCCUUCAUAUUAGCCCUUGAUGCAUCGUUAACACUCACUACAUUCUCCAUGUUUGAAAUAUAAAGUUUUCCUCGAAUCUCUGACAGCUCUCCCAAUUCUCCAAUUCUUAAUCCAUUGUUUUGGCCCACAAUAAAUUGAGUCAACCUUUGUAAACUUUUUAAUUGACCAAUUCCAUGACUUGACAUUUCUCUCAAUGAACCACAUCCAUGAAUAUCAAGAUAGCGCAAAUUAAUCAAUUUUCCCAUCUUUGAAGGCAAUUCAUUAAGUCUUGAACAUUUUAUUAGCAUCAUCGUUUGUAAAUUGUAUAAACAACAUACUGAUUCAGGUAAUUUUUUAAUCCUUGUAAAAGACAAAUCCAAGUGACGCAAAUGUUUCAAAUUGCCUAUUGAUAUAGGCAAAUCAGUUAUGUCAUAUGCACAUAAUGAUAACACGCGUAGACACCACAUUUUUGGUAAUAUAUCUUGCAAAACUCUUUUACUCAAAGUAUACCUAGGAUAGUCUUCCAUUGGCUUCACUCCUAAGAAUGUUCGAAGAGAUUUAGCUUUAGUCAUAGCCUCAAAAUUCUUAAAUGCUACCAAAUCGUUAUAAUCAUCACUAUUAAAGUACAAAAAGUGGUGAGCCUUCUCAGAUACUUUUGGUAAUUUAUCAUCAUCUUCCACUCGAGCACAAAAAUCUCCAGACACAUGUUGAGCCAAUUCAUGUAUUAGAUCAUGCAUUACAAAGCAUGAUCCUUUUCUUCCAAUAGAUUUUUGAAAGAAAGACUUGGCAAGAAGCUCAUCAAAAUAUGACUCACCGAUCUCUUCCAUUCUCCUUCCUUCGUUUUGUUGUGGAUGUAAAAGACCUUCUGCCAUCCAUAAUAAAAUCAGCUUCUCUUUGUAGAAUUGGUGGUCCUGGGGAAAAAUAGAACAAUAAGCAAAACAAUGCUUCAGAGGUAAAGAAAGAUGAUGGUAGCUUAAUAUCAAAGAUGGAAGAAUUUCGGAGCCACUCUGCGGAUGCCAUAUUUCACUUUUCAACACAUCGUCCCAUUCCCUUUUUUCGACCUUAGAAUACAAGAGACAGCCGAGUGCUUUCACAGCCAAAGGCAAUCCUUGGCACUUGUCCACAAUCUGUCUGCCUAUGCGUUCAAGCUCAAGGAAUGCGUUGGAGUCUCGAUCUUGAAAUGCAUGCUUUUUAAACAGGGACCAACUAUCUUCAGAGCUUAAUUUCCCAAGAUGAUGAGUAGGGACUGCUCGCAUGGUUGUUGCAACAGAUUGAUCACGACUGGUCACGACAAUCUUGCUUCCCUCUGCUGCAGCGAGGAGUGGAGUUCGUAGAAUAUUCCAACCUUCACGAUCACUAAGCUCCAUAUAACCUUCAUCACGAGGCUUCAAAUUCCAGACGUCAUCAAGAACAAGCAGAAAUUUCUUGUUACUAAGUUGCUCUUUGAGUUGAAGCUGAAGCAAAUUUAGGUUGUCAGCAGAAGUAGGUGGAGAACGAAUUUCCUCAAGAAUUGUUUUGGUGAGUUUGAUAAGGAGAAACUCAGUGGAAACACAGACCCAUGCUUGCAAGUCGAAGUGUUUCUUCACUUCCUCAUCGUUAUAGAGAAGCCGAGCAAGCGUGGUCUUGCCGCUGCCG